GCCCUAGGGAUGACCCCAAGGUUCGUUCCAAGAUCUUGGCUGAGGAGUUUGGUUGGGACAAAGAUCUUGCAAAGAAAAUUUGGUGCUUUGGUCCAGAGACAACUGGUCCCAACAUGGUGGUGGAUAUGUGUAAGGGAGUUCAGUACCUGAAUGAAAUUAAGGAUUCUGUUGUUGCCGGUUUCCAGUGGGCUUCCAAGGAAGGUGCAUUGGCUGAAGAGAACAUGAGAGGUAUUUGCUUUGAAGUUUGUGAUGUUGUUCUUCAUUCUGAUGCUAUUCACAGGGGUGGUGGCCAAGUUAUUCCCACUGCUAGGAGGGUUAUCUAUGCUUCUCAGCUUACUGCGAAACCCCGUCUGUUGGAGCCCGUUUACCUUGUGGAGAUUCAGGCACCAGAGCAAGCCCUCGGUGGCAUCUAUAGUGUUCUGAACCAGAAGCGUGGACAUGUAUUUGAAGAGAUGCAGAGGCCAGGAACCCCUCUUUACAACAUCAAGGCUUACCUUCCUGUCGUUGAGUCAUUUGGAUUUUCAGGUACCUUGAGAGCUGCUACUUCAGGUCAAGCUUUCCCACAAUGUGUGUUUGAUCAUUGGGAAAUGAUGUCAUCUGACCCGUUGGAGGCUGGCUCACAAGCUCAUCAACUCGUCCUUGAUAUCCGCAAGAGGAAGGGUUUAAAGGACCAGAUGACUCCUCUAUCCGAGUACGAGGACAAGCUGUAAGACAUGUUUGGGAUGGCAGCAGAUGUGUAACCUGCUCAAUUGGAUCUGCAGAAGUUUUGUUUUGCAUUUAUCAUCUAUCUGUUUGGGUAAUGAAUUUGAACAUUUUGUGGUGUUGAUUAGGAUACUAGCUCGUAAGCUUCUUGUUGCAGAACUUACUACGACUAUCUUUUCCGUAUUUGUGUCGUAUGUUAUUUUAAGCUGUCUUUUAGUUCAAAUUAGAUAAUGUUGCACUGUGAGUUUCUUAACACUUGCAGUUUCCAAUAUAAUGAAAUGAUUCCGAUUUGGGAUUAGAACAGUAGUAGUUACACAAGUGCUUCAGGUUGACUGGUAUUAAAUUAUCAUGAGUAAUGCGUUUCACUUUGGAUGCACGAUAGUCUUUACAACAUGAAAAUCUAAAGUGGAGUUUGGAGAGGGUAAAAUGUAUGGAACAGAAAGAAAAAAAAUUAAAAAGAGUGAUUAAUAACGAAAAACAUGUGAUAGUAUGCAAAUAUGAUAGUAAUAGCAUCUAUAACAUGGCUAAAGACAACGCAAGAUAUAAAGAUACGACUUUAACCAGCACAAAAUAUAAAGACACGAUUAAACCUCCAUGACUCGGUUAUCACCUAACCCUACGAUAGUCGCUACCAGUGGAAUGAAAAAAGCUAAUCACUAAUUAGUGUUUAAUUUCCAAAUUUGGAGGAAACGCUAAAAUAUUACACACCUUGGCUUGAGACUAAAUAAUUUACGCUAAAAUAUUACACACCUUGGCUUGAGACUAAAUAAUUUACAUUCUUUCAGUUGGAGUGCUAAUAAUAUUUUUAGUUAAUAAAGUGGUGCACUUUUAGUGAUUACUCUAAACACCACUACUUUUUAAAUAACAAUCUCUUCAUGUGCAUAUCUCACUAUUUUCUUUUCCCUCCAAACAUAUGUACUCUGUCUCUCUCUAUCUUCUUUCUUCUAAAGAACUAACUCUUAAUCCAUGUUUUCUUGCUUCUCUUCACCCAUUCUUCCUCCAAUUUUCAUAUUCUAAUUCACAUAUUCGUGAUACCAAGUGAAAAGUCAGAUUGGUCAAAUUGAUUUUUUUCAAGAAUGACAAUAAAGCCAAUCUUGUACAUGAAAAUUGUGGAAUGGAUCAACGGAACAUUUGAAAGUCAUUAUACAUGAAUGAGGAAGACUCCAGAUUACAAGGCGUCGUUUAGUGUGAUGGAUAAGGAAGGUUAAUUUCAGAUAACUUUUUAGUGGUUCUAAAUUAAUUGAUUGAUUGCAAAAGAUGGGAUAACUUAUUCCAGAAUUAACAAUUAGUCCUGGGAUAAGUUAUCCUCCUGAGGAUGGAAUAAUAAUCCUAGGAUAACUUAAAAUUCAAAAAUACCCCCAUUUAAACUCUCUUUUAUACACUAUUUUUAUAUUCAUGUACAUUAACCUAAUUUUUAAUAGUAUUUAUAAUAACAUUCACAACCUUAAUAAUUGUUAUUUUUAUGAUAACAUAUUUUUUAAUUAAAAAUUAUAUUUUCAUAAAUACAAUUUCUAUUUAUAAAUAUGUUAUAAAUUGAACUUAUUUGUCUAAAUACUUAUAUUUAUUUAUAUUUUGAUUUCUCUUAAAAUAUCCACUUCACUAUUAAAUUACAUAUUUUGAACUAAAUAGUUUAUUACUCACUUAAAAAUUGUAUUUAUAUAUUAAAUAAAAUGUAGAUAACUUUAAAAUUUAAUAAUAGUUUUUUCACUUUAACAAACUUAAAUGAAAAUUUUAUUUUUAAGCUAAAUAAGAUGCAAAUUUUAUUUCUAAGCUAAAUGGGAUGAACGUUCUAUUUUUUAAGCUAGAUGAAAAUUUUAUUUAAAGCUAAAUAAGAUAGACAUAUUGUUUUUAAGUUAAGUAAGAUGAAAGUUUAAUUUUAAAAACACACGACAUAAUCAUGAAAAUACAUAUACAAAAUUGUUUACGUUAAAUAAAAUGAAAAUUUUAUUUUAAGAAUGAAUAGCUAAAACUCAAAAAAAAAAUAUUUUAAAAAAAAUUAAAUAAGGUAGAGGGUAUUUUUGUAAACAAACAAGCUAUUCUUAGAAAUUAUACAAUGAAUAGUAUUUUGAAUAUGACAAACCAAACAAGCAAUAAAAAUUACUCUCAUCAUAAGUAAUUCCAUCAUAACUUAUCCCAUCAUAACUUAUCUAAGUAUAACUAAUUCUAUCAUAACUUGUAUCCAAACCAAACCACCCUAUUAUAAAUUAUGAGCUUCUUAUUUUCCAUUUAUGUUGUAUAACAGUAAAUCUUUUUUACACGAAGUUCAAAAAUCAAAUUAUGUAUGAUAUUGCAAAGUCAAAUUAUACCAAAAUAUUUUAACCUGGAAGUUCAAAAAUCAAAUUAAGAUUUUGAAAAGUCAAAUUAUACCAAACUUUUUUAAAUUAGAAAGGUCCGCGUACAUUCUAUUCUUUUUAGAUCUCACUUGUGGAAUUUCCUUCGGUAUGUUAUUAUUGUUGUAAGUUCAAAAAUCAAAUUAUGAUUUUGAAAAGUCAAAUUGCAUCACCGUUGCUAUGCCAUCUGCUCCUAAGAUUGUAUAACAGAGAAGGAAUUUAAGAUAUUAAUGACUUUGAAAAGCAAUUACUUAGUAUUAUAAGUAUACAAGAAAGCAUGCAACUCAAAAGUAAUUAUUUUGCAUUAUAAGUUUGAUAACACUUUGGGUGUGUUUGGUAUGAAGGAAAAUGUUUUGUCAUGGAAAAUAUUUUUCUAAAAAAUAUUUUUUUGAAAAAUAAGUUAAUUUCUAAUUUAUUUUUUUAUUUUUAAUUAGCGAGUGAAAGAUAUUUUUUGAAAAAUAUUUUUUAUUGUAUAAUUAGUGAAUGAAAAUAUUUUUCAAAAAUAUUUUUUUUUGAGUGUGUGGGGUGGGGAUGGGGAGCAGGGAAGUAAAAAAAACGUGUUUCAAAUUUAAUUUUUUUUGUGGAUGUCAGGCUGGGUGGUAGCGGGGCAGUGAGGGGUAAAAAAAAUGAAAAUUUUAAAACAUAGAACCUUUUCAAAUAUAGUUUUUUCAAUUAUUUUUUUGGAAAGGGGGGAGGGAGGGUGCUGUAGGGGGUAGAGAUUGGAGUGCGGAGAAGUAAAAAAUUAAAAAUUUUAAAAUUUGAAAUCUUUUUAAAAUUGAGUUUUUAUUUUUUUUGUUUAUGGGAGGCGGGGGUGGGGGCUUGUAAGAGGUUUUUGUGUGUGUGGGUGGGGGGAGGCAGGGUAGGUUUAGGUGAGUCGGCAUAGGAAUGAGAUAAAAAAAUUAAAAUUUUCAAAAUAUUUCUUCAGAAAUAAAGUUUUGAUUUUUAUUUUAUUUUUUAAAAAAAUAUUUCUUGUGAGGGGGAGGGUGGAGGGUGGGGGGGAGUUUAGGAAUUUUUUUACUUAAUUUUUGUAAGGAAAUUAUUUUCUUAAAUAUGUGGAAAAUGAGUUAAUUUUAAAAAUACUUUUUUCAAAAUAUGUAAGCUAAUCAAACAUGAAAAAAUUGGAAAACAUUUUUUUUCGAAAAAUGUUUUCCCCAUACCAAACACAUCCUCAAGCUAUACUAAUGUUCCUUCACCCUUUGUUCUUUAGUAUUGAAAGUUACACAUCCACUUUACUGAUUACUUUACUAAUUAGUUAGAUUUGACAGUUAUCUUAUUAGACUUGGCAGUUAGUUUGUUAGCCAGCUGACACUAGCUGAUAACUAGACUUAGAUAUUUCACAAUUGCUCUACGCUCUUCUAUAUAAAAAAGAGUUGAUAUACAGAUGAUAGUUUUGAUUCAUAUUCUUCAAAUAAAGCAAAUCCUCUGCUUCUCUUCAGAUCUCUCUGUCUAAGACCUCCAUUAUGGAGUGUUUAGUUCAAUUUCUAACAUGGUAUCAGAGCCAUUAAGAUCGGCUGAGUUAGUAUCAAGUUUAGAGCAGUGAAUCUGAGCUUUAGGUUGUUGAGAUUUCAUAUAUGGCGAUAACAAAAAUUGAUCACAAUCAUCCAUUAUUCAUAGGGACCUCGAAUACUUUAAGAGCAGUGUUAAUUCCUAUCAAGCUCACUGGAUCUGAAAAUUACGGGAUAUGGAGUAGAUCUAUGAGGAUUGCACUCCUAAGCAAGAGGAAGUAUGGAUUUGUAAUGGGUACAUGCACACAGGAAUCAUAUAGGGAGGAAUGGUAAGAGCAAUGGGAGAUAUGCAAUGCCAUUGUUCUUUCAUGGUUGAUGAAUAUAGUUGCUGAGGAAUUACUUGGAGGAAUUGUGUAUGCUACUAGUGCUCACAGAAUAUGGGAAGACUUGAAGGAACAUUUUGAUAAAGUCAAUCGAGUUAGAAUCUAUCAACUACAUAGAGAAAUUACAACUCUAUCUCAAGGUACUGAUUCUGUUUCGACUUAUUUCAGUAAAUUGAGAGGUUUGUGGAAUGAAUAUGAUGCUGUAAUACUAUCUCCAAGAUGUAGAUGCCUUAGAUCAAAAGACUAUAUAGAUCAUCUGCAUCAACUGAGGUUAAUACAGUUCCUCAGUGGAUUGAAUGAGUCAUAUGAUCAGGCUCGGAGGCAAUUCCUGUUGAGAAGAACAUCUCCAUCUCUUAAUCAAGCUUAUGCCAUGAUAAUCGAGGAUGAAAUUCAACAUUCAUCUUGUUUAACCACUGUUAAUGAGAAAAUAAGUCCAAACAUUAUGCAAGUCAGUCGAAGUUAGAAUUAUAACCAAGGAAAUCAGAAUUUUAGAGGUAGAAAAGCCUUUUUGUAGUGUGAGUAUUGUCAUUUUACUGAACACACUAAGGAUAAUUGUUACAAAUUGAUUGGAUAUCCCAAUGAUUGGAAACACAAGAAGAAGAAUGAUUAUGGAAACAUAAGCUUUAGAGGAAGCAGAACACUAAACUAUGGCAACACAUAAGGACAUCGAGGUCAGGUUACCAAUAGNAAAUUAAAAUUUUCAAAAUAUUUCUUCAGAAAUAAAGUUUUGAUUUUUAUUUUAUUUUUUAAAAAAAUAUUUCUUGUGAGGGGGAGGGUGGAGGGUGGGGGGGAGUUUAGGAAUUUUUUUACUUAAUUUUUGUAAGGAAAUUAUUUUCUUAAAUAUGUGGAAAAUGAGUUAAUUUUAAAAAUACUUUUUUCAAAAUAUGUAAGCUAAUCAAACAUGAAAAAAUUGGAAAACAUUUUUUUUCGAAAAAUGUUUUCCCCAUACCAAACACAUCCUCAAGCUAUACUAAUGUUCCUUCACCCUUUGUUCUUUAGUAUUGAAAGUUACACAUCCACUUUACUGAUUACUUUACUAAUUAGUUAGAUUUGACAGUUAUCUUAUUAGACUUGGCAGUUAGUUUGUUAGCCAGCUGACACUAGCUGAUAACUAGACUUAGAUAUUUCACAAUUGCUCUACGCUCUUCUAUAUAAAAAAGAGUUGAUAUACAGAUGAUAGUUUUGAUUCAUAUUCUUCAAAUAAAGCAAAUCCUCUGCUUCUCUUCAGAUCUCUCUGUCUAAGACCUCCAUUAUGGAGUGUUUAGUUCAAUUUCUAACAUGGUAUCAGAGCCAUUAAGAUCGGCUGAGUUAGUAUCAAGUUUAGAGCAGUGAAUCUGAGCUUUAGGUUGUUGAGAUUUCAUAUAUGGCGAUAACAAAAAUUGAUCACAAUCAUCCAUUAUUCAUAGGGACCUCGAAUACUUUAAGAGCAGUGUUAAUUCCUAUCAAGCUCACUGGAUCUGAAAAUUACGGGAUAUGGAGUAGAUCUAUGAGGAUUGCACUCCUAAGCAAGAGGAAGUAUGGAUUUGUAAUGGGUACAUGCACACAGGAAUCAUAUAGGGAGGAAUGGUAAGAGCAAUGGGAGAUAUGCAAUGCCAUUGUUCUUUCAUGGUUGAUGAAUAUAGUUGCUGAGGAAUUACUUGGAGGAAUUGUGUAUGCUACUAGUGCUCACAGAAUAUGGGAAGACUUGAAGGAACAUUUUGAUAAAGUCAAUCGAGUUAGAAUCUAUCAACUACAUAGAGAAAUUACAACUCUAUCUCAAGGUACUGAUUCUGUUUCGACUUAUUUCAGUAAAUUGAGAGGUUUGUGGAAUGAAUAUGAUGCUGUAAUACUAUCUCCAAGAUGUAGAUGCCUUAGAUCAAAAGACUAUAUAGAUCAUCUGCAUCAACUGAGGUUAAUACAGUUCCUCAGUGGAUUGAAUGAGUCAUAUGAUCAGGCUCGGAGGCAAUUCCUGUUGAGAAGAACAUCUCCAUCUCUUAAUCAAGCUUAUGCCAUGAUAAUCGAGGAUGAAAUUCAACAUUCAUCUUGUUUAACCACUGUUAAUGAGAAAAUAAGUCCAAACAUUAUGCAAGUCAGUCGAAGUUAGAAUUAUAACCAAGGAAAUCAGAAUUUUAGAGGUAGAAAAGCCUUUUUGUAGUGUGAGUAUUGUCAUUUUACUGAACACACUAAGGAUAAUUGUUACAAAUUGAUUGGAUAUCCCAAUGAUUGGAAACACAAGAAGAAGAAUGAUUAUGGAAACAUAAGCUUUAGAGGAAGCAGAACACUAAACUAUGGCAACACAUAAGGACAUCGAGGUCAGGUUACCAAUAGUCAACAUUUUUAUUCUUCAGCAAACAAUGUAUUAGGAAAGCAUGAUGAUCCAGGAUAAGUUGCUUCUUCCAGUCAUGAAGUUAACAGUACUUUUGUGGCAAAGGGACAUAGAUUUACUGAGGAUGAAUACAAACAGAUACUAGGACUAUUGAAUAAGGACACUAAGGAGACUAAUAACAACAUGACAGGUAUGGAUACCUGCUUAAUGUCUAAACUAUUUUCUGAAGAUUGGAUUGUAGAUUCCGGGGCUUCUCAUCACAUAACAUCAAAUAAAUACUUGUUGAAGAAGAAUCAUAGUGCAACAACAAUAUGAGACAAGGUGAAUUUACCAACAGGUGUUGCAGUUGACAUCUCACACAUUGGUGAUGUUUGUUUGUUCCCAAAUGAAAUGUUGAAGGAUAUACUAUUUGUACCAAAUUUCAAAUUUAAUCUUCUAUCAGUGUCAAAAAUUCCCAGGGAUCUGUCUUGCUUCGUCUCCUUUUAUCUUGAUUUUUGUGUCUUUCAGGACCUUUAAAUGGUAGGUUAAAGGGGAUUGGUGAAGAAAAUGGAGGUCUAUAUAUCUUUAGAAGUAAUAAGGAAGUGCCUAAGAAUAAAGUGCCAGAGAAUCAGUCAUCAUUAAUAGCUGUUGUACCUACUCAAGGUGGAAGUCUGUGGCAUAGAAGACUUGGACAUUCUUCUAUUCAAGUAAUGAAGAAUCUCAACCUACUACAAAAUAAGUAUGAUGCUGAUAUGCUGGACAAUUGUACAGUCUGCCCUUUGGCUAAGCAAGUUAGAUUAUCUUUUCCAACUAGUAAUUUCAGAUCUGGUUAACCUUUUGAAUUGGUUCAUAUGGAUCCAUGGGACCCAUACAAAAUUUUUACUCUUGAUACAAAGCAAUAUUUUUUGACUGUAGUGGAUGAUUACAGUAGAUUUACAUGGAUUCAUUUGUUACAACUUAAGUCUGAAACAGUUGUGGCUAUUAAAGAUUUCUUGGUAAUGAUCAAGAAUCAGUUUGAUGCACAUAUUAAGGUGGUUAGAUCUGAUAAUGGGACAAAUUUUUUAUUUCCCAGUGUAUUAAUCUGUUCAAGUAGUUGGGCAUCAUGCAUCAAAGUAGCUGUGUUCACACACCACAGCAAAAUGGUAUAGUAGAGAGAAAGCACAGACAUAUACUCAAUGUAGCUAGAGCAAUCAGAUUUGAAUCUAACAUUCCUAUCAAAUAUUAGGGCAGGUGUGUUACAACAGCUGUUUAUUUGUUGAAUAGAUUACCAGCCUCAGCUCUUAAUGAAAAAACUCCAUAUAAGAUGCUCUAUUCUAGGCCUCCAUCAUUGUCUCACUUGAGAGUGUUUGUUGUUUGUGCUAUGCCAUAUAUAUACCUAAGGGUGAUAAGUUUACAGAGAGGGCAAAAUCAUCAGUCUUGAUGGGAUAUUCUGAGACUCAAAAGGGCUACAUACCAAUGGAUCUUAAUGCCAAGACAUUUUUUGUUAGCAGGAAUGUGGUAUUUAAGGAACAUAUAUUUCCUUUUGCUACAUCUAUAGAGGUAGUUCAGAAUUAUAGUCCACCACCACUUGAUUAUGAGUUGCUUGAUGAUGCACUGAAGAACAUGACCAAACAGAAUCAGCUGUUGAAUGUCAUGCUAAUAUAUCAACUGAGUCACCUCCAACUGACAUACCUGAAAUUCACCCUCCUAAUGACAAUUCACUCCUUCUAUCCACAAACACUUCUGUUGAAACAUCCAUAGUUAGACACAACACUAGAACUACUAAACAACCUAUUUGGAUGAAAGAUUACACAACUCCCACCAGAAAACAACCUAGCAAAUAUCCUAUUACCAACUACUUGUCUUACGUAAAUACCACUUCUACAUAUCAUAGUUAUCUGACUAAGUUCUCCAGUCUAGUAGAACCCAAGAAUUUUAAGGAAGCAAUUAAAGAUGAGAAAUGGAUUUAGGCCAUGAAGCAAGAGAUUCAAGCACUUGAAGACAAUCAUACUUGGGAAAUUGUUGAUCUGCCACGAAGAAAGAAUGUUGUUGGAUCCAAGUGGUUAUAUAAUAUCAAAUAUCAGGCAAAUGGUGAAGUAGCGAGGUUCAAGGCCAGGUUAAUGGCAAAAGGUUAUAACCAACAGGAAGGUCUUAACUAUCAUGAAACUUUUUUUCCAGUUGCCAAGAUGGUGACUGUGAGAAGUGUAAUUGCUGUAGCUGUUUCUAAAGGGUGAUUUCUCUAUCAAAUGGAUAUUUAUAAUACUUUCUUACAAGGUGACCUUUAUGAGGAAAUGUAUAUGAAAGUGCCUGAAGGUUUUGAGAAACAAGGGGAACACAAGGUCUGUAAAUUGCUUAAGUCCUUAUAUGGACUCAAGCAAGCAUCAAGACAGUGGAAUAUCAAACUCACUACUGCUGUUUUGGAAGCAGGAUUUAUCUAGAGUGUGUAUGAUUAUUCCUUAUUCACUUUAAAAAGGAAGGAAGGGUUAGUCAUCAUCUUAGUCUAUGUAGAUGACCUUCUGAUCACUGGGAGCAGUGCCAAGAUGAUUGCUGAAACCAACGAAAUGUUGCACAAAUAGUUUAUAUUAAAGGAUUUGGGAGAGCUAAAAGUUUUCUUGGAUAUUGAGGUAUUGAGAUGUAAGUUUGGAGUUAUAUUAAAUCAAAGAAAGUAUCUGCUGGAAUUGAUUUCUGAUAUAGGACUCAGUGGUUCAAAGUCUAUGACCACUCCUCUAGAAUCCAACUUGAAGCUAACCAUAUUAGAACAUGAUCAGACUGCUGGCCUCAUUAGGGAUGAUAUUCUAAGUGAUGCUAGUCCUUACAGAAGACUUGUAGGGCAAACUCAUGUAUGCUACCAUACCAUACCUUACAUAAGCUUUACUGUGUAAAUACUUAGUCAGUUUAUGCAAUCACCAAAAAAAUCCCAUUGGGAUGCUGCAAUCAGAGUUGUAAGGUAUCUUGAAGGCACUAUAAGACAAGGUAUUUGGCUUCAUGCUAAGGCUGCUUCUGAGUUGAUCUGUUGGUGUGAUUUUGACUGGGCAUCAUGUCUUAAUACAAGAAGAUCAGUUAUAGGUUAUGUCAUUAAGCUUCGAAACUCAAUAAUUUCUUGAAAAUCUAAAAAGCAACAUAUUGUUUCCAAGAGCUUUGCUGAGGCUGAGUAUAAAAGUAUAGCUUCUACUAUGGCUGAGGUGACUUGGUUACUUGGUUUAUUCAAGGAGUUGAAUUUAUUCAUCAAGCUGCCCGUUUCUAUUUUGAUUGAUAGUAAGUCUGCAUGCAAAUAGCAGCCAAUCCAAUCUUCCAUGAAUACACCAAACAUAUAGAGAUAGACUGCCACUUCAUUCGCGACAAGAUCAAAUCAGGCAUGAUUCACACUGUCUAUGUUCCUACUCAACAUCAAGUUGCUGACUUACUGACUAAAGGUUUGGGGCAAUUUCAUCAUCGACACCUAUUAGGCAAGCUGGAAGUGCUCAAUAUUUUACACCCUCCAGCUUGAGGGGGAGUAUUGAAAGUUACACCCCCACUUUACUGAUUACUUUACUAAUUAGCUAGACUUGGAAGUAGACUUGAUAGUUAGUUUGUUAGCCAGCUGGCAUUUGGCAGUUAGUUUGUUAGGCAGUUGGCACUAGCUGACAACUAGACUUAGAUAUUUCACAAUUGCUCUACACUCUUCUAUAUAAAGAAGAGUUGAUGUUUGAUUCAUAUUCUUCAAUAAACCAAAUUCUCUGCUUCUCUUUAUAUCUCUCUGUCUAAGACCUCCAUUAAUGGAGUAAUUAGUUCAAUUUCUAACAUUUAGGUGGGAGACUUUGAAUUUGCUAGACAACCAUUGUUGGAAGAAUGUGCAAAUUCAUGAGUUAAUAAAUACUCUACUAGAAAGUAGUUAUAUGGAAAGUCGAAGCGAAAGAAUUUGAAAAAGGAUGAGAUGACUAUUAAAAAGUUAUAUAUACUUUCACCUGAUAAAAAAUAUUAUGUGCUCAUGUUGUUAUAACAUGUAGUCUUCACAUAGGUAUCUUAAAACAUGAACACAUGAAAAUAUACCAUUUAUUUUUCUAUAUAAUGAAUGGGUAAGAUAUAAAUGAAUAGCAUUGUUAUUUUUUAUAAAGUUGUUGCACAAUUCUAUUUCAUUGUGAUUGAUCAUAUUCUUUAGUUAAGUAUCCAUGUAAAAAUUGAUACUUAGAAGAUUCUAAAGUUUUGUUAUAAUUGUGAAAAAACUUCAGCAACAUUUUGUUUCAUUUCAUUAGCAGUUUAUAAUCUAAAAAAUAAUAAAAGAGCAGCUAAUGUCAAAUUUCUGCACUAGUCACAAAAUUCAAUAAAGAAAAUAAUCAUUUAAAAACAAAAAUAACAACUAACUCCAGCUGAAACAACAAUCAAAUUGCAGCCAUUUUCAACAAGAAUAACAUGCAAAUUUCAACAAAGACAACAUUCAUAUUGUAUAAAAACAAUAACUAAAUUUAAAAAAAUAUAGCAUUCAAACUGCUGUGAUUUUAACAAAAAAGCAACUAAAAAAGAACACGGCAACUAAGUAACUUCAGGAUUUUAAACCAGCAAAAAUAACAAAAUAAUUUUUUCCCAACUUAGAAAUCAACAAAAAAUAAUUACAAAAUAUCAUCAUCAUGCAUAACAAACUCACUAGAAAAUCAUCAUAAUGGUACAAAAAUAUCAAUAAAUAACAUAAAUACCAACAAAUAUAUGUUAAGAGUGAGCCACUUUUACCCAAAAAAACUGUUACAACUCAAAGAAUAGGUCCAUUUUGGUGUACAUUAAGAAUUUUCUCAAACAAAAUUUGGUCUGAUUUCUCCUUCGGCAUGCUCCAUUUUUUCUUAUUCCACUUAUUUCUGUCUUCUUUGGACAUUAAAAAAAUAAUAACAAACACAAUUUUUGUCACGUCCCAAAUCCCAUUAAGGCGGACUGGCACCCGUUGUCGGUAGGCCCAGGAAAACCAACUAUAUCUAUGCCCUUUUUAUAUGCAAUAUAAUGAAUUACACCUUCAGUAUGCCUUUAAAAAGUAAAUAGUACUGACAAGCCAAAAGAAAAAACAUAUGACUAGGCUGUUUUGGCCACACUGUCUGAAGUAAAAAAUAUUCCCACACUUUAAUUUACAUAGUCUACAAAGCCUCUAAAUAAUGACAAGUGUUUGAUAAGGGUCGGGACAGGCCCCGCCUCAACUAACUGUACAAUACCAAAACAUAAGCUCUAGACAUGCAAAGCCCUGAAGCAACCUAGAGCUUGGUGAUCACUGUUGGAUAUCCUGUACUCCUACUGGGGAGGUCUACUAGCACCUAUUCCUGCAGCAUGAAAUGCAGGUCCCCCGUAAGGGACGUCAGUACGAGAUAAUAUACUGAAUAUGUAAGGCAGGAAAUACUGUAUAUGAAAUAACAACUCAAAUGAAACUUUGCACUGAUGUAUGAUAAGAUACCACCUUUGAUUAUACUGUGGGAUCAUGUACUUUACAUUCUUUACAUCACUUUACCUUUACUGUAACAUCUAUAUAAUCUGUGCACCGUAUAUGCUAUAAAAGACCCAGCUGAUCAGGGGUAACUGUAUCGGGUUCAUCCUUGGCUAGGCUCUUCCUUAGCCCCCUCGAGCUACCCCCCGUGAUAGGAUCGUCCCUAGCUAGGUGAUUCUUUCGCCCCUUUGGGCUACCACCUAUCUAUAAGCAAUAUUUUUUACCUUUCAAUUACCUUUAAGAUGAUCUUUUGGUGGUCACAUUAUUGGAGCUUUGGAACCGUGUAGGCAGCAUAUGAUAUAUAGAUAACCAUACAAUACCAUAUGACGAUGAAAGGAGUAUGUUACACAAAUAGUGAAAUGCGUAUGAAAUGAAAUAACUUAUAGACUUUAUUUGGCAACUAGAACCCAUGUAAGUUGGUAUCUACAUAUGUAUGUAGCUAUGAAGGUAACUUUGUAUGUAUGUAGCUUUGAAAGUGACUAUGUAUGACAGCAUAUAAAUACAUGAAAGAGUGAAGAUAUGGUUACUAAUUGUGUCGGAGUUGGUAAGUGCCUUUAUGUACCAAUAAGGAAUCUAUGUUUCAUGCCAAGUGAAAGGAAAUCAAAUAGCCUUACAUACCUCGUUGUAUGACCUCACUUUUACCUUGGAAUAACCUUCCCUUCCUCAAAAUAUUUAGCUACAACAUAGUAAUUAAUAAAACUAGCAUUAGAGGCCAAUAGACACAUCUUAGAUACCCAAUUUCACAUAGAAAUAACACCCGGGCAGCAAGCAUGCAACUAUAAUCCCGAGCGUGUUUUUCCAAUGUUUUGCCUUUAAUUGCAUUUCCUAAUGGACAUUAACAUCUACACAUUAUGUAUAGCCUGUCUUAGCAUCACACCAGCCUCAUAACAGUCCACAAAAUAGGGCACAUGAUAAUUCUACGCAACAAACAAAAGGACAACAUAACGUUACAUCUUUUCGCUACCUUUCGACGUUGGUAAUCCCAAACCUAUCCCAACUUUAACCAAACUAUUUUCACCAUAUUUAUAGAUACUAGCAGCCUUUAAACAGUCUCAGUAAAGUACCAAAUCAUUCAUGAAAGACUUGAAGCAACAACCCUAUAUACAUCAGUCCAUAAGUUCAAUCAACAACACAAUUGCGACAUCAUAUAGAAACUCACUUUUAUGGACUGUAAAGGCAAUCAAACAGCCUGAUUAUACCACUGCCAACUUAUCCUUUGUUAAGUACAUAAGUAAUACUUCAUAUUAUAGCAAACCAAGAAGAGAAACAACUCAUAAUCAGCAAAAAAAGUACACAGCAACAUCAACAACACAUGCUGUCCAGAAAUUUCAGCAUCAACACAACCAACAUAUUCUCUUGUUUGUCAUAAGAAAGUUAUACUAAACACAUACUUAAGAUUGCUUACCUUAUUCUUCAAGAGUAGGAUGUCUUCAAGAACCCUAGAAGGUUUUCUUGGCUGCUCUUAGAUAUAAAGAAAGGAGAGUAUAAUGUUUUCCUUAGAAGCUGAAAAUUAUAAUCAAAUGUUUAGUGAAAUUGUUGACUGUUUUGACCCCUUUUAAAGUGCAACUUUGGCCGACCUUGGCUUCAAGUUUUAACCAUACAUAAUUAUGUAUAACAUAGCUGGUGAUGCAGCAGCUUCCUAGUUAAAAUUCGGGCCAAAUGGAUCUCUAAAAGUAAUGGACUUGGGCUGUUCAAUUUGCAGAUUUUCCUUCUUUUGUUUUGGGCCCAAUUUGUCAAGUGUUAUGGAAUGUUGGGCCUAUUUAAUCCUUCAUAUUGAUCUGUAAAUAUAUCCCACUUAUAGUACUAUAACAUGGGCCAAAGAUACCUCCUUAACUUGGACUUUAUUCAUAAUCGGAAUUGGACAAUUUUGACAUCGGGUAUCGUCUCCGUUUAACUGGCAAAUUCAAGCUAAGGAAGUAGCUGACUCACCUGCUAGCUUCCUAAGUCCUACAAGCACCUCAAUUAUUUUCCUUUGUUUAGGGUCUUAGUCCCCUUAACUCGAUGCAACUCAUGUAUACGUGUAACUUUCUUAAAUUUUAGAUACACACGAUGCCCUUUAACGCGAGAUGCAAACACGUUUAAAAUUGGCACUAAUUUGAAAGUCCAUAUCAUGUUUCAUAUGUGUAGUACAAAUACUUAUAGUGUGUGUGGGGUGUUACAUCCUUCCCCCCUUAGGAACAUUCGGCCUCGAAUGUUAGCACAUAGAUACUUGUAACUACGUUUAAAUGUUUAUAUAAACUUUUAACAACAUAUCAAGUAUUGAAUUACACGUACCUAUUAGGGCCUCAAUUCUGCAUGUUGAACUUCCUCCUCAGCUUUAAAUAAGUAAGGAUAUUUUGAUCUCAUUAUGUCCUCAGCCUCCCAUGUUAUCUCCUCAGUCUACUGGUUUCUCCAGAGUACUUUAACCGAAGCUAUUUUUUUAUUCUUUAGUUUCUUAACUUGUCGAUCUAAAAUAGCAAUAGGUACCUCUUCGUAUGUGAGAUCUUCUGUAACCUGUACAUCCUUAAUAGGAGUGAUACGCGAUGGGUCACCUAUGCAUUUCUGAUGCAUCGAGACAUGGAAAACUGGAUGAACCAUUGAAAGCUCUUGGGGUAGCUCUAAUUCAUAUGCAACCUGCCCAAAUCUCUUAGUAAUCUGAUAUGGCCCUAUGUAUCGUGGGCUCAGUUUUCCUUUCUUACCAAACCUCAUAAUCCCUUUUAUUAGAGAUACCUUUAAGAAUACCCAAUCCCCUACUGAGAAUUCCANNNNNNNNNNNNNNNNNNNNNNNNNNNNNNNNNNNNNNNNNNNNNNNNNNNNNNNNNNNNNNNNNNNNNNNNNNNNNNNNNNNNNNNNNNNNNNNNNNNNNNNNNNNNNNNNNNNNNNNNNNNNNNNNNNNNNNNNNNNNNNNNNNNNNNNNNNNNNNNNNNNNNNNNNNNNNNNNNNNNNNNNNNNNNNNNNNNNNNNNNNNNNNNNNNNNNNNNNNNNNNNNNNNNNNNNNNNNNNNNNNNNNNNNNNNNNNNNNNNNNNNNNNNNNNNNNNNNNNNNNNNNNNNNNNNNNNNNNNNNNNNNNNNNNNNNNNNNNNNNNNNNNNNNNNNNNAAUAGGUACCUCUUCGUAUGUGAGAUCUUCUGUAACCUGUACAUCCUUAAUAGGAGUGAUACGCGAUGGGUCACCUAUGCAUUUCUGAAGCAUCGAGACAUGGAAAACUGGAUGAACCAUUGAAAGCUCUUGGGGUAGCUCUAAUUCAUAUGCAACCUGCCCAAAUCUCUUAGUAAUCUGAUAUGGCCCUAUGUAUCGUGGGCUCAGUUUUCCUUUCUUACCAAACCUCAUAAUCCCUUUUAUUAGAGAUACCUUUAAGAAUACCCAAUCCCCUACUGAGAAUUCCAGUCCUCUUCUUCUAAUAUCUGCAUAUGAUUUAAGCCGGCUUUGGGCUGCUUCCAAUCGUUCCUGUAUUACCUUAACUUUUUCCAUGGCUUGCCGUACCAAUCUGGGUCAAGUAAGAUGGUUUUACCCACCUCAAACCAUCCAAUUGGUGAUCUACAUUUUCUUCCGUAGAGAGCUUCAUAAGGUGCCAUCUUAAUACUAGAAUGGUAGCUAUUAUUAUAGGCAAAUUCAAUAAGUGGCAAGUGAUCCACCCAACUGCCUUUAAAGUCCAAUGCACAAGCUCACAACAUGUCUUCCAAUGUCUGAAUAGUGCGUUUUGCUUGACCAUCUGUUUGAGGAUGAAAAGCUGCACUUAAGUUCACCUGUGUCCCUAAACUCCUUUGGAAGGACUUCCAAAAUUUUGCAGUGAAUUGAGCUCCUCGGUCAGAUAUAAUAGAGAUUGGGACUCCAUGUAGCCUGACUAUCUCUUUGAGGUAUAGUUUGGCAUACUCUUCAGCUAUAUAAUCACUCCUAACUGGCAAGAAAUGCGCUGACUUUGUGAGUCUNNNNNNNNNNNNNNNNNNNNNNNNNNNNNNNNNNNNNNNNNNNNNNNNNNNNNNNNNNNNNNNNNNNNNNNNNNNNNNNNNNNNNNNNNNNNNNNNNNNNNNNNNNNNNNNNNNNNNNNNNNNNNNNNNNNNNNNNNNNNNNNNNNNNNNNNNNNNNNNNNNNNNNNNNNNNNNNNNNNNNNNNNNNNNNNNNNNNNNNNNNNNNNNNNNNNNNNNNNNNNNNNNNNNNNNNNNNNNNNNNNNNNNNNNNNNNNNNNNNNNNNNNNNNNNNNNNNNNNNNNNNNNNNNNNNNNNNNNNNNNNNNNNNNNNNNNNNNNNNNNNNNNNNNNNNNNNNNNNNNNNNNNNNNNNNNNNNNNNNNNNNNNNNNNNNNNNNNNNNNNNNNNNNNNNNNNNNNNNNNNNNNNNNNNNNNNNNNNNNNNNNNNNNNNNNNNNNNNNNNNNNNNNNNNNNNNNNNNNNNNNNNNNNNNNNNNNNNNNNNNNNNNNNNNNNNNNNNNNNNNNNNNNNNNNNNNNNNNNNNNNNNNNNNNNNNNNNNNNNNNNNNNNNNNNNNNNNNNNNNNNNNNNNNNNNNNNNNNNNNNNNNNNNNNNNNNNNNNNNNNNNNNNNNNNNNNNNNNNNNNNNNNNNNNNNNNNNNNNNNNNNNNNNNNNNNNNNNNNNNNNNNNNNNNNNNNNNNNNNNNNNNNNNNNNNNNNNNNNNNNNNNNNNNNNNNNNNNNNNNNNNNNNNNNNNNNNNNNNNNNNNNNNNNNNNNNNNNNNNNNNNNNNNNNNNNNNNNNNNNNNNNNNNNNNNNNNNNNNNNNNNNNNNNNNNNNNNNNNNNNNNNNNNNNNNNNNNNNNNNNNNNNNNNNNNNNNNNNNNNNNNNNNNNNNNNNNNNNNNNNNNNNNNNNNNNNNNNNNNNNNNNNNNNNNNNNNNNNNNNNNNNNNNNNNNNNNNNNNNNNNNNNNNNNNNNNNNNNNNNNNNNNNNNNNNNNNNNNNNNNNNNNNNNNNNNNNNNNNNNNNNNNNNNNNNNNNNNNNNNNNNNNNNNNNNNNNNNNNNNNNNNNNNNNNNNNNNNNNNNNNNNNNNNNNNNNNNNNNNNNNNNNNNNNNNNNNNNNNNNNNNNNNNNNNNNNNNNNNNNNNNNNNNNNNNNNNNNNNNNNNNNNNNNNNNNNNNNNNNNNNNNNNNNNNNNNNNNNNNNNNNNNNNNNNNNNNNNNNNNNNNNNNNNNNNNNNNNNNNNNNNNNNNNNNNNNNNNNNNNNNNNNNNNNNNNNNNNNNNNNNNNNNNNNNNNNNNNNNNNNNNNNNNNNNNNNNNNNNNNNNNNNNNNNNNNNNNNNNNNNNNNNNNNNNNNNNNNNNNNNNNNNNNNNNNNNNNNNNNNNNNNNNNNNNNNNNNNNNNNNNNNNNNNNNNNNNNNNNNNNNNNNNNNNNNNNNNNNNNNNNNNNNNNNNNNNNNNNNNNNNNNNNNNNNNNNNNNNNNNNNNNNNNNNNNNNUGGUGUUCUACUUUCACCUGUUGACAAUUUGGACAUUGAGCCACAAAUUCUGCAAGGUCCUUUUUCAUGCCUCCCCACCAAAACAUUCCUUUCAGGUCAUGGUACAUCUUAGUUGAUCCUGGAUGGAUGGAAUAUCUGGAAUGAUGGACUUCUUCCAUUAUCCUUCUUCUUAACUCAUUAUUAGCAGGUACACAUAAUCUAUUUUGGCAAUACAAUACUCCAUUUUGUGUAAGUUCAAAGCCCUUCACCAUACCCUGACUCACCUUUUCCUUAAGCUGUUGUAGAACAGGAUCCUGGGACUACUUUUCUUUAACCUCCCCUACCAGUGAAGAUGUUGCUGCAUUAUGUAUAAUAACCCCUUCCUUUGGUGUUCCAAGGAGUCAAACUCCCAAACUAGCUAGUUGCUAUAGGUCUUUAGCCACCCCUGGACUUACCAUGGCUUGGCCACUAGUAUUCAUGAUUGCUUUAUGACUUAGAGCAUCAGCUACCACAUUUGCCUUUCCCGAAUAGUAUAGUAUAUCAAUGUCAUAAUCUUUAAUUAGCUUUAACCACCUUCGCUGCCUUGAGUUUAGGUCUUUCUGCUUAAAAAUGUACUGCAAACUCUUAUGGUCAGUAUAGAUAUCCACGUGAACCCCAUACAAAUAGUGGCGCCAUAUUUUCAAUGCAAAUACAACCGCUGCUAGUUCAACAUCAUGUGUGGGAUAGUUUCUCUCAUGUGGUCAGAGUUGUCUUGAUGCAUAAGCAAUUACUCUACCAUGUUGUGUCUGUACACACCCUAAGCCAACCCCUGAAGCAUCACAAUACAUUGCAUACCCCUCAGUGCCUUGUGGAAGUACUAGCACGAGUGCAGAAGUUAGCUUAUCUUUCAAUUUUUAGAAACUCCUUUCACAUGAAUCAUUCCAUUGGAACUUAGUUUCCUUAUGUGUCAACUUUGUUAGAGGUGCAGAAAUAGAAGAAAAACCCUCAACAAACCUUCUGUAAUAACUCACUAAGCCCAAGAAACUUCGAACUUUUGUAGGUAUUGUUGGUCUUGGCCAAUCUUUCACAGCCUCUAUCUUUUGUGAAUCAACCCUUAUCCCCUCAUCAGACACAAUAUGACCUAAGAACGCCACUGAGUUUAGCCAAAAUUCAUACUUAGAAAAUUUGGCAUACAACUGUCUAUCACGAAGAACCUGUAACACUUGUUGUAAAUGUUCUGCAUGGUCCUUAUCUGAUUUUAAAUAUACCAGAAUGUCAUCUAUGAAUACUAUCACGANNNNNNNNNNNNNNNNNNNNNNNNNNNNNNNNNNNNNNNNNNNNNNNNNNNNNNNNNNNNNNNNNNNNNNNNNNNNNNNNNNNNNNNNNNNNNNNNNNNNNNNNNNNNNNNNNNNNNNNNNNNNNNNNNNNNNNNNNNNNNNNNNNNNNNNNNNNNNNNNNNNNNNNNNNNNNNNNNNNNNNNNNNNNNNNNNNNNNNNNNNNNNNNNNNNNNNNNNNNNNNNNNNNNNNNNNNNNNNNNNNNNNNNNNNNNNNNNNNNNNNNNNNNNNNNNNNNNNNNNNNNNNNNNNNNNNNNNNNNNNNNNNNNNNNNNNNNNNNNNNNNNNNNNNNNNNNNNNNNNNNNNNNNNNNNNNNNNNNNNNNNNNNNNNNNNNNNNNNNNNNNNNNNNNNNNNNNNNNNNNNNNNNNNNNNNNNNNNNNNNNNNNNNNNNNNNNNNNNNNNNNNNNNNNNNNNNNNNNNNNNNNNNNNNNNNNNNNNNNNNNNNNNNNNNNNNNNNNNNNNNNNNNNNNNNNNNNNNNNNNNNNNNNNNNNNNNNNNNNNNNNNNNNNNNNNNNNNNNNNNNNNNNNNNNNNNNNNNNNNNNNNNNNNNNNNNNNNNNNNNNNNNNNNNNNNNNNNNNNNNNNNNNNNNNNNNNNNNNNNNNNNNNNNNNNNNNNNNNNNNNNNNNNNNNNNNNNNNNNNNNNNNNNNNNNNNNNNNNNNNNNNNNNNNNNNNNNNNNNNNNNNNNNNNNNNNNNNNNNNNNNNNNNNNNNNNNNNNNNNNNNNNNNNNNNNNNNNNNNNNNNNNNNNNNNNNNNNNNNNNNNNNNNNNNNNNNNNNNNNNNNNNNNNNNNNNNNNNNNNNNNNNNNNNNNNNNNNNNNNNNNNNNNNNNNNNNNNNNNNNNNNNNNNNNNNNNNNNNNNNNNNNNNNNNNNNNNNNNNNNNNNNNNNNNNNNNNNNNNNNNNNNNNNNNNNNNNNNNNNNNNNNNNNNNNNNNNNNNNNNNNNNNNNNNNNNNNNNNNNNNNNNNNNNNNNNNNNNNNNNNNNNNNNNNNNNNNNNNNNNNNNNNNNNNNNNNNNNNNNNNNNNNNNNNNNNNNNNNNNNNNNNNNNNNNNNNNNNNNNNNNNNNNNNNNNNNNNNNNNNNNNNNNNNNNNNNNNNNNNNNNNNNNNNNNNNNNNNNNNNNNNNNNNNNNNNNNNNNNNNNNNNNNNNNNNNNNNNNNNNNNNNNNNNNNNNNNNNNNNNNNNNNNNNNNNNNNNNNNNNNNNNNNNNNNNNNNNNNNNNNNNNNNNNNNNNNNNNNNNNNNNNNNNNNNNNNNNNNNNNNNNNNNNNNNNNNNNNNNNNNNNNNNNNNNNNNNNNNNNNNNNNNNNNNNNNNNNNNNNNNNNNNNNNNNNNNNNNNNNNNNNNNNNNNNNNNNNNNNNNNNNNNNNNNNNNNNNNNNNNNNNNNNNNNNNNNNNNNNNNNNNNNNNNNNNNNNNNNNNNNNNNNNNNNNNNNNNNNNNNNNNNNNCUUACUCUAACUAGAUGACAUAUAUACCCCUUAGAUAUCAUCUUCCUUGCCUUAAAAUAUGAAAUAAACCUCCCUUUUGGUGCCCUAACUUUGCCUUCCCACUCAAGAACUGCCUCAUUUGGAAAGUGGAAGUACACUCUCUUUGUUUGGCAAUCUACGGUGGCAUAGCACGAAGCUAACUAGUCCAUACCCAUUAUAACAUCAAAUUCCACCAUUUCUAACUCUAUAAGAUCAGCCAGUGUGUUAAGGUUACAAACAGUUACUACACAAUCAGAAUAAACCCUUCUAGCCAUAAUAAAUUCACCGGUUGGUGUGGACACUUCGAAUGGUUUAUUCAAUAAUGUGGGUGCCCUCUUAAACUUUCCAGCAACUAAUGGAGUAAUGUAUGAUAGUGCGGAACCUAGGUCAAUUAAAGCAUACACGUUAUGUGAAAAGAUGGAUAAUGUACCUGUGACCACAUCGGGUGAAGCUUCCAAAUCCUGUCGACUCCCUAAAGCAUAGGUACGAUUCUUGACUCCAAUAGAGCUAGCUGCCCCUCUUACACCUCUACUAUGACCCAUAGGUGCUUGUUGACCCCUACCUACUGGAGGAACUAAUGAUGAAGAUGCAACACCUAAUCUGGUAGGUUAUGCUGUAUCACCUAUACGCCUCCUCGGACAAUCUCUUACUAUAUGCCCUGGUACCCCACACCUAUAACAAACAUUUAUCCCUACACAACAUACCCCUGGGUGAAUUUUUCCACACUGCCUACAAGGCUGCACAGUAGUCAUUUGCUGGCCUGCCGAAUACCCCGCUGUCCAGGUACCUUGCCCUUCGCCUCUUUGACCCAACUGAUUUCUUCUGGACCCUUGAAAUUGUGGUGGAGCACUGGAUGCAGAGUAGGAGGAUGAUGGCUUAGGCGGUCUGUUAAAGAACUGGGGCCUAAGAUCACUCUGGGAUGGUAUAAACUGCCCUGUAGACCUAGCCCUCCUGGACUACGCCCUUUCUAGCUCUUGUGCCCUUCUCCUUUGCCUCUGGUCCUCCAAUUUCUGUGCAAAAGCUUGCAUUCUUGCUAUAUCCAUAUCUUUAUUCAGGGAAGCAAUUGUACAAUCUCUGACCAAAUAUGUAUCCAACCUAUCUACAUACCGAUGAACUCUGUCUGCCAUAUUAGCAACUACAUUAGGGGCAUACCUGGACAGGGAAUUAAAUUGGAGGCUAUACUCCUUGACACUCAUAUUCCCUUGGUAGAGGUUCAGGAACUGAUCUGCACGGGCCUCCCGAAUCUCCAGUAGCAAGAAAUGAUCAAGGAAUGCCUCUUUGAACUCUUUCCAGGUGGUUGGAAGUGCAUCUAUUCCCUUAGAUUGCUUCCAGGCUUCAUACCAUAAUAUAACCACACCCUUUAGCCUAUACGUCGCCAACUCAAUAGCUUCCGUACCACCCACGUGCAUGACAUCUAAGGUGCACUGUAUUUGAUCAAUAAAAUCUUGAGGAUCCUCAUUAGGGUCUGACCCAGUGAAGGAUGGGGGGUCCAGAUUAAGGAAAUCACGUAUCCUCGUGCCAGCUGCCAUAUUUGCACCACCUGUACCUGCAACUGGGCUUUCUUCCCUUUGGCCUUAGCUAGCAACUAUUCGUGUCAAUAAUUAGACUGCAUUUCUCAAUUCCUGUACUGUAGUAUCAAUAGGUGGUUUUGGGGGAAUUUCACUAUUCCCAGGUUCAUCAGGAGCAGAAGGAGUUGAAGAUAUCUGUGAUAAAUACUCAUCUUGAGCCUCCCUUUGUUGCCUUUCCUGGCUAGCUAAACCAACCACCACUUCUAUUUUCUUUCCUUUACCUUUGUUCCUUCUGGUUUUUGGCAUACUUGCUGUACAAAAUAAUUUAGGGAUUAGACAUAAUUCACCUAUUACACUUGGCUUUAUGGCACGAUCUGAAGAAUGAACAGAAAUUAACAUUUCCUAAAUGCCACGUAGCCUCCUGCUUAUAAAUGUGGUGCAUAACAUAUCGAUAAACAAGACUCUACAUAGACACGACUUUGUAGACUCCCUAGGAUGACCCGCUCUGAUACCACUUCUAUCACGCCUCAAAUCCCAUUAAGGCGGACUAGUACCAGUUGCUGAUAAGGCCCGGGAGAACCAACUAUAUCUAUGCCCUUUCUAUAUGAAAUAUAAUGAAUUCCACCUUUAAUAUGCCUUUAAAAAGUAAAUAGUACUGACAAGCCGAAAGGAAAAGCAUAUGACUAGGCCGUUGGGGCCACGCUGUCUGAAGUACAAAAUAUUCCCACACCUUAAUUUACAUAGUCUACAAAGCCUCUAAAUAAUAAUAAGUGUUUGAUAAGGGUCGGGACAGGCCCCGCCUUAACUAACUGUACAAUACCAAAACAUAAGCUCUAGACAUGCAAAGCCCCGAAGCAACCUAGAGCUUGGUGACCACUGCUGGAUAUCCUAUACUCCUACUGGGGAGGUCUACUAGCACCUGUUCCUGCAGCAUGAAAUGUAGGUCCCCCAUAAGGGACAUCAAUACGAGAUAAUGUACUGAAUAUGUAAGGCAGGAAACAUUGUAUAUGAAAUAAGAACUCAAAUGAAACUUUGUACUAAUGUAUGAUAAGAGACCGCCUUUGAUUAUACUGUGGGAUCAUGUACUUUACAUUCUUUACAUCACUUUACCUUUACUGUAACAUCUGUAUAAUCUGUGCACANNNNNNNNNNNNNNNNNNNNNNNNNNNNNNNNNNNNNNNNNNNNNNNNNNNNNNNNNNNNNNNAUGUAUGAUAAGAGACCACCUUUGAUUAUACUGUGGGAUCAUGUACUUUACAUUCUUUACAUCACUUUACCUUUACUGUAACAUCUGUAUAAUCUGUGCACAGUAUAUGCUAUAAAAGACCCAGCUGAUUAGGGGUAACUGUAUCGGGUUCAUCCCUGGCUAGGCUCUUCCUUAGCUCCCUCGGGCUACCCCCCGUGAUAGGAUCGUCCCUAGCUAGGUGAUUCUUCCACCCCUUUGGGCUACCACCUAUCUAUAAGCAAUAUUCUUUACCUUUCAAUUACCUUUAAGAUGAUCUUUUGGUGAUCAUAUUAUUGGAGCUUUGGAAUUGUGUAGACAGCAUAUAACAUAUAGAUAACCAUACAAUACCAUAUGACGAUGAAAGGAGUAUAUUACACAAAUAGUGAAAUGCGUAUGAAAUGAAACAACUUAUGGACUUUAUUUGGCAACAAGAACCCAUGUAAGUUGGUAUCUACAUAUGUAUGUAGCUAUGAAGGUAACUUUGUAUGUAUGUAGCUUUGAAAGUGAAUAUGUAUGACAAUAUAACACAUGAAAGGGUGAAGAUACUGUUACUAAUUGUGUCGGAGUUGGUAAGUGCCUUUAUGUACCAAUAUGGAAUCUAUGUUUCAUGCCAAGUGAAAGGAAAUCAAAUAGCCUUACAUACCUCGUUGUACGACCUCGAUUUUACCUUGGAAUAACCUUCCCUUCCUCAAAAUGUUUAGCUGCAACAUAGUAAUUAAUAAAACUAGCAUUAGAGGCCAAUAGACACAUCUUAGACACCCAAUUUCACAUAGAAACAACACCCGGGCAGCAAGCAUGCAACUACAAUCCCGAGCAUUUUUUCCACUAUUUUGCCUUUAAUUGCAUUUCCUAAUGGACAUUAACAUCUACACAUUAUGUACAACCUGUCUUAGCAUCACACCAGCCUCAUAACAGUCCACAAAAUAGGGCACACAAUAAUUCUAUGCAACAAACAAAUGGAUAGCAUAACGUUACAUCUUUUUGCUACCUUUCGACGUCGGUAAUCCCAAACCUAUCUCAAAUUUAACCAAACUAUUUUCAACACAUUUAUACAUACUAGCCACCUUUAAACAGUCUCAGUAAAGUACCAAAUCAGUCAUGAAAGAUAUGAAGCAACAACCAUAUAUACAUCAGUCCACAAGUUCAAUCAACAACACAAUUGCGACAUCAUAUAGAAACUCAAUUUUAUGGACUGUAAAGGCAAUCAAACAGCCUGAUUAUACCACUGUCAACCUAUCCUUUGUUAAGUACAUAAGUAAUACUUCAUACUACAGCAAACCAAGAAGAGAAACAACUCAUAAUUAGCAAAAAAAGUACACAGCAACAUCAACAACACAUGCUGUCCAGAAAUUUCAGCAUCAACACAACCAACAUAUUCUCUUGUUUGUCAUGAGAAAGUUAUACUAAACACAUACUUAAGAUUGCUUACCUUAUCCUUCAAGAGUAAGAUGUCUUCAAGAACCCUAGAAGGUUUUCUUGGCUGCUCUUAGAUAUAAAGAAAGGAGAGUAUAAUGUUUUCCUUAGAAGCUGAAAAUUAUAGUCAAUUGUUUAGUGAAAUUGUUGGCUGUUUUGACCCCUUUUAAAGUGCAGCUUUGGCCGACCUUGGCUUUAAGUUUUAGCUACACAUAAUUAUGUAUAACAUAGCUAGUGAUGUAAUAGCUUCCUAGUUAAAAUUUGGGCCAAAUGGAUCUCUAAUGAUAAUGGACUUGGGCUGUCCAAUUUGCAGAUUUUUCUUCUUUUGUUUUGGGCCCAAUUAGUCAAGUGUUAUGGAAUGUUGUUGGGCCUAUUUAAUCCUUCAUGUUAGGCUGUAAAUAUGGCUCACUUAUAGUACUAUAACAUUGGCCAAAGAUACCUCCUUAACUCGAACUUUAUUCAUAAUCGGAAUUGGACAAUUUCGACAUCGGGUCUCAUCUCCGUUUAACUCGCAAAUUCAAGCUAAGGAAGUAGCUGACUCACCUGCUAGCUUCCUAAGUCCUACAAGCACCUCAAUUAUUUUCUUUUGUUUAGGGUCUUUGUCCCCUUAACUCGAUGUAACUCAUUUAUAUGCGCAACUUUCUUAAACUUUAGAUACACACGACGCCCUUUAACACGAGAUGCAAACACGUUUAAAAUUGGCACUAAUUUGAAAGUCCAUAUUAUGUUUCAUAUGUGUAGUACAAAUACUUAUAGUUUGUGUGGGGUGUUACAAUUUUGAUACUAUUUUAAAUUUAUUAAAUUAAAAAUCAACUCCAAUAUGAAAAUUGACAUUUUGAUGAAAUGAAAAGGUAGUUUCAAGAGUCACAAUGUUAUAUUUGCAAGUCUUUAAAUUGUGACAUGCACUAUAAUCUAGAGAGUUUUGCUUUCGACUAACUCCAUUUUCAUCUUUUUUUUUCCUCACAAUUUUUAUUUUCUUCGUGGAGGCUAAGGAGGAACUCUACUUAGGUCUUAUUUGUGGUCUAUUUAGUAAAAGAACUAAAUUUUCACAAAUUCUUCUAUAUUAUUUUAACCUUGUAACAAUCACGAACAAAGUAACAAAUGUUAUCCUUUUUAGUCCAAAUUACUAUAAUAGCAUGCUUGCAAAGAAUUUCAGUGAGACUUCAUUUUCUGUAAGUACAAAUUUUGUUCCCCAAGUCAAUUGUACAAUUAUUAGUAAUUGUAGCUCAUAAAAUUUCAUAGUUGUGUAAUGACCUUCAAGGUCAUUUUUGUACUUUUAUGCUAUUUUACCAUUUUACCUCUCUUCAUAAUUUCUUUAUGGUCUUUGUAUGGUGUUGGGAUGGGUGGCAUGCUCCCAGUGGUGGUUGGGAGAUUUGGGUGAGAUUUCCUUUUUUCAGAAGCCUUAAGUGAAAAAGGGCUAGCUUUAGUCAAUAUCUGGAGAUCGAGCAUCGUAUAAAAAUUUUAAUAGUUUCAUCAGCUGGAAAAGGACCAUUUUGAUCUAGAAAGAAGGUUGGUUUGGGUUUCAGGGCUUUUGUUUUGAGUUUAUGCAGUUAGACAUUUUAACUUUUAAGUUUAGGCUAGGAUUGACUUUGAUCAAUAUUUCGGGUAAAUGCGCUUGAAUGAAAAUUUAACAGUGCAAUUAGCUUUAGAACACUGAGCUUGGUCUAGAAUGACCUUUGGUUCAAUUCUCGAGGUGCUUGAAAUGAGUUUUUGGUCAUUUAUAUGUUAAAUUCUUGAAAGUGUUAAGUUCGAUCAAUAUUGUGAUGAGACGACAUUCGAUGGUCAAUUCAGUGAUUCUGUUGAGUCUAAAAUGCCACUUCUAAUUAGGAGCCUAGUUUGUUUGUGUUGAUGGGGUGUCAAAUCAAUUUUGACCCCUGUUAGAGUAAUUUUCUCAAACUUAGCCUAUUGGUGCAACACAUAAUUAUUCUCCAUGUUCGUAGAGUGCGAAGCUUCUAGACCUCUGCAUUUGGAAAAGAGCCUCUGCAUUCGUGGAGGUGUAGCCAGUUUGAAUGUCACAACCCAAGCCUAAGGCUUAGUCGUAACACGAUAAUUAAGGGAUACGAAGGUACCUCACCCAAGUCUCUUAUCAUUCAUCAAGCAUUCAUAGGUAAUUAGCAAUAUAAUGCGACAUUUAAAGUGGGGAAUGAGACUAAGGAAAUCAUUCAAACAUUGGAAAAUACAAAAAAAGUCAGCUCAAAACAUAACAUCCAAACAUACCAAUCUACAUAAAGACUUAGCGGGCGCUAUGAAUAAGUAAGCUCCCUUCAAAUACAAAAGUCAUUAAAAUAAGAUAGAAAUUAAAAGUCUUUGACAAUAACUCAUACUACAUAAAUGCUUCGUACAUACUAGCAUGAAGGAAGGGUUGAAAUCUCCGAACUAAGGGCUCACCAAAGCUACUAGUCUUGGUCGUCAAAAGCUAGCCAUAUGCCCGUGAAGGAGACAGAACACCGGUCCCUACAGGGUGACAUCAUAUAGGCAAAAUAUGUGUUAGUACGUGGAAAUGUAUGAAAACAUGAUGUAAUGUCAUCAUUUAUAAAAUUUAGAAGUCUCCCUGCAUGAAAUUGUAAUUUCAUCGUUCAAAACAAGCUUAAACAUAAUCAAGGAAUAAAGUUCCAUAUGAAGUAAGAAUCAAUGUAUCAUAUAGAAAGGAUGUGAUAGAACAAAGACAUCAAAUCACAAACUUUGUGGGAGAAGAUCGUAACUGACAUAUGAGACCAUGUGAGCUACUACAUAAAAUUCAACAUAAUACCAUACGUUGACACGUGGAGACCUCUUGCCAGGUGAAACUCCGUCAACUUAAGGAUGCAUCUUUCUUUAUCAUUAGGGAUUUUGUGGAUCCACUAGCCUAACCUACAAGGAUUUCUAUGGUGACACAAAGUUAAUGAAACAAGGGGUUGCUAGUAGGGUUCCCUUAUCGAACUCCACUUUAAUGCCUAAUUUGGUGCUAAGUAAAUCCCACAAAACACUUUAAAAUACUAGCAUAAUCAUGCAAUUGUAACUUAGAAAUCAUAAGUAGCAAUAUAUAGGAGUAACUAAUUCAUUUGGGAUCUACUCAAGUGAGAAUUGAUUUUUCACAUUGAGAGUCCAUCAUAACAUGCAUACAUCUUUAACAACAUUUAUAACUUUAAAACUUACUUUUAGAUCAUAUCUUUAACAUCGUUCAAAACACUCAUCAUGAACUUAGUAAGAUUAUGAAAUGACUUAAAAUCACAUGAUUCACGGAUAUAACACAUGAACAUGAUAAAAUAUGUAACUUUAAAACCAAGAUUAAAUAGCUCACAUCAAUAUUGAAAAAUCCUAGAUAAUGAAGUCAUAUCAAUCAACUUAAUAAUCAUAAGAACUCAUGGUAUAUCUUCACAUUACAUCAUUGAUAGCAAAAUACAUGUAAAUAUAUGACAAAAAACGUCAUUUAAAUCAUACUCAUGAAUCUCAUAAUUUUCAAGAACUUAAAGAAAAAGUAAAAGAAAUCAUUUAGAAACUUUAUGGGUGGAAGAAAAUCACAAAUGAAACUCACAUACUUGUAAAUGGCCUUAAGAAAAGGAUUAAAGGAGUUGAGGAAGAAAGCUCUUGUGAAGAAACCCUAAUCUUUGCCCUUUCCUUGAGUGUUGUUGCCUUGGAAAUUUUGAGAGAAUUAGGAAUAGAGUGAACAAAAGGAUUUAUGAUUUGAUAUGGGAGUCAAAAGAAUGUCAAAACAAAGUAGUUUUAGGCUUAUAUUAUGGGGAAUGGACAAAAUACCCUUCAUUAAAACUGUCAAAAUCUUAUCCAUGACCCCGAUUGUGGGCUGUAAACCAAACCACGAACUGUACUUGGGGUUUCAUCUUGUUCAACUUUUGAAACUCCUGAAACUGUCUCUAAAGGUCGAUCUAUAAAACUUAUGUACGACUUAUAGAUUGGUCUAGCAAUCAUAGACUUAUUUGUAGAGUACCCCUACACUAGGAAAAUUUCCAAAUCUCAGGACUCUAUCUACGAGACCAAACUACGGUCUAUAAACCUAAGUACGAGUCAUCCUAUUUGUUCAUAAUGCAAUCUUCAGAAACCAUUUUUCUACCAACUCAAGUCAUCAAACCACGAGCCCAUUCUACAGUCCUUUGUUACAUUUAUAGACCGUAAAUAUCCUUUAUGAAUGGCCUUCACACUUAGUUGAUUUCUCACUUAGUCUGACCCCAUCCACGAGCCUUAUUUACAAUUUGUGGUUUAGACAAGAAGUCAUAAAUGAGUCUUGUACUUAGAACUACAACAUUUCUAGUUCAACUUCUUCUAACUUUCUAACCUCCUAACUUGCAGGUCCUUACACCGAACCUUUGUGUUUGCAGAGGGUAACCUAUUCGGACCUCCGUAUUCAUGGAGUAAAAAUAGGUGUUUGAUAGUGACUAAAAAUAGUCCAUUUCAAACUCUUAUGUCCUAUUUCAGAACUUAGUUUUCUUGGAUUUUCUAGAACAUUUCUUGGUCAUUUUCAAUGAUUUUAUUCCAAUGAAUCAACAACUCUCAUGGGGACAUUCUAGUGACAUUUUUUCUCCUAGAAUACUUGUAAUUAUUGCUCAAUUUUGUCCCUUCUCUUCUAUUUUCAAUAUUCUAAGGCUUGAGUUUUAGAUGGAUUGAUUUAGACUUUCCUGUUCUUGGUUAGUACUCAUUUUUGGGACCUUAUGGUGGAUUUAGUUUUUCGAUUUCAUAUGCAGAUCCAAAUAUUAAAUUUUGAUUCGUUUCUAAUUCAAAGUUAUUAUUGCACUAUUGGUAUUGCUAUAUUUUUGAUGAGUUCUUUGAUAAUUUGAUAGAGUGACAUGGUUUAGAGGCUAUUCAGAAGGAUAAAGCUCCGAUUUUGUAGUUCGGGUGUAAUUCAGCUUUGAGGUAGGUUACGAUCUUUCUUUCUAAACUAGACUUAGUUAGAUUUGAUAUAACUUGAGUAGCAUUGUCUGAUUAGGAAGAUAUUUUAGUAAAUUGUACCCUCAUGAUAUUUUAGUAAAUUGUACCCUAGGUAGAAUCUAGUAGCAUUGUUGGAUAAUUGAUGAACUUUUAGGCUAAGGAAGCCUUAGCUUAGGUGAAAUCUUGAUGUGUGAACUAUAUGGAAUCCUUAGAGAUGGCUCUUAGGUGGUAUAAACUUAGGCCGAGUGCAUGUUGUAUUAUCAUAUUCUAUAUGCCAUAAUUGUGUACUUUUCAAUCAUUAUUGCUAAAUUGGUGAAAUCUCUCAUUCUAUUGAAAUUAUAAUGUUGUUGAAAAUUUUCAUCUCAAAUGUGUAAUUUUGGUGAAACUUGGUUUAAAAUGGUGAUAAAUGAGAUGCAAUUGACAAAAAAAAAUUGAACUUGGAGAAUUCAUGAAACUAUUAAGUAAUUUUGAAAAUUUAGUAAAAAGAUGGCUUUGGCAUGAAUUAUAUAUCUAGUAAUCUACUCAUAUUUGAUAAACUCAAGGAAUAUUUUCUGGUGGCCUGUAGAAAUAUUUGGAUGGUUCAUACAUACUUUUUCGAGUUCUUAUUUCAUUGAUGAUGAGCUCGAGGUGAUUCCAUUGGUCUAUCACUAUUUUUGAGUUUAUUAUUUUAUCACUCAUACGAUAUAGAUAUCUCUGGGCUUUGUGAUUGUAUUGGUAUUAUAGUAUCCCUUGAUGCUUGGUUAUAUUCUUGUGGAUUGUUGAUGGUUUUCUCGAUAUUUAUCUUAUAUUUGUUUAUUGAGUUUACUCUUAUUUAGUUGUGUCAUCAUACUAUUUUUGUCAUAUUUCAUCUUUCAGAGCUCGAUCGACCUAUGAUGCCUACUAGUACCCCAUAUUUUUGAUACUCAUACUGUGCUUCUGCGACUCUUUUUGAUGAAGCUACCUAUUUGAACCUCUCUCAGUGUGUGCUUUUUGAUCAUCCAUAGCAGCACCAAAUUCGAAUAGUGGUGAGCUCCUGGUAUCCAAAAACUUGUUACUUUCCUUCCCCUUUUACUGACUGUGAUUUUGUAUUCUAGACAAUCAGACCCUUGUAUUAUAUAUAAUUUAUCAACCUUUUAUAUUUAAUAUCUCCUGCAUGUGACAUCAAGCCUGGGUGGUUAUCUAGUAUCAGUUUUUUGUUGAGUUACUUUUGGGCAUUUAGUAUAUUUUGUAUUGCAUUACAUAUCUAUGCUUGACCUGAUUCUAUUGGUUAGAUUAUUUUUACUUUUGCUUAUUUUUACUAUCUUAUUCUUUAUUGUAAAUAAAUUAUCUUAUGCAAAACUCUUAAAAUUUUGGGUUUGGCUUGCCUAAUAGAGUGUUUUGAUAGGAACCAUCAUGACCCAAAAUUAGAUCGUGACAGAGUGAUAUCAGAGCUUAGGUUUACUAGUCUCAUUAUUACAAGAUCAAGUGUCUAGUAGUCUUGCAGAUCGAUAUGAUGACGUCCGUAUCCAAUCUUUGAGAGACUAUUCAUUUUUAAUUCUAAUCAUGCAUGGAAAAUAAUAGUAGCAUCUAAAAUUUAUUGUUUUACUCUUUCUUAGAUGGUGAGGAUGAGAUCCACCGGAGGUGGUUAAGGGACCCCUACGCCUAUAAUGGAGCCCCAAUAUGGGGCUGGGGCCGAGAUCAACCCAAAGGUCGGGGUAAAGCUAGAGCCACAACACUAGCUCACGAUCAGGAGUAGGCACCAACACUAAAGCUUGAGUUUGAGGCUAAGCACUCUGAGCAUUAGCUUGCUGAUGGGAACACAACCUUGCUUCCACUCAAUUCAUGGACACACCAAUAUUAUAAGAUACUUUGGUCAGUAUCCUCAGCUUCAUGAAGGGUAUGUCCCAAGUAACCUAUCACGCCCGGGACCAGGGCCUCAUAAAUUCACUUAACUCAUAUACCAUACAUUAGGCCUUCAACAACUCAAGAAAGCAUUAAUUGGACAUUUUAUCAAAUAUUUGGCGGGUGUGUAAUGUUAGUAUAAAACCAUGCAAUUCAAAAGUGAAAUCAUGCAAGAAAAUUUGAAAUAAAUCAACCCACCAACACUUGGUAAUACCCUCAUGCAAUAUACAUUGAAACCCUUUAUCAUCACAAAAUAGAUCAUAGCUUCAUAGCUCAAAACAUGCUUAAAUAGUCGCAAGUUUAUGAAACCCCAACAUAGUUCAUAGUCAAAUUCAUAGUAGGUAAGACCCAUAAGUAAAUCAAAUUAGAAACAUGCAAUUUGUGUAAAAAGAAAGGUUGGGCACCAUGGGUGAAAGGAUCCAAUGGUUGAAACCCAUAUACCUUAGCUUCGGAGAAUUCCUUGAUGAAGACUGGAUUGAGAACUUGAAGCUUGAAUGAAUUCCUUAAGACCCGGAAGGAGAUUUGGCACUUGAAUUUUGAGUGAAAUAUUUGUCUAAGUGUUUGAGGGAGUAUUAGGGAAUCUCUUGUAUAAUAUGGUGUUAAAAUAUGGUUAAGUAUAGGUAUUUUCAUGUAUGGGAAGACUUAGGCCAAAAAUCCAAACGCCUUGGACCGAGAUAAAUUAACUGGGCAAAAAUAACACUGAGGGUGCACACUGCUUACUCGAAAUUACAGUUUUGGAUUUUUAAAUUUUGAUUCAGUUGCUCUAAAAUUGGGGUUAGACAUAUUUCCUACUCAAUUUUUCCCCCGAUCACGAAUAUGAAGUUGAAUUUUUGAUAUCACGCACAAAUUUUGAGAUAUAUGAAAAUUAUAAAUUUAGGCACACUUUCGGGCACUUUUUUGGGUCGUUUCAAUAUCUCCCCCUUGGGAAUAUUCGUCCCCUAAUGUCAAAGAAACAUACAUAAGAAGGAUAAUCAUGAAGAGAUCAGCCCCAACAAGAAUGAAAUAAUGCACUUAAACAUCAUUUUCAAAAAUCUCAACAUAAUUGUCAAAAUCACCAUGAACUUGUCAAUAUAAACAUGAAUGCAUGCAAAUGACAUAUGGGCUGAUACAUAAGACUUGAAAUCAAAGGACUUAGAAUUAGUACCUUAAGCUUGAGUGGAAUGGAAGAGAUAGGGAUAUCACUUUUGUAUGUCCGCUUCGGCCUCCCAUGUAGCACUUUCGACUUGUUGAUUCCUCCAAAGGACCUUAAUAGAAGCCACAUCCUUGUUCCUCAACCUCUUCACUUGUCUAUCCAAGAUCUCUAUUGGAACCUCUUAAUAAGUCAAGUUAUCUUCAACAACACCCACAACAUCCAACGGGACAAUAGCAUUCGGAUUACCCACACAUUUCCUCAACAUGGACACAUAAAAGACUAGAUGAACCAAGUCCAUUUUACUAGGCAACUCCAACUCAUAUGCCACCUUACCAAUCUUCCUUAACACCCUACAAGGACCCACAUAUCUGGGACUCAAUUUACCCUUUUUAGUAAAAUGAACCAUACCCUUCAUGGGUGAGACCUUCAAAUAGACCCAAUCACCAACUUUAAAUUCAAGUUCCCGUCUCGUCACAUCGGCAUAGGACUUUUGACGACUUUGGGCUGUUUUAAAUAUUUCCCUAAUCAACCUUACCUUCUCCAUAGUCUUCAUAACCAGAUCUGGACCCAACAAUGCCAUUUCUCCUACUUCAACCACCUAAUCGGUGACCUACAAUGCCUACCAUAGAGGGCCUCAAAAGGAGCCAUACCAAUGCUGGAAUGAUAGCUAUUAUUAUGCGCAGACCCAAUCAAUGGAAGAUGAUCAUCCCAACUACCAUUAAACUUCAAAAUACAAGCUCUAAGCAUAUUCUCAAGAGCUUGGAUAGUUCUUUCGGCUUGGCCAUCCAUUUGAGGGUGAAUGGCCAUAAUAAGCUUAACCUUGGUACUAAGACUUCUUUGGAAGGACUUCCAAAACUGAGAAGUGAAUUGAGCACCAUGAUUCGAUAUGAUGGACAAAGGCACCCCUUGCAAUCUAACCAACUCAGAAUAUAUAAUUUAGCAUAGUCUUCAACCCCAUAAGUAGUCUUAACCGAUAGGAAACGAGCCAACUUUGUCAUCCUAUCAACCACAACCCAAAUAGAAUCAAAACCCUUUCUAGUCUUAGGCAACCCAACCACAAAAUCGAUGUUAAUUUCCUCUCACUUCCAAGUAGGAAUCUCUAUUUCUUGAGUUAGGCCACCCAACCUUUGGUGUUUGACUUUGACUUAUUGGCAACUAUGACAACCAGAUACAAAUUUGGCAAUGUCUUUCUUCAUACCUCCCCACUAAAACAUAUCCCUCAAAUCUCUAUACAUCGUAGUAGAAUCGGGGUGAAUAGAAUAAGAAGAAUUAUGAGCCUCAUCAAGAAUCCUCUUUCUCAAGUCAUCCAUACAAGGCACAUACAACCUACCUUGGUACCUAAGGGCACCAUCUCCUUCUUGGGAGAAAACCUCUACCUUGUCCUCUCUCACCAAGGCUUCAAUUCUAACAAGGAGGGGUCAAGAUCUUACUUUGUNCAUCCUUGUUCCUCAACCUCUUCACUUGUCUAUCCAAGAUCUCUAUUGGAACCUCUUAAUAAGUCAAGUUAUCUUCAACAACACCCACAACAUCCAACGGGACAAUAGCAUUCGGAUUACCCACACAUUUCCUCAACAUGGACACAUAAAAGACUAGAUGAACCAAGUCCAUUUUACUAGGCAACUCCAACUCAUAUGCCACCUUACCAAUCUUCCUUAACACCCUACAAGGACCCACAUAUCUGGGACUCAAUUUACCCUUUUUAGUAAAAUGAACCAUACCCUUCAUGGGUGAGACCUUCAAAUAGACCCAAUCACCAACUUUAAAUUCAAGUUCCCGUCUCGUCACAUCGGCAUAGGACUUUUGACGACUUUGGGCUGUUUUAAAUAUUUCCCUAAUCAACCUUACCUUCUCCAUAGUCUUCAUAACCAGAUCUGGACCCAACAAUGCCAUUUCUCCUACUUCAACCACCUAAUCGGUGACCUACAAUGCCUACCAUAGAGGGCCUCAAAAGGAGCCAUACCAAUGCUGGAAUGAUAGCUAUUAUUAUGCGCAGACCCAAUCAAUGGAAGAUGAUCAUCCCAACUACCAUUAAACUUCAAAAUACAAGCUCUAAGCAUAUUCUCAAGAGCUUGGAUAGUUCUUUCGGCUUGGCCAUCCAUUUGAGGGUGAAUGGCCAUAAUAAGCUUAACCUUGGUACUAAGACUUCUUUGGAAGGACUUCCAAAACUGAGAAGUGAAUUGAGCACCAUGAUUCGAUAUGAUGGACAAAGGCACCCCUUGCAAUCUAACCAACUCAGAAUAUAUAAUUUAGCAUAGUCUUCAACCCCAUAAGUAGUCUUAACCGAUAGGAAACGAGCCAACUUUGUCAUCCUAUCAACCACAACCCAAAUAGAAUCAAAACCCUUUCUAGUCUUAGGCAACCCAACCACAAAAUCGAUGUUAAUUUCCUCUCACUUCCAAGUAGGAAUCUCUAUUUCUUGAGUUAGGCCACCCAACCUUUGGUGUUUGACUUUGACUUAUUGGCAACUAUGACAACCAGAUACAAAUUUGGCAAUGUCUUUCUUCAUACCUCCCCACUAAAACAUAUCCCUCAAAUCUCUAUACAUCGUAGUAGAAUCGGGGUGAAUAGAAUAAGAAGAAUUAUGAGCCUCAUCAAGAAUCCUCUUUCUCAAGUCAUCCAUACAAGGCACAUACAACCUACCUUGGUACCUAAGGGCACCAUCUCCUUCUUGGGAGAAAACCUCUACCUUGUCCUCUCUCACCAAGGCUUCAAUUCUAACAAGGAGGGGUCAAGAUCUUACUUUGUUUUUACCUCAUCAACCAAGGAAGAUUUUGAACCAUCAACAACCACAAUACCACCAUUAUCAACCUCUUCCAACCUAACCCCCAAUCUAGCCAACCGAUGAACCUCCCUAGCCACCUCUUUGCCCCCAUCAUCAACAUGAGCUAGGCUACCCAUAGACACCCUACUCAAAGCAUCCGCCACAACAUUAGCCUUAUCCGGAUGAUAAUAUAUACUCAUAUCAUAAUUCUUAAGAAGUUCUAACCAUCUUCAUUGCCUCAAGUUGAGAUCUUUUUGAGUGAAUACAUAUUGGAGAUUCUUACGAUCGGUAAACAUAUCAACAUGCACUCCAUACAAAUAAUGACACCAAAUUUUCAAAGCAAAUACCACGGCGGCCAAUUCAAGAUCAUGAGUAGGAUAAUUAUUUUCAUGCACUUUGAGUUGUCUAGAAGCAUAAGCUAUCACCAUACCAUUUUGCAUCAAAACACAACCCAAACCAAUUCGUGAGGCAUCACAAUACACAACAAACCCUUCCAACCCUUCUGGUAGAGACAAGAUAGGAGCGGAGACAAGAUUAUACUUCAAGGUUUGGAAACUCUUUUCAUACUCAUCGGUCCACACAAAUUUUGCCUUCUUUUGAGUCAACUUAGUCAUAGGAGAAGCAAUAGAGGAGAACCCAAUUGCAAACCUCCGGUAGUAACCCGCUAAGCCUAAGAAACUUCUAAUGUCCAAUGGGGUCAAAGGUCUAGGUUAAUUUCUAAUCACUUUUACCUUUUUAGGAUCUAUCCUAAUACCGUCCCCUGACACCACAUGACCUAAAAAGGCAACCUCUUUCAACCAAAAUUUACAUUUCUCAUACUUAGCAUACAACUUCUCUUCCCUCAAGUUUUGUAGUGCCACUCUCAAAUGACCCACAUGCUCCUCCUUACUAUGAGAAUAGAUCAAAAUAUUAUCGAUGAAAAUCAUGGAAAACAAGUCAAGGUAGGGCUUGAAGACCCUAUUCAUAAGAUCCAUGAAGAUAGCCGGUGCAUUGGUCAACCCAAAAGACAUAACUACGAAUUCAUAGUGCUCAUACCUACUCUGGAAAGCCGUCUUGGGAAUGUCACACUCCCUCACCUUUACUUGGUGAUACCUGGACAAAAGAUCUAUCUUAAAGAAGUGACUAGCCCCUUGAAGUUGGUCAAAUAGAUCAUCAAUCCUUGGUAGAUGGUGCUUAUUCUUGAUGGUGACUCUAUUAAGUUGUCAGUUAUUAAUGCACAUUCUAAGAGAACCAUCCUUAUUCUUCACAAACAACACCAGUACUCCCCAAGGUGAUUGGCUAGGCCUAAUAAAACCCUUCUCUAACAAGUCCCUCAAUUGUUCCUUCAACUCUAUUAACUCCGCCGGGGCCAUAUGGUAAGGGGGAAUAGAAAUGGGUAGAGUAUCGAGAAGGAGAUCUAUACCAAAGUCUACUUCCCUUUCGGGAGGAACACUGGGAAGGUCGUUAGGAAAGACAUCAAGGAACUCAUUUACCAUCGAAACUGACUCUGUGGGAAGGACUUUGGACUCCACAUCCCUAAACCUCACAAGAUGGUAGAGACACCCCUUAAAGAUCAAGUUCUGGGCUUUAAUGCAAGAGAUAAACCUACCUUUGACCACCACAUUAUGACUCUCCUACUUAAGGACGGGUUUAUUGGAGAAUUGGAACUUUACCCUACGGGUUCUAUAAUAAAUAGAGGCAUAAUAUGCAUGCAAUCAAUCCAUCCCAAAAAUGGUAUCAAAAUCCACCAUAUCCAACUCAACAAGAUCACAAGGCAAAAUUUUAUGCAAAAUACAAACAUGACAAUUCCUAUAGACCUUUCUAGCAAUAAUAGAUGCACAAAUGGGAGUAGACACCUCAUAAGACUCACACAACUAUUCGGGCUCAACAUGAAACUUUUUGGCAACAAAAGGAGUAACAAAAAAAAGAGUGGUACCCGGGUUCUAUUAAUGCAUACACAUCAAAAUCAAAGACUUUUAACAUACCAAUGAUGACAUCGGGCACCUCAUCAACCUCUUGUUUCCCUUGGAGUGUAUAGAACCAAGUGUGACUUGGGGCAUAACCUUGUUGACCUUCUCUCCCCAAAGGAACCACAUUAGCACCUUGGCCUUGUGGACGAACAUCUUUGCCCUUAUUGCGAUUACAUGGACAAUCCAUUGUCUUAUGCCCCACUUCCCCAUAAUUGUAAUAGGCACUAGUAUACCUCAAGCAUGGGCCACUAUGACCCUUCCCACAUUUUGGACAAAUAAUAUUAGGCACCACACCACCAUCACCUUGGGCCCUUGGGUAGUAAUUGGUAAACGUUCCAUUAGGAGCAUGAGAAGAUCCUUGGCCUUGAUGAAAUUGGCCAGCCUUGGGACUUUGGAACCUUCCAUCAAAAUGGGCCCUCUUGGCCUCAUUACCCCUCCUCUUUCUUAACUUCUCCCUUUCCAAUUGUUUGACAUAAGUCAUUAGGCUGGACAAGUACAUAUCACUAAUCAACAUAGCACCCAACCCUCCUCAUUCACCAAAUCAGAUAUACCUAUUAUGAACUUGUUCAUUUGAGACCUCGGGUCGGCAACCAAGUGUGGAGCAUAUUUAGAGAGUUGGUUGAACUUGAAGGCAUACUUCCUCAGACUCAUCGAUCCUUCUUUCAAAUGCAUGAACUCCAUUAUUUUGGCCUCCCUAAGAUUAAGAGGGAAAGACCAAUUGAGGAAAGCCGCCUUAAAAUCCUCUCAAAGAAUCAUAUGGUUGAUCCCCUUCUCCUCCUUCCAUUGAGUAUACCAAAUUUGAGCCACCCCUUGAGUUGGCAAGAUGCCAACUCUGCCUUCUCUUCCAAUCUCACACCUAUAAUAACCAACACUUUGUACACCUCAUCAACAAAUUCUUGAGGGUCCUCAUCCACUUUAGACCCAUAGAACUCCGGUGGGUUCAUCCCCAUAAAAUUUCUCACCCAAGAUGCCAGAAUGGGAGCAUGAGGGGAUUGGGCCCCUUGAUUGACAUGAUUAGCCAUGGCUUGAGCUAGUAAGGUAAGAGCAUCCCAGAGCUCUCCAUGAACCGGUUGUCCCUCGGAUGUGCGGGCUCUUCUUCCUCUUGUGUUAGGUAUGGUCUAAAAAUGGCAAAGAACAUUCAUUAGAAGGGAAACAUUACCUGAGUUCUUUGGCAUAACAUAGAUCAUGAAGAAGGGAAACCUUACCUAACUUCUUUAGCACGACAUAGAUCAUGAAGAAGGGAAACAUUUCCAAAAAUAUCUCAAAGCCUCUUACUCAUAGUUGUGUUGCACAACACAACCAUGAAUAAGACUCUAAUCAAUAUGGUAUGUUGGAUGCCGAGGACCAUUAACAACCUAGUUCUCUGAUACUAAAUUUAUCAUAACUCGAGCCUAGGGCCUAGACAUGACACGACGAAUGGGGAACUCGAAGGGACCCCAAUCAAGCCCCUGAACAUAUCAUUACACAUCCUUGGUCGCUGAAGCAAUAAUAUAAUAAUAAAAGAAUAGAAAUAAGGGAAAAAGGACUAAGAAAAGACUUUCAUAACAUAAACAUAAAAGAGUCAAGCUCAUAGCAUCAAUACAUAACUUGUCCAACAACACCUCUAAUACACAAAAUUGAGCGGGGGCCAAGAUAACUUUUCGAGCUCACCCUCAUAGUCAUAAGCAUGCAUAAAAAAAAGAGUCUUUAUACAUAACAUAGGAUCAAAGACAUUGUCCCUGAAAUUAAGGACUCACCAACUAGCUUUGAUAGAAAUCGUAGUAGCCCCGUGGAGGAUGAGGAUAAUGGUGAGGUACUCCGGUUCCUACAUGGUAACAUCAUGUAGGCAUAGCGUAUGCAUUAGUACAUUUGAAUGUACUAAGUAUGUUGGAUAUAAUGCAACAGGAGAUAAGCAACAUAAUCAAAAUGCUUAUUUAGGCAAUAAAUGAGCAUAUAGUAAUAUGACAUAUAUGAAUGAUGCUUGUAGUGAAACAUGCUUACAUAGAAAAUUUUACACGUGUAGGAAGAAACCAUCAUUAGUAACCAAGACAUAGGCCUUGGCGAGGCGAUUGAGGUAUAAACCCCCCAACAUGGUUGCACGGGCCUACCACCCCUCGAGCUAGGUAAUUUGAGGAAUAAACCUCCCAACAUGGUUGCAUGGGCUUACCACCUCCCGAGCUAGGCGAUUGAGGUAUAUAUCGCCCAAUAUGGUAGUUUGGGCCUACUACCCCCCGAUCGAGGCAAUUGAUCAACUUCCAACACUAUAGAUAUAAUUCAUAAAAUUAACACAUAUACAUAUCUUUUUCAUCAUCAUAAAGUCACUUAACUCAUAUACCAUACAUUGGGCCUUCAACAACUCAAGAAAGCAUUAAACGGACAUUUUAUCAAAUACUUGGGGGGUGUAAUGCUAGUAUAAAACCAUGCAUUUCAAGAGUGAAAUCAUGCAAGAAAACUUGAAGUAAAUCAACCCAUCAACCUUGGUAAUACCCUCAUGCAAUAUACAUUGAAACCCUUUAUCAAAUCUUAAAAUAGAUCAUAGAUUCAUAGCUGAAAACAUGCUUAAACAGUCACAAGUUUAUGAAACUCUAACAUAGUUCAUAGUCAAAUUCAUAGUAAGUAAGAUUCAUAAGUAAAUCAACUUAGAAACAUGUAAUUUAUGUAAAAAGGAAGAUUGGGUACCAUAGGUGAAAGGACCCAUUGGUUGAAACCCACAUACCUUAACUUUAGAGAAUUCCUUGAUGAAGAUUGGAUUGAGAACUUGAAGCUUAAAUGAAUUCUUUAAGACCCGAAAGGAGAAUUGGCACUUGAAUUUUGAGUGAAAUAUUUGUCUAAGUGUUUGAGAGAGUAUUAGGAAAUGUCUUGUAUGAUAUGGUGUUGAAAUAUGGCUAAGUAUAGGUAUUUUCAUAUAUGGGAAGACUUAGGCCUAAGACCCAAAAGCCUUAGACCGAGAUAAAAUAAUUGGGCUAAAAUAAAACUAAGGCGCACCUAAGCCACAUCGCGCUAGGAGCGCAUACUAUUCACUGGAAAUUGCAUUUUUGGAUUUUUAAAUUUUGAUACAAUUGCUCUAAAAUAGGGGUUAGACCCAUUUCGAACUCAAUUUUUCCCCUAAUCACGAAUAUGAAGUUAGAUUUUUGAUAUCAUGUACGAAUUUUGAGAUAUAUAAAAAUUACGAAUUUAGGAACUUUUGAGGCACAUUUUCAGGCACUUUUUUUUGGGGGAGGCAUCGUUUCAAGGUCUCCAAUACUGAGUUAUGCCAGGCUAUUCAAACUUUAGCCCAGGCUGUCACAGCACCUGCUGCAAGAGAAGGAGCAAGUAGAUAGGACACACAUGACAUCUCUAGAGUACGAGAAUUCUUGUGGAUGAAUUCACCUAAGUUCACAAGGUCUGCAUUUACUGAGAAUCCUUAGAACUAUGUGAUCUUAGGUGUAUUUAUAUGCCAAAUUAGCCAAAAAUACCCAUAAAUGAAGCCUAGUUAGAGGGUAAAUACAUAGAGUCCAGAUGUGUUUAGUUUAAUUUCUCUUAUUUUUCUAAUCUAAGGCCAAGUGAGCUGUUUGGUUGUGUUUUUGCAGGUUUUGAUGGAAUUAUACUAGUCCAGAGUCACAUUCGGACCUGACAGAAGAACAUAACCCAGAGUGGAUAGGAUAAAAGUUAGUUGAAUUAGCAAAUAUUCUCAANAUAAAGUCACUUAACUCAUAUACCAUACAUUGGGCCUUCAACAACUCAAGAAAGCAUUAAACGGACAUUUUAUCAAAUACUUGGGGGGUGUAAUGCUAGUAUAAAACCAUGCAUUUCAAGAGUGAAAUCAUGCAAGAAAACUUGAAGUAAAUCAACCCAUCAACCUUGGUAAUACCCUCAUGCAAUAUACAUUGAAACCCUUUAUCAAAUCUUAAAAUAGAUCAUAGAUUCAUAGCUGAAAACAUGCUUAAACAGUCACAAGUUUAUGAAACUCUAACAUAGUUCAUAGUCAAAUUCAUAGUAAGUAAGAUUCAUAAGUAAAUCAACUUAGAAACAUGUAAUUUAUGUAAAAAGGAAGAUUGGGUACCAUAGGUGAAAGGACCCAUUGGUUGAAACCCACAUACCUUAACUUUAGAGAAUUCCUUGAUGAAGAUUGGAUUGAGAACUUGAAGCUUAAAUGAAUUCUUUAAGACCCGAAAGGAGAAUUGGCACUUGAAUUUUGAGUGAAAUAUUUGUCUAAGUGUUUGAGAGAGUAUUAGGAAAUGUCUUGUAUGAUAUGGUGUUGAAAUAUGGCUAAGUAUAGGUAUUUUCAUAUAUGGGAAGACUUAGGCCUAAGACCCAAAAGCCUUAGACCGAGAUAAAAUAAUUGGGCUAAAAUAAAACUAAGGCGCACCUAAGCCACAUCGCGCUAGGAGCGCAUACUAUUCACUGGAAAUUGCAUUUUUGGAUUUUUAAAUUUUGAUACAAUUGCUCUAAAAUAGGGGUUAGACCCAUUUCGAACUCAAUUUUUCCCCUAAUCACGAAUAUGAAGUUAGAUUUUUGAUAUCAUGUACGAAUUUUGAGAUAUAUAAAAAUUACGAAUUUAGGAACUUUUGAGGCACAUUUUCAGGCACUUUUUUUUGGGGGAGGCAUCGUUUCAAGGUCUCCAAUACUGAGUUAUGCCAGGCUAUUCAAACUUUAGCCCAGGCUGUCACAGCACCUGCUGCAAGAGAAGGAGCAAGUAGAUAGGACACACAUGACAUCUCUAGAGUACGAGAAUUCUUGUGGAUGAAUUCACCUAAGUUCACAAGGUCUGCAUUUACUGAGAAUCCUUAGAACUAUGUGAUCUUAGGUGUAUUUAUAUGCCAAAUUAGCCAAAAAUACCCAUAAAUGAAGCCUAGUUAGAGGGUAAAUACAUAGAGUCCAGAUGUGUUUAGUUUAAUUUCUCUUAUUUUUCUAAUCUAAGGCCAAGUGAGCUGUUUGGUUGUGUUUUUGCAGGUUUUGAUGGAAUUAUACUAGUCCAGAGUCACAUUCGGACCUGACAGAAGAACAUAACCCAGAGUGGAUAGGAUAAAAGUUAGUUGAAUUAGCAAAUAUUCUCAAGUGUGCAUCACAGAUCUGGGAUAAAAUUGUGCAAGCUGAAAAAUAAAGAGAAAGAGGCGCAAAGCAGCAAAGGAGGCACAAGCCACAUCACGUGUAAGAUGGUCUAGUCAAUAAAAUAAGCAAAAACCUAGCCAAGACUAGCAGUCCACUUCACAGACUUUGGGAUUGUGAAGGGAGAAAUUCAGUUACUAGAUUUUAGGUUAUAUUCUGUCAAAAACUAUAGGUUUUCAUAUUGGUUUUUACAUAAGAACUAAGAAAGAUGACUGUAAACCUUGUUUUAAGAUGAAUUUGGUUAGUUUGAUCAUUAUUUCUUGGUUGUUAAUGCUUUCUAGGUCAUUCAUGAUGUACGUAGUGACUAUGAGUGGCUAAGUCUCCAUAUUCUGAAGUUGUAACCAUAAACAAUAUUUAGUUCUUAAAUUUUGACAUAUAUGAAUGGGUUCUUUUGAAUAUUCCUAUAUUACUUUCAUCUAUACUGUAUAGUCUGGCCAACUAGGUUGUAAAUUAGUUCACUCUGAAUUCAAGAGAUGUUGGAAUGAAUAGAACACAUUCAUAUAGGGAGUUUGUUCAACUAGAAAACUAGGUUGAUUCGUGUAAGGGAGACCCGUGACAACUAUCCUUACACCUAGCUUGGUUCAUAAUACAGAAAGAUAACGUUAAAUCACUUGUAUUAGUCUGUCUAUCUCCAGUUAACAAUGUAGUUAGGCAGCUAAUAACAGUAGGCCGAUAGAGGGCGUGCAACCCUAUUCAGGUAAUUUUAACCCCGUGAAACAGUAGUCAGGAACCUAGACAUAGGUGCAAACUUUGAGACUAAAUGGAGUUAUUAAGGUUACAACCCUGGAAUCGCUCAUUAAUUGAUAUUUUAACAACAAAAACCAAAUUUAGAUUAGAAGUGAUUAGUUAUUUAAUUUCUUUGCAUAAAUCUCUCAAUAUUUUUACUAAAAGCACUUCAAACAUGAUAGCUUGGAUUGUUUACUAAUUUCAUUUAAGUCCCUUUAGCCCAUUAAUCAGGGCCACUAUAUUACUUGUUAGACCACAUACACUUGCAUGCGCUGGAGAGCAAUAAUUUUUUGGUGCCAUUGCCGAGGAUUUGAAGUAAAUUGGUUAAUUAUCUAAGUUGUCUUGUUUUAUGGUGUUCGUUACAUUUGAUCUUAGUUGUGCUAUUUUGCAGGUAAUUGGUCAUUAAACUGGAAGAUCAGAAAUUUUGUUUUCCUCAAUUGAAGAGGAGAGCAGGGGUGUUGUUCUAAACACUACCAAUUGAACUCAUUGAACCAGAGGAUCAAAAGGAUAAUAAAGAAGAAAUUGUUACUAUUAGAGAGGAAAUGGCGGAAGAAAAUCCACCAGCACCACCAACACCUAGACCACCAGCACCAAGGCCAGUUCGGGAUGUGGCAAUCCUGAGAACCACUAAUGUGACUAGCUGCUUCCUUAAGUCAGAGCCUAGUGGUCGAUCGAAACUUAAGCAAAACAUGGUCUAGUUACUACACUCCACUGAAUAGUUCACCGGGCUACCACAUGAAGACCCACAGGCCCAUCUUUAGAACUUCCUAAAAAUAGCUGAUACAUUCAUCCCAACUGGGGUGAACAAAGACUAUGUGUGGAUGAUCUUGUUUCCCUUCUCACUGCUGGGGGAAGAAUGAAGGUGGCUAGAAAUUGAGCCACCAAACUCUAUCAUAUCUUGGGAUAAUCUUGCUCACAAGUUCCUCAUGUGAUGCUUCUCAUCUGGCAAGACAGUAAAACUCAGGAGAGAGAUUUCGAGCUUCAAGCAAAGGCUUAGAAAAUCUGUAUCAAGCUUGAGAUAUAUUUAAAACUCUUUUGAUAAAUUCUCCACACCAUUGUCAAGCUAACGAGGUGUUGGUCCAUACCUUCAUUAAAAGAUUGGAACCCAACACCAAGAUUCUCCUUGAUUCAGCUGUAGGUGGACAGGCAUUAGAGAAGACAUACUAUGAGUUGUAUGCUCUUCUCAAUAGGAUUGCACAAGGAAACUAGAAUAGAAUAGAGGAUCAAGCUAACCGGUAGUCCAAAAUCAAGCCGGUGGGUUGGAGAUUGGUGUUAUAGCUGCCCUGGAGGCUCAGAUGUCAGCCAUACAGAACAUGAUGACCAGUCACUUGAAUAACCUAGCUUUGGGUUAGCAACAACAAGCAUUGGUGGCGGUGGGUCAACAACCAACCUUAGUCAAUAUGGUACAACAUCAACAAAAUGGUUCGUGUGAUGUUUGUGGGGGAGUAGACCACACUGCUGAAUUCAUUGGAGCUAAUCCAGAAGCCGUUAACUUUGUGAACAAUGCUAACAGAGGUGGCUAUCAAGGAUUUGAAAACUUAUAUAACCCAAAUUGGAGAAAUCACCCCAAUUUCCCUUGGGGUGGUAAUUAAUAAAAUCAGGGGAACCAUUAGUACAGACCAUAGAGUGGCAAUGCUUACCAUAAUCAACAAAUGUAGUAGCCUGCAAGACAGGCAAACUAGAAUAGACAAGAUGAGGAUAUUCAGAGGAAUAGGCAGGAUCUCCAGAACUUAGAGAAAUAGUUGGUGUAGUUGUCGAGCUCUUUGAACUUCAGGCCUCACAGAGGUCUGCCGAGUACUACUAACCCUAACCCAAAGUAGGUUAAUGCAGUCAACACAAGAAGUGAGAGACCUUUGACUGAGUUGGUCCCAAAGAAGAAGGAGGGGACUGUUCAAAGCACUGCAUAGCAUAAUGAGGCUGGAAAUCCUAUCUCAAGUACUAAUAAGGCAACUCUAUUGCCUAAACCUCCCCCUCUAUUGCCACAAAAACUGAGGAAAAAGAAGGAGGACGGUUGUUUUUAGAAAUUCAUCGGGCUGCUAAAACAAGUAUAAAUUAACUUACCUUUGAUUGAUGUUUUGCAGGGAAUUCUGAAGUAUGCCAAACAUGUGAAAGAAAUUGUCACCAAUAAGAACAUGUUGGCUGAGUAUGAGAUGGUGUCACUCACGAAGACUUAUAGCUCCAGGAUUCUUAAUAGAUCUCACUUGCCAGCUACAUUGAAUGAUCCUAGGAGCUUUAUUGUGCAAGUAACCAUUAGGAACUGUCUGAAUGCAAGAGGUCUAUAUAAUUUGGGUGCAAGUAUCAACCUCAUGCCCAGUUCCACAUACUUGAAAAUGGGGCUUGGGAGACCAAAGCCAACCACCAUUGUCUUACAAUUGGCGUAUUGUUCUGCAAGGCCAGAUGGUGUGAUUGAGGAUGUCUUAGUUCAAGUGGGAUCUCUCAUUUUUCUCAUGGACUUUGUCAUCUUGGAUUUUGAACUAGACCCUGAGGUCCUAUUUAUUCUUGGGCACUUGUUCCUAGCUACACAAAUGAAAACAUUUUUUUGAAAUACAGAAUUGAUGUAGCAGCAGAGAGGCUCACCAUGAGAGCCCAUGAUAAAGUUGAGGUAUUCGAUGUCUAUAAAGUAAUGAAGCUGCCAGCUGUAUAUGAUGAUUUGGCAGUUAUCACAGUGAUAGAUACUGCGGCAACAAUGAGCCAAGUUGAGAUCACAGACCCACUAGCCAGAGUAUUACUGAAUCAAGGGCUAGUGGAUGAUACAGAGGCCAAAGAAAUAGAAAGUGUGUUGAGCACUCACAAUGUCAGCAUCCUUAAAAAAAUGGCUCAGCCAUUGAACAGGGUGGUGGGACAACCACCCAAACCCUCAGUUCAAAAAGCUCCUCAGCUUGAGUUGAAGCCAUUGCCAUCAAAUCUCAAGUAUGAAUUUCUUGGUGAAAAUAAUACUUUACUUGUAAUCUUGUCUGACUUAUUGAUUGCAGCCCAUGUGGAUGUUAUUGUGGUUGUUUUAGCAAUGGGUUGGCAAAUGUCAGAUAUCCAUGGCAUUAGCCCAACCCUGUGUAUGCAUAGGAUUUUCAUAGAAGAAGGUCAUAAGCCAAUGCCCCAACCACAGAGACGAUUGAAUCCAAUCAUGAAAGAGGUAGUGAAAAAGGAAGUGAUUAAGUGGUUGGAUGCGGGGAUCAUCUUCCCCAUCUCUGACAGCAAAUGGGUAAGUCCAGUGCAAUAUGUACCUAUGCAGGAAGGGAUGACAGUCAUCACCAAUGACAAGAAUGAGUUGAUCCCAACCAGAAUGGUGACAGAGUGGCGUAUCUGCAUAGAUUACAAAAAGUUGAAUGAUGCCAACUGCAAAGACCAGUACCUAAUGCCCUUCAUUGAUCAAAUGCUGGACAGACUCGCUGAGCAAGAAUACUACUGGUUCCUGGAUGGAUACUUGGGGUACAACCAAGUCACCGUUGCACUCGAAGACUAAGAGAAGAUGACCUUCACAUGUCCUUAUGAAACCUAUGCUUUCAAAUACAUGCCCUUUGGUUUGUGCAAUGCACUAGCCACUUUCCAACGGUGCAUAAUGGCAAUAUUCCUCCAUCUUUGGUGAGUUCUUUGAGAUGUGUCUACAAAAUCUGGAUAGAGUGUUGGCAAGAUGUGAGGAGACUAACCUCGUUCUCAACUGGAAAAAAUGCCACUUCCUAGUUAAGGAGGGGAUAGUCUUGGGGCACAAAGUAUCGAAAUGCGAUUUAGAGGAGGACAAAGUGAAAAUUGAGGUGAUAGAUAAGCUAAAUCCACCGAUGUCAGUUAAGGGAGUCCAAAGCUUUCUCGAACAUACAGGGUUCUAUCAUAGAUUAUCAAGGACUUCUCCAAAAUUAAAAAGCCAUUAUGCGCCCUCCUAGAGAAAGAGGUACCCUUUAACUUUGAUGUUUCUUGUUUGUAGGCGUUCAAGUUGUUCAAGAAGAAGUUGGUUGAGGCUCCAAUACUAAUAGCACCUAAUUGGGGGCUCCCAUUCAAGCUUAUGUACGAUGUUAUUGAUACAACAGUGGACGCAGUGUUGGGGUAGCACAAGGAGAAAGUGUUCCACUCCAUAUACUAUGCCAGCAAGACUUUGGAUGUUGCUCAAAACAAUUACACAUUACUAAAAAGGAGAUGCUAGAACUAGUAUAUGCAUUUGACAAGUUCAGUCAUACUUGGUCGGGACCAAAGUUAUUGUGUUCACAAACCAUGCGGUUAUGAGAUACUUGUUCAACAAGAAUAAUGCUAAUCCCCGCCUGAUUAGAUAGAUCCCGUUGCUCUAAGAGUUUGAUAUUGAGAUUAAAGAUCACAGUGGGUGUGAGAAUCAGAUUGUUGAUCACUUAUCUCAGUUGGAGAAUGAUGCUCACAUAGGUGAGCAAAUGCAAAUAAAAGAAGAGUUCCCCGAUGAGCAGCUGCUGGCAUUGGAAGUAGAACAACUACCUUGGUAUGCUGAUAUAGUGAAUUACUUAGUUAGUGGUAUGUUCCCUCUGGAUGCUACAUAUCAACAAAGAAAGAGGCUGGCUCAUGAUGCGAAGGCUUACAUCUGGGAUGGGUUGUAUCUCUUCAAACAAAGGGCAUACUGAAUGGUGAGAAGAUGUGUUCCUGAUAUAGAGAUGCAGAAAAUCUUAGAGAGAUGUCAUGCCUCUCCUUAUGGGGGCUAUCAUAGAGGUGAAUGGAUAACUCACAAAGUGCUGCAAUUAGGUUUCUUCUGGACCACUCUCUUUAAAGAUGUUGUAUAGUUCGUAAGGGCCUGCGAUGCUUGUCAAAAGACCAGUGCUAUAUCUAGAAGGCAUGAGAUUCCCCUGAACAAUAUCUUGGAGGUGGAAAUCUUUGAUGUUUGGGGGAUAGAUUUCAUAGGUCCAUUAUCACCAUCUUUUGGCCAUCACUACAUCCUGGCAGCAGUUGAUUAUGAUUCAAAAUGGGUAGAAGCAACUGCUCUACAUACUAAUGAUACCAAAGUAGUAAGCAAGUUUUUAAAGAAGCACAUUUCCACGCAUUUUGGAACUCCAAGAGCCAUCAUUAGUCAUGGAGGCACACAUUUCCUUAACCAAACAGUGAAGAAACUUCUAGCUAAAUACGGAGUGAGGUACAAGGUAGCUACAACUUAUCACCCACAGAUAAGUAGACCAGUCGAAGUGUCAAACCGAGAGAUUUAGGCAAACCUUGCAGAAGACGGUGAAUGCUACCAAAAAAAAUUGGGUUGUAAAACUAGAUGAGGCAUUAUGGGCAUACCAAACAGCUUAUAAGACUCCAAUCGGAACAUCUCCAUAUUGGUUGGUGUACGAUAAAGUUUGUCAUCUUCUAGUUGAGCUCGAGCACCAGGCAUACUGGUAAUUAAGAGGCUGAUUCUAGAGCCAGAGCUUUGCUGGAAGAAAAUGGUUGGAGCAGCUUAAGGGGUUGGAUGAAUUUUGGCUCCAAGCAUACGAGAAUGCAAAACUGUUUAAGGAAAAGACCAAAAGAUGGCAUGAUCGUCAUAUUAUCAAGUGUAAUUUUGCAUCGAGCUAAUAGGUAUUGCUUUUUAAUUCUCAUUUGAAAUUAUUUCCAGGUAAGCUAAGGUCCAAAUGGAGUGGAUCUUAUGUGGUGGUAGCCGUGAUACCCUAUGGAGCGGUAAAAUUAAAGGAUGAGACCUCUAACCAAACUUUUUUGGUAAACGAUCAACGUGUCAAGUACUUUUAGGGUGAAGUGACAACCAAACCUUUUUGGUAAACGAUCAACGUGUCAAGCACUUUUAGGGUGAAGAGACAACCAAAUUUAAAGAGGCCAUUGAGUUGGCCAAUGAUGAGUAAGCACAUGGUACGUCGUGCCAUGAUGGUAAAUCAGACACUGCAUAAGAGGCAACCUAUGGUGAGGUAACAAUAUCUUAGUGUUUCUUUAUUUUAUAUUAUUUUUUCUAAAAAAAACUAUAACUAAAUUCAAAAAAUUGCACCAAGGGUAGGUUCGCAACAGUGGCGCAUUGCGGACCCCCUGUAUUUUUGUACAAAUUUUUUCAUCCUCAAUUCUCGAUGAUUCGUCGGGUAUUUUUUGUAUUUGUUUUGCCAAAUUAUCAUGUUUUAGUGUUUUGUAGUAUAUUCACAUAUUAGGGGGAUUUUACGGGGUUCGAAGCUCAAAAUUUUUUUUUGGAGCCCCAUACAUUGUGCAUGCGCGAUUGCACCAUGCGCUGAUGUAUCACGGAUACACAUUGAUUUAUGUGCCUGGUAGCUGCUGAAAAUGAGAAAAAAUUAAGGCAAGUCCAUGUCCACGCGCACGACACAGACGUGUAGCAGACAUGCUUUAUUUUUUCCUUAAUUUCAUGUGGGCCUACCCCUUUAAAUACCCCCACCUGAUUUUUUUCUUUUUCUCUACAUUUUUACAACGAAACCUGACCCUCCUCUCUCUCUUCCCCUAUUUCUCUCUCAAAUUGUUCACUUCUAACACUCCAAUUCCAAUAUCAAUCCGCGAUGCAUCUUGAAUUUCACAAGAAAUCACUCCUCUCUCUUGCAUUAUUCAUCAGGACAAGUAAGUUUCUCUCACUAUGUUUCUUUUUCUUGGUUGGGUUGAAUAUCUGUAUGCUUCUUAGGGUGAAAGUGAAGUUGUUUCGUGCUUAGUAUGAGUUGCUUGUUGUUUGGUGUAUGACUGUUUGACCUAAUUUCUUAGAUUAUGGAAUUUUUAUGCUUGAUAGUGGUGAUUGAAAACCCUAGGCCAAAAUUGAGGGUAAAUAUGGGGAAUAUUGGGGCUUUUGUAAUCUUAAACUUGAAUUGUUGAUGACCUGAUGCUAUUGUGAUGUGUUGGGUAUUGCAAAAUUCCAAGUGUGAGGUUGUUUAAUUAUCGUAUGAUGCAUUGUUAAGUGCCCCAGGUUCAGUUAUGCUUGAUACACUAUUUGGGGGGGUUGAAUUGCUUGAAAUUACUAUUGUGAAUAAUGGGUUGAGCAUUUGAUUGAUGUAAAUAUCAGUUUAAAGUGUUGGGCUGGUCUUAUUGACUUGGAAUAGGUGGUAUGUUGUCAAAUUGUUAUCUAAAGUAGCCUGUAGUAUGUUGAGAAGUUUGAGUACCUUCCAAAUACGUGGCUUGAAUAUAAUAUGGGGUUGUGGGUAUAGUUUAUUGUGUAGUAAGGGCCCUGUUUGUGUUUGUGUGUUAUUUUUAGGCUUGUUUGUGUAUUUGCACAGGAUCACAUGGCUUCUUGUGAUCGUAGAACAGGCCAAACUAGUAGGGCAGGGGCCUCUAACACCAGAAGAAGGGCCAGGCACAUCCCGAAAGUGCCCAAAGCUUCGGAGAGAAGGGGCCAGCAGGUCCAUUUUGGGGUUAAGGCAGCUAAUGAGGAAGGCAAGCAUAGGUAUAAGUACCACAAUGAAUCCAAGUAUUUCCCUGAUGUUCCCUUGGAUGCAGAUUCAUUAGAUAAGGAGUACCCAUACAUCUUCCAGCGGUGCAUGGACUAUAGGCUAAUUUCUUGUUUGAGGAGCCGCGACAUUACAACUUAAGUCUUAUUUGGGAAUUUUAUGCAAACAUGAGUAAGGACCCACAGACUAAGGUGGUGAUAGUUUGAGGGAUGGAGGUCAACAUCACUCCACUUGUGAUUAAUAGGGUCCUCGGCACCCUAGAUGGGAUCCCCGCAGUUAGUUUCCAGGAGCUCUAGCUUCACCCACCCUAUAGGCCCAUCCACCACACACUGGCUGGGGCAAAUUCCACUACCACGCAGAUUUGCCAUGCUGAUAAAGGCUACCAUCUGUCAUUCCCAUUCUCCCACAUAAGCAGAGAAGCUUGGGUGUGGGUUAAGAUUGUGAACCACUCUCUCUUUCUAGGACAGCACUUCACCACUGUCAUAAGAGAUAAAGUGUAUCUGGCUUAUGCCCUGAUAACUGGGAUAGACAUUAAUUUGAAGGCAAUCUUCAAGUCUGCGAUACGAAAGGCGAAGGUGCACAAAGGACAUAGGUAUACUUUUGGUAGUCUUAUUACUAAGCUGUGUCAUCUUACAAGUGUACCCACUGAGGAGGCAAACUAUUAUCCACACAUAGUGGUACCCCCUAAUGUGGUCACCAACAUUAAGAGGCCUGAGGUAUCUACAGGCUCGGUGCUCACCACUACUGAGAAGAGCUACUGCGAUGAGUUGAUCAUGGACUGCAUGUACGCUUAACGCCCAUUCACCCCAAAGGAGCUCUAGGAGGUUGUUGCUCGUUACCUAAUCCAUGCCAAUGCAGUAUUGGGCAUCGGUCCUUAAUUUGUCGAGCCUGCAGAGGAUGAUAUUCCUACAGACCCUGAUGAUGUGUGUGCUAGCUCAAACACAGAGGAGGAAGACAUAGAGGAGAAGCCACAUAUCACUAUUAGGGGUAAGCCUAUUCUGCCUGGCCCCGAAGAUUGAGCACCUUGAUUCCCACUUCACAGGUUUUGUAUGGUUAACACUAAGGGCAAUGCUAAGUCUAAGUGUGGGGUGGGGAUUAUUCUGUUGAUAUGCUUUAUUUCUAUUAAUUUGGUAUGUAUUAAGACUUCUUUUUAUUUCUUAGUUAUGUUUCUAUGUUUUGGUUUAUGUUGGACAACAUUUUCAUUUUAUUUUGGGUCUAUAACUAUUGACUAUGGGAUGCAUAGAUGCUCAAAUGUUUAUGUUCUAAUGAUGCAUUAUUUUAGUGGUAGUUACUUAUAUCUUGAGUCUUAUGGUCAUGUUGUGAAUAGUAGUAGUAGUCAUAGUUGAGUGAUGAGGCCAUAUGAUGCAUGGAUGAUGACCAGCCUAAGGGUAUUCGUCAAAUUAAGUCUCAUUUAGAGUGUCAGGUAGUUGUACAACCAAGCAUUGUAUGUCAAGCAUGUGAACCUAGAUAGCUAUCGCUUGAACUCCUAGUAAUUUAAUGCUUGGAUCCUGUAAGUCACAACUGUGUAUAUGCUUAAUUUUGAAUUCAUGUGAAUAAUGAGAUAGUGAUUCUAGCGUUAGCCUUAUGAUGAAAGUGUGCUAAAAGUGCGUGAGCAUACUUGUGGGCCGAUGUUGCAAUAGGUUCUAGAACUUGCCCGGUAUGUAGAUUAGACUUGGUAGGGAUUGGACUUAGAGGAAAGGAUCUAGACAAUUCUUUGGUAGCUCAAUAUCAUUAAGAUUUGUAUCCAUCUAAUGAAAUCAUCCUUAGUUAGCCCUUUUGAGCUUUAGCCUUUUUCUUUGGCUAGCCACAUCUCAAGUCAAUCCCCUUUCUUUGAUUGAUUAACUGUAUUUGAUCCUAAUUCCUAACUGCUUUAUAAGUCAGAGGAGAGAAAGCUUGAAUAGACACCCAAAGGAUAAGUAGUGGUAUAUAUAUAUACCCAAACUAGUGAUGAUCCGCGACCAGUGUGCAUCGCGGAUCAGUCGCAAAGGGCCACUAUUUUGAAAAAGAAAAAUUGUAAAUAGUAUAGAGUAUUUGAAGUUCUUAUAUAGUAUAGAUGGAAUAAAGGGUGUUGAAUUAUGGAGGAUUAGGCGAUGAAGUACAAGAAGUGUAGUGUAAGCUAGGAGCGCGUGGGAACUAAGCUAUGUCAACUAUAUCCGUAAAAGUACCCCACCAGCUCGUAGCCGACAUUACAACCAAAUAAAAGACCUAUGUGAUCCUUUCAAGAAAAUUCUAACUAGGUUGAAAUCAUACAUUAAGGGCAAGCCUAUGGGAACUAGAAGCAACACAAGAAAUCUUUUGUGUGAGAGAGUUGACUGUGUACCCAUUGUUAAUCGGUUAUCAAAAUUCUUAGUGGUGUGCAUGGGUAAUUUCUUUGCAUAAAUAUCUCAAUAUUUUUACUAAAAGCACUUCAAAUGUGAUAGCUUAGAUUGUUUGCUAAUUUCAUUUAAAUCCCUUGGGUUCGACAACCCAGCCCCUUAAUCAGGGUCACUAUAUUACUUGUUAGACCAUGUACACUUACAUGCGCUGGGAAGCAACACUAUGUGGAGGAGCUUUAGAAAGUGUUCCAAGUGAUGCAUAUGACUGAUACUGAUAGAGUUGAACUAAUUGCUUACUAACUCAAGGGUGUGGCCAGACUUUGGUUCAACCAAUGGAAGAAGGGUUGAGGAGAGGAUGCCCCAGUGCUAACUUGGGCAAUGUUUAAGGAAGCUUUCUUGGGGCGCUUCUUCCCAAGAGAACGAAGAGAGACUAAGGUAAAAGAAUUAUUAAACUUGAAAUAGUGCUCUAUAACUGUUCAAAAGUAGGGGUUGAAGUUCACUCAACUGUCUCGAUAUACUUCGAAUAUGGUUGCUAAUAUGAGGGGGAGAAUGGUAAUAUAUGUGGAUAGCCUGAACAGAGGGCCGAAGCGAGAUGGGAAGAGAGCGAUGCUUGUGAGUAAUAUUGAUAUUGGGAGAAUGAUAACCUUUGUCCAACAAGCUGAUGAGGAGAGGCAACAUGAUAGCGAGGAGUUCAGAAGUAAGAAAGCUAAAAUAUCCAGCCAUGAGGUUGGAAAGAAGGGUAGUGGAAGUAGAUUUCAGACGGGGCCAACACCAUCAUCUGCUAGUGCAUAAAAUCAAGAAUGAUUAGAGGUCCCAGAAUGUUGGAGCCCAUGGAUCUCAGUCACAAGCUUAUGUGGCUCAAGGUUCAUUAUGUAAGCUAGCAUAGGGUAAUUGUGGUAAAUUGCACUUGGGGAAAUGCCGUGAGAGGAGUGAUGUAUGCUACAAGUGUGUCCAAGCGGGUCACUAUUAGAGAGAGUGUCCAAAGUUGGCUGAUCAGGCUCAAUCUUCUGCACCAACCCUACCAGCUAAAGGAAACCAGAGAGAUACUUCACUAGGCGCAAGCGGAGCCGCAAACUAUUUGUAUGUCAUGGGUAGUCGUCACGAUUAAGAGAACACCCUAGAUGUUGUGACAGGUAUGAUUCAAGUCUUUUCUCUUAAUUGUUAUGUUUUGAUGGAUCCUGGUGCCAUAUUAUAUUUUGUAACUCCUUAUGUGGCCAACAGAUUUUAUAGAGCCCCUAAGAGUCUUCUUGAACCCUUUGAUGUUUCUACUCCUGUGGGUGAGUCUAUUCGAGCUGAGAGAGUCUAUAGAGCUUGUGUAGUGUCCAUCCAUUAUAGGGAUCCUAUCAUUGAUUUAAUUAAGCUAGAGAUAAUUGAUUUUGAUGUGAUCCUUGGCAUUGAUUGACUUCACGCCUGUUAUGCCACCAUUGAUUGUAGAGCCCAAACCAUUAAGUUCCAAUUUUCGAAUGAACUGGUUCUAGAGUAAAAAGGUGAUUCUAUUGCACCCAGGGGAAAGUUUAUCCUAUAUCUUAGGGCCAGAAAGUUGAUUUCCAAAGGUUGUAUCUACCACUUUGUGAGAGUUAAAUCUGAUGAUGUUGAGCUUUCUACUCUUGAGUCCAUCCUGAUCAUGAAUGAGUUUUCUGAAGUAUUUCCUAAGGAUCUACCUGGAGUCCUUCUUGAUAGAGAGAUUGACCUUGGGAUUGAUAUUCUUCUCAAUACCCAGGCUAUCUUAAUUCCACAUAAUAGGAUGGCCCCCACUGAGUUGAGUUGAAAGAACAACUGAAAGAUCUAGUAGAGAAGGGCUUUAUAAGGUCGAGCAUUUCUCCUUGGGGUACCCCUGUCCUAUUCGUGUGAAAGAAAGAUGGGUCACUCAGAAUGUGUAUUGACUAUAGACAACUGAACAAGGUCAUAAUAAAGAAUAAAUAUCCUCUCCCAAGGAUAGAUGAUCUGUUUGACCAACUUCAGGGUACCUCUUAUUUCUCUAAGAUAGACCUCAGAUCUAGCUACCAUCAGUUGAAAGUAAGGGAAUGUGAUAUUCCAAAGACAACCUUUAGGACUAUAUAUGGCGAUUUUGAGUUCUUGGUCAUGUCUUUUGGGUUCACGAAUGCACCUGCAGCUUUCAUGGAUUGAUUAGUAGGGUAUUCAGACAAUAUCUUGACAUAUUUAUGAUUGUGUUCAUUAAUGACAUUUAGGUGUACUUGAGAGAUGAGGAGGAGCAUUCUUAUCACCUCAGAGUUAUCCUCCAAACACUUAAGGACCAUGAGUUGUAUGAAAAAUUCUCAAAAUAUGAGUGAAACGACCCCAAAAAGUGCUAAAAAAUGUGCCUCGGAAGUGCCCUGAAUCAUAAUUUCCAUAUGUCUAAAAGUCCAUUCAUUAUUUCAAACACUUGACUUCAUAUUCUUAUUUAGGGGAUCAAAUUGAGUGGGAAAUGGGUCUAACCCAAAUUUUAGAGCAACCGUAUCAAAAUCCAAAAAUUGCAAAAAAUGCGAUUUAGAAGGGUCAACUUUGAAGAGGUAUAUCUCUUAGCACACAAAUAACUGGGUACCCCAUGACCUAUCAAGUUAAAUCUCUUUGAAGUAGCUUUCCAAAUCACUUGAUUUCACCUUAUUUUAAGUUUGGAUGAAGGAUUUAUGCUCAUUUUCGUGGAACUCAUUUGUGCAUAAAAUACAAUUCCAGUGAGCAGUCCAUUCAAAGGUUCCCACACUUGAAAAUACAUAUACUUAUCCUUAUUUUACCCUCAUAUCAUCCUAAACAUUCCCCAAUACUCACUAAAACACUUAGGCAAAUAUUUACUCCUAAAUUCAAGUCCCAAAACUCAAGACCAAUCUUAAGGAUUUCACUCAAGCUUCAAGUCCCCAUUAAAGUCUUCUUCAAGAUUUCUCCAAAAGCUAAGGUAUGUGGUGCUGAACCAGUUGGUCCUUCUACCCAUGGUGCCUAGGCCUCUUUUUUACUAAUAUUUCAUGAUUUAAAGUUAAUUUUACAUGUGCGUCUUAUAUAUUGAUAAAUUUACUGCACAAUGAUUUUUGUUCAUGAAAGUAUGAUUGUUUUAGCAUGUUUUAUGCUCUAAAUCUUGGAUCUAAUGUUAGAUUUGAUGAGGGAUUUUGAUGUUUAUGUAUUGAGGGUGUUGCAAGGUAUUGAUUUAUGAUUUUACAAUGAAUUUUCUUGCAUGACUUCAUCUCUAAAUUGCAUAGUCUUUAACCCCCAUUACAUACCCGCCAAGUGUUUGAUAAAAUAUCCGGCUAGGGUUUCUUGAGGAAUUAUGGGUCCAAUGCAUAUUUUAUGAGUUGAAUGAUGUUAUGAUGAUUAUAUGAUGUAUGUAUGUGAUGACCAAAUGAUGAUAGGAAGGGAAGAUAUGUAUAUAAGGAUGAAAGGAAUGAAUAUAUGUGUUUGAAUCAUGUAAAGCACCUUUGGUAUUGCAAGGAAAUUGUUGGGCUCUCAUGUUGUUAUGUUUUUAUGAAUUGUUGAUGACUUGUUGGAUUCUUAAGAUAAGGUUUAUGCUCUUAUCAAUUGUGAAAGCCUACUAGGAGGGUUAUAAACUAUGUUACAUGCUUUACCCUCUAGUGCAAGGCAAAUUCCUACAUGUAGGGCUUAUGAGCUAUGUUGUACACCUUACCCUCAUGUGCAGAUACAAUUUACUCUUUAUAAGGUUAUGCUACUCCUUAUGAGAUUAUGUUACUCCUUAUGAGGUUAUGCUACUCCUUAUGAGGUUAUGCUACUCCUUAUGAGAUUAUGCUACUCCUUAUGAGGUUAUGUUACUCUUUAUGAGGUUAUGCUACUCUUUUAUGAGGUUAUGUUACUCUUUAUGAGGUUAUGCUACUCCUUAUGAGGUUAUGUUACUCUUUAUGAGGUUAUACUACUCCUUAUGAGGUUAUGUUACUCUUUAUGUGGUUAUGCUACUCCUUAUGAGGUUACAUUACUCUUUAUGAAGUUAUGAACUAUGACAUACUCCUUACCCUUGUGUAUGAUUUGGGGUUAUGAACUCAUGCUAUAUCUCUCACCUUCUAGUACAAGGUAAGUGGAUAAGCUAAUUAUGUUAUCUUAUUGGGUUAUGUGAGCUAUGAAAGAAUGGAUAUUUUUCAAGCAUGUUUUACUACAAGCAUUGCUCAUGCAUUCCAUCUUGUUAUAUUAUGCCUAUUGUCUAUUUUUAUACAUUUUGAUUACAUUGCCUAUCUCUUGUUGCAUUGCAUCCCAUAUACUUAGUAUAUUCCAACGUACUAAUGCAUACUCUAUGCCUAUAUGAUAUGACCAUGUAGGAACCGGAGCCCCGCUUGAGCAUCUUCACCCACAUGGCUAGUACAGUUUCACUCAAGAUUAUUGGUGAGUCCUCCAUUCUGGGGAUGUUGGUCUAUGUUUCUUAUGUUAUUUAUUCCUUCUUCUUAUUGCUAUUUUGGCUAUGAGGGUGAGCCUGAUUGCUUUGUAUCAGCCCCAAUUAAGUAUCUAUGUUUAGAUGUGUUGUUGAACAAAUUAUGCAUUAUGUUUGAGCUUUGACUCAUCUAUGUUAUUUAAGUAUUAAAUUUUCUCUUUCUCCCUUAGUUCCAUUUCCCCUUGUUCGUGUUUCUUGUGAUGUUUUCUAUUGCUUCCGCGAUCUAGGAUAUGUAAUGAUAUGCUAUGAGGCUUGUUUGGGGUUCUUUCGGGUUCCCCAUUCGCCAGUUAUGUCUAAGCCCUAGGCUUGGGUCGUGACUGUGAGUUCUGGCUUAAGCCAGUGGCUUUCCUAGGCUAUGUUUUCCUCGGUGAUAGUAUUGGAGUAGAUGCUCAAAAGAUUGAAGCGAUUACGAACUGGCCUAUACCAACCUCUCGGACUGUCAUAAGAAGUUUCUUGGGAUUGGCAGGCUCUACCACAGUUUUGUUGAUGAAUUUUCUUCCUUAUCUGCACCAUUGACUAAGUUUGAGUCAGAAAAAGGUCAGUUUCAGUGGUUCGACAAAUGUGAGAAAAGUUUUUAAGAGUUGAAGAUGAGACUGACUACUACAACCAGUUCUAACCUUGCUCGAUGGGAUAGAGGACUUUGUAAUCUAUUGUGAUACUUUGAGAGUUGGAUUGGCAUGUGUGCUGAUGCAGAGAGGGAAAGUUAUAGCCUAUGCUUCUAGAUAACUUAAGGUUCAUAAGAGGAACUAUCUGAUCCAUGAUCUUGAGUUGGCAGUGGUGGUGUUUGCACUUAAAAUCUAGCGCCAUUACUAGUAUGUAGUGCAUGUGGAUGUGUUCACUGACCACAAGAGCUUGCAGUAUAUCUUCAGUCAGAAAAAGCUCAACCUAUGACAAGGGAGAUGGUUGGAGCUGCUCAAGGAUUAUGACAUGAGCAUUCUCUACCACCUAGGUAAAGCUAACAUUGUUGUUGACACUCUUAGCAGGUCAUCAAUAGGUAGCACAACCCAUGUUGAUGAAGGAUUGCUUCUUCUCCGAGAAAAGAAGUUCACGACCCAUGGGCCUUCUACCUCCACGCGGCGGGAAGAGGGAGCUAAUUAAAGAAGUGCAUUAAUUGAAUUGAUUGGGAGUACAACUUGAUCUGAGGAGAGUGAAGAGGGAGGAGUUAAUGUUCAGAACGGGUCUGCUUCAUCCUUAGUUGCAGAGGUGAAAGAAAAACAAGACCAAGAUCCUGUCAUACUUCAAUUGAAGGAGGUUGUCCACAGACAAAAAGUGAUGGUCUUCUCUUAAGGGGGAGAUGAAGUGCUGAGAUACCAGAGUAGAUUGUGCAUCCCAGAUGUUAAUGGUGAAACACCCCAAAUUGUGCUACAAAAAUGCCCAUAAUCAUAAUUUUCAUAUAUCUCAAAAUUUGUGAGUGAUAUCGAAAAUCUGACUUUAUAUUCUUGAUCAGGAGGCAAAAUUGUGUGAAAAAUAGAUAUAACCCGGAUUUUAGAAGAUCCUUAGCGAAAAAUAAUUUUCGCUAAUUUUUUAAAAACCAGUAGUUGUAUGCGUAUGGUCUAUGAUGCGGACCCAUCGCGGAUCAGUGUUAGUUUUUCCUUAAUUUUCUGUUUCAGCCUAAGGGCAUUAGAAUCAUAGCCCCAUGCCCAUUUACAAGUGAAAUCUCCUAUACUUAGUCGUUUUUCAACUCUAUAUCACUCAAAACCCUCACAAAAACCUCUCCAAGACUUAACUAAAUAUCUCAUUCAAAUUUCAAGGAUUUCAAGUUUAACUUUGGAACUCAAGGAUUCUCUUCAAGCUCUAAGUUCUCUUCAACCUCGUAUCAAGAAAACUCAAGUUUGAGGUAUAUGGGUUUCAUCCAUUGAGUCCUUUCACCCAUGGAGCCCAAUCUCCCUUUCUAUAAAAAUUGCAUAUUUUCAAGUUGUAUUACCUAUGGAUAUCUUUUAUUAUGGAUUAUCAGUAUAAAUUAUGUUGGGGUUUUAUGAAAUAUUAUUGGUUAUGCAUGACUGUCUAUUUCAAGCUUAUACCAUGAUUUGAUUAUAUCUAUUGAGACUAUGCAUGUUUUUUUGAGCUAUGAAACUAUGAUUUAUUUUGAGUUUUGUUGAUGGAUUUCAAGGUACCCUAUAUGAGGGUUUUACUACAUGUUGGUUGGUUGAUUUGCAUUAAGUUUUCUCAUCUUAUUUUACUCUCGAAUUGCAUGAUUUGGAACUAGUAUCAUGAACCCACCAAGUGUUUGAUAAAAUGUCAAGUCAAGAAUUCUCAAGUUAUUGAUAAUAUAUUUCAUGAUUUACAAGUCAAGUGACUAUGUGAUGAUUAAAGGCUUUCAACAUGUAUUGAAUUUAUAAAAAGUAUCUAUGAUGUUACAAGUAUCAAGUUAAUCCCUACUUCAAGAUUUUUACCUCUUGUGAGUCACUCAUGUUAAAGCAAGGGUUCAUAUAUGAUUAUGAUCUACUCUCAUGUUUCAAGGUAGGCUCACCAUUAGAGGUCAAGCAUGUUGAUGAGCUACUCAAAUCAUGUUCUUACAAGCUAUUCAUGUUAUGAUUAAAGUACGAUUAUUUCAAUUAUUCUGUGGGAUUAAACUUAGCACCGAUAGAUUGGAUGUCGAUGUUGACUAUCUUCAAGGGUCCAUACUCCUUUCCUCAAACUAUGUGCCAACAUAGGAUUAUACUUUACCCUUUCUAUACUAGUGGAUCCAUUUAGUGCCCCUUAUCAUGAAAUCCACCUCGAAAUGGGAUAGGUUCUCAUAAAGGGGGGUUACUUCUUCGAAAUAGGACGAACUCCCAUAAGGUGAAGUAUGGUUUACCUUGGCAAGUAGACCACCUCUUUACCGAUGAGGGAUAAUCAUCAAGAUUCCAAGUUGUAGCUCGUUUGGUCUUACUUUUGUUGGUUAGGGUCUCUUCCCACACAUAUAUUAUGUUCUAUGCAAGUUGAAUGAUUUACAAGCAUGUUUUACUUCAAGCAUUGAUUACGCAUGCCAUAUUGAGACUACACUUAUCUAUUCCUUAUUAUUAUGCAUUUUGUCUAUAUUGGCUUAUGUCUUCAUGCAUUGCAUCCUACAUACUUAGUACAUUUAAACAUACUAAUGCAUACUUUAUGCCUACAUGAUAUUACCAUAUAGGGACUAGAGCUCCUCUCGAUCAUCCUCCAUGUGGCUAGUUUGGUAAUUUGGAAGAUAAGCUUUGGUUAGUCCUCAAGUCUGAGGACACUAUCUAUGCUACUCUUACUAUUUGAUAUUUGUUUAUGUUGAACACUUGAUACUAUAAGGGUGAGCCCCGAAAGUGUCUUGGCCCCCACUCCAUUCCAUAUUAGAGGUGUUGUUGGAUACUAUAAUGUACUUAUGCUUGAGUUUGACUCCUUAAUGCUGUAAUGAUUAUCAAAGACCUCCCUUAGUCCCGCUUCCCUUUUAUUAUAUCUCUUAUUGUUGUUUACUUUACUUCUGCGACUAAGGAUAUGUGAUUGAUAUGAUAAAAGGCUUGUUUGGGUCCCUUCAGGUUCUCAUUCACCGUGUCAUGUCUAGGCCCUAAGCUUGGGUCAUGACAGAUGGUGUUCGAGAAAAGAUUAUGGAGGAAGCCCAUAGGUCUAGAUAUUCUAUUCAUCCAGGCUCUACCAAGAUGUACCACGACUUGAGGGAAGUGUAUUGGUAGAGUGGUAUUAAGAAGGAUAUUGCUGAGUUCGUUUCAAAGUGCCCAAAUUGCCAACAAGUAAAAGUUGAGCAUUAAAAACCAUGUGGAUUGGCUCAGAACUUUGAGAUUCCUAAAUGGAAGUGGGAGAUGAUCAAUAUGGACUUAAUCACUGGUCUAUCAAUAUCUCAAAGACAACAUAAUCUGAUUUGGGUGAUUAUGGAUAGGAUGACCAAAUCGGCUUACUUCUUAGCAGUUAAGACGACCAACACUAUGGAGUAGUAUUCCAAACUAUACUUGUGAGAGAUUGUGGGGUUGCAUGGAGUUCCCUUAUCCAUCAUCUAGAACAGAAGAGCUCAAUUUACCUCCCAAAUUUGGAAAUCAUUCCAGAAAGGGUUGGGUACUAAAGUAAAUUUGAGUACAACCUUUCAUCCACAGACAAAUGGUCAGGCAAAGCGUACAAUUCAAAUGUUAGAGGAUAUGUUGAGAGCCUGUGUUCUUGAUUUCAAGGGAAAUAGGGAUAAUCACCUAUCAUUAAUUGAACUUGCAUAUAACAAUAAUUAUCAUGCAAAAAUUCAAAUGGCUCCCUAUGAAGCUUUGUAUAGGAGGAGAUAUAGAUUUUGAGGUUUGAGAAAUGGAGUUGAUUGGGCCUGAUCUUAUCUAUCAAUCAAUGGAGAAGGUUAGGGUCAUUAAAUAGAGAAUGAAGACUGCACAAAGUCACUAGAAAUCCUACACUGAUAUGAGGAGGAUAAACUUAGAGUUCAAGGUGAAUGAUUGGGUAUACUUGAAAGUGUCUCGUAUGAAGGGUGUCAUAAGAUUCGGGAAGAAGGGGAAAUUGAUUCCUCACUAUAUUGGACCUUAUCAGAUAAUACAGAGGAUUGGAAAGGUUGUUUAUGAGUUAGAGUUGCCUUUUAAGUUAGACGGUAUUCAUCCAGUGUCGAUGUCAAAGAAGUGCUUGGGAGAUCCUGCCUUAGUGAUCCCUAUUGUGAAUAUUGGAGUGAAGGAUAACUUGUCCUACGAAGAGAUUCUGGUCCAAAUCCUUAAUCAUUAGGUUCGCAAGUUGAAAACUAAAGAGAUCACCUCAGUCAAAGUCCUAUGAAGAAAUUAAUUCAUUGAGGAAGCCACAUGAAAAUCUGAGGUAGAGAUGAGAGCAAAAUAUCUACAUCUAUUCGUGCCUAAUGAUGAGAAUGUUGAAGGUAAUUUCCUUACGCUAAACUAAAUUGAUUGAUCUAUUCUUGAGUUGAUUAUCUAUUCUUGAGUCUAAGUAUAGUUGAUUGAGAUUGAGGAAGAGUCGAGAGUUUGAUUGAUAGAUGUGAAUGUUGAGAUGAGCUUUGAGCCUAUUCGUGCCUUGAUAUCCAUCUAUACUUAUCAUUCGAGGAUGAAUGAUCCCAAGGGGGAGAUGAUGUAACACCCAAUAAAAUUAUGAAAAUACCCCUAGAGGAGAGGUAUGUGCACAACACAUCUUCCCAUGCUUCAUUUGUAAAUUCGAGACCAGAUAUGCAAUCAGCAUGAAAUAUUGAGUGAAAAAAUAGUCUCGGUUAAUUUUUAGAGUGACCAGAUCAAAGGAUAAAGUUUUCAAUCCGAAACGCAAAAAUAGUACGGUAUACAAUAGCACCUCUAUCGCGGAGAUGGACUUAUUGUUUUUCAAUUUUUUUUGAUGGAAUUGGAAACCUUGUUCAAAAAAUUUUUGGAAAAUAUAUAUAUAUAUGCAGGCCCAGUCCAUAUCAUGGACUGGGCUAUUUCGAAGUGAAAUUUUCUCAAAAAUUCAUGAGGGGUAUUCUAGACAAUUCUCAACCCCUUCUAAACUCAAUAUACGAUCAAAAUAGGUCAUUUUAAGCAUACAAAAGGUCUAAAAUCUCUUUUAAAGUCUUAGAGAAAGUUAGGGAUUAAGAGAAGAGAAGAGAAGAAAAGAACAUAAGAAUGGAGAAUUCAAGGGAGAAUUCUUGAAGAUUGAUCGUUAAAGCUUCACCCCAGGUAUGUAAGGCUAAACUAAAAAUAUGAGAUUGUUCUCUCGUGUGCCCCAUAGAUGGUCAUAUAAUAGCUGAAAGUGUAAUGAGUCUACAUACAUGAUUCUUGAUGGGUUUUCUUGAAAAAUAUAUUUUCUUAUGUUGAUGAUCAUCAUAAACUUAUUUUUCUUGAAUUGAAUACUUUUCAUGAGAUAUUAUAUAACUCUAGAUGAUUAUUUUUGAAAGCAUGCAUGAAUGAAGUUAGGGAUUGAGUCUAGAGCCUUGAUUUGAGAAUUUCAAUUAUGAUUAUGAUGUGAGCAUGAUGAUGAAUUGAUAGAACUUGAUAGUCAUGUGAGUAUCCAUAAAUGAACUCCAAUGAUUUGUUUGUUCAAUUAUUCUAUAAUGAUUGUUCUAAGCCUUGAGUUAUUGAUUGAGAUAUCGAUUGAUAAUAUAAUGAGAGUCUCUAUGAGACUGGUUGAAUGAUGAGUGCCUCUAGGAGGCUGAUUGAGAUAGUUUGAUUGGGAUGAAUUGUCUUAUGAGCAUUAAAUUUUGGGAGGAAUAUCGAGCACUGAAAGAGUAAGAGUUAAUCCAACUCGCACUCAUCAAACUACGUAGCUAAGCAUAGGUGAGGAUUAGAACCAUCCAUUAUGUCGAGGUUCCCUCUGGAUAGAAGUCCCUGAAAUAAUAGAGGACUUGUAGAUUGUCAUCUUCAUUUUGGACUUAUCCAUUAUGGUUUCAAUUCAUUCCCUACUUGGCAAGUACCAAAUGAUUGUGGCAACAAUGGCGGCUUGUUAUGCAAUCACUAGCUCAUAAGUAAUUAUUGUUGAAUAAGAAAAACUCCUAGAAAGUUCCCACCUUGAGUACUCUGAGUUGAAAUGAGAUGAGAUGAGUUGUGAGUUAAGUUGAGUUCCUUUUAAUGAGUCUGAUUUGAUUAAUGAGGUUUGAUUGGUCAGAUGGGUCACCUGCCUACUCUUUUUUCUUGCUUUAGAUAGACAUUUGACAUGUUGAUUAGUUACUAUUCUAAGUUGAUGAUUGUUGCAUAUUAUUCUACCUGUUUCUGUUGCAUUUAGCUAUUUUAUGUAUCGUACAUUCUACAUAUUGACGCCAUUCGGUGUUGCAUCAUUUUAUGAUGCAGAUAUAGGGAUUAGAUAUUCAUCAAUAAGUGCAUCAUUAAGGAUCUAGGACAUUCAGCUGAUUUGGUGAGUCUCCCAUACUUCGAAGGAUUCAUUAUAUUUUCUUUCAUCUUGCUUUUGAGUUAGACCUGAUUAGCUUUAUUUUGAUUUAGGUAGUCAUGAUAAAGGUUCCAUAGACUAGAGUCGGAUGUUGAUUGUCAAGAUUAUGAGCUAGUUCCUUCUACUAACCUUUUAUUAUUAUAAUAUUUUGAAAACUAGAUAAGAUGUGCUCAUUUACUUUCUUUUGUCUUCCGCUGAUUAGUAGAGUUUAUUACUUGGAUGGAUGUGAUGAGGCCAAGUGGUUCGCUUGGGGAGUAGCAAUAGUCUUUAGGUGUUGGCCAUAUCUUGGGUACCCUCCCGGGGCUUGACAAACUUAAGGUAGCAUUUGGUGAGAGGGAGAAUAUGUGUACUGUAUCUGAUAGAAUUGAAAGCAUUAUAAAAGUUGUUUCUAAAGCAUACAAUAAUGUGCCGCAUUACGCGUGCAUAUGGCAUCUAUGGAACAAUGUAUGCAAGAAAUACUGAAAGUCAAAUAAGCUUUUGGGUGAGGUAUUCCUUAAUAAGGCAAAGGCAUAGCGCAGGUUGAAUUUGACAUGUUGAUGGCUAAGGUUGAAAAGGUUGAUAUUAGAGUCAAAAAUUACUUGUAGUUGACGGGUUAUGACAAGCAGGUAAGGUUAUAUGCACUGGUUAAUCGAAGGUGGAUUUUGACGUCAAAUAUUGCAUAGUCUAUCAAUUCCAUGCUCGUGGAAACUAUCUAGUUGCACAUAUUUGAUUUCUUAUAACAAGUAUGGUUGCUUUUUGCCAGAUGAAACUACACAAAUCAACAAAAAGCUUCUUUUACGUUCAAGAUACUUGGAAAUAAAUUUCAAGAGAUACUCGAAGAUAACGAAAAACAAUCUAUAUGUAUGAGGGUAUAUACCCAUAAAGCAUUCAAUUUAUCAAAAAAAAGUAAGCGCUUUUCUAUUCUAUGUCUAUUACAUGUGAUUUGUUUGAUGUAUUUUUUAUGUGUGGUACUUUGUUUGUUUUAGGUUGUUCAAUCUAGUGAUUACAUCUAUUAUAUGAGUUAUGAAGGGAAGCAAUAUAUAGUAUGCCUUGAAAAUAAAAGGUGUAGUCGCAGAAGAUUUUCAAGUGGAUGAAAUUCCAUGUGCACAUGCUUGGGAAGUGUUGAAGAGCAAAAUAUACUACCAGACAAAUAUUGUUCUGAGUUGUAUAAGCCAAAAACUAUUUUAAAGAUAUACGAGGUGCUUGUGUAUCCUUUUCCGAAUAUAAUAGAGUGGAAUGUACCUAAGCAUAUAGCUGAAGAAGUAAUGUUGCCGCCAAAGUAUAAACGACUUCCAGGAAGGCCAAAGAAGCAGUAUGAUAAGUCGUACAGAGAGAUUAAAUGGAAGAAGAGUAGUAAUUCUUGUAGUACUUGUGGAAGUUUUGGUCACAAUAGGCGUACCUAUAGAGCUGUGCCAUGUAAUAAGUAGUAUUAUUUUUUUAAAAAAAAUUGCAUCGAUAUCAUUAUUUUUAUGAUGUCAAAACUGUUUGAUUGAAUAAAUUGACUUUCUAUGCUUAUACAUUGUUGUUUUUCUUUUGAUAUGACAAAUGAUAUGUUUGAAAUUUGUCAAUGUAUUGAUAUUGUUGCUCAAAAGAAAUUAUUAUCAUUAAGCUCAUUUCAAAAAGCUCUAAGGCUGUAAAGAGAAUGAUGAGAAAGUGAAACGCCCCAAAAAUGCCUGAAAUUGUGCCUCGAAAAUGCCCAUAAUCAUAAAUUUCAUAUAUAUCAAAAUCUAUAUGUGAUAUCAAAAAUUCAAAUUCAUAUUCGUGAUCAUGGAGAAAAAUUAAGUAGGAGAUGGGUAUAACCCCGAUUCUAGAGCAAUCAUAGCGAGGCGUGAUGCGCUAGGGGCGCAGAGAGGUAUAUUUUUUGCCAGUUUUCUUAUUUUGGCCCAAGGGGCUUUGGGUCAUAGUUUCAUGCCCUCCUAUAUGUAAAAAUACCUAUACUUAGCCAUUUUUCAACUCUAUAUCACUCAAGACCCUCUCAAAACCCUCUCUAACACUUAGCCAAAUAUUUCAUCCAAAUUCAAGUGACCUAAGCUUAAUUUUGAAUCUCAAGAACUCUCUUCACGCUUCAAGCCUACUUCAAGACUACAUCAAGAAAACCCAAGUUUAAGGUACGUGGGUUUCAACCAUUGGGUCCUUUCGCCCAUGGUGCCCAAUCUUUCUAUCUUAUGAAAAUUACAUGUUUUCAAGUUAUAUUACUAAUGGGUAUUACUUAUUAUGGAUUAUGACUACAAAUUAUGUUAGGGUUUUAUGAAAUGUUAAUUGGAAACUCAUGUCUAUUUGUUUCAAGCUUAUAUUAUAAGAUGGUUUGUCUAUUGUGACUAUGCAUGUUUUGAGCUAUGAAACUAUGGUCUAUUACAAGAUUUUGAUGAUAGAUUUUAAGGUAUCUUAUAUGAGGGUUUUACUACGUUUUGGUGGGUUGAUUUACAUUGAGUUUUCUCAUAUUAUUUCACUCUUGAAUUGCAUGAUUUUGAACUAACAUUGCACACUCGGCCAAGUGUUUGAUAAAAUGCCUUUUCAAGGAUUCUUGAAGUUAUUGAUGAUCUAUUGCAUGUUUUAUAAGUCAAGUGAUUUUAUGAUGAAUAUGGGCUUUCAAAUAUGUUAUGAAUUCAUAAAAUUAUCUAUGAUUAUGCAAGUAUGAAGUUAAGCCCCUUUUUCAAGGAUUUUACCUCUUGUGAGCCAUAUGAUGUUGAUGCAAGGAUAAUAUUAGAUGAUGAUCUAUUCUUAUGUUUUGAAGUUAGGCUCAAUAUUAGAGGUUAAAGAUGUUUUAGAGCUACUCAUGUAAUAUUUCUAUGUUUCUAUAAGUUAUUAAAGUUAUGAUUAUUUCAAGUAUUAUGUGGGAUUAGACUUAGCACCGAUGGAUUGGAUGUCGGCAUGGACUAUCUUCAAUGGUCCAUUUAGUGCAUCUCUUAAUGAAAUCCUUUUUGAAAAUGGGUCAUAUUUCCGUAAGGAAAGUUACUUCAUAUGAAAUCGGGUCAUGUUUUUGUAUGUUUGAAGUAUAGUUUGCCUCGGCAAGUAUACUACCUUUUUACCGAUUAGGCGUAAUUAUUCGGAUUCCAAGUUGUAGCUCGCUUAGUCUUAUUCUUUUUCGGUGAGGUCUCUCCUCACACCUAUGUAUUAUGAUCUAUACAAGUUGAAUGAUUUACGAGUAUAUUUUACUUCAAGCAUUGACCGUGCAUGCCAUAUUGCGAUUACACUUAUCUAUUACCUAUUACUAUGCAUUUUGGAUAUAUUGGCUAUGUCUUGUUGCAUUGCAUCCUACAUACUUAGUAUAUUCAAACAUACUAAAGCAUACUCUAUGCCUACAUGAUGUUACAAUGUGGAAAUCGGAGCACCUCUUGAUCUUCCUCCACGUGGCUAGUUUUGGCAUCUUGAAGAUAAGCUUUCGGUGAGUCCUCAAGUUCGGGGACACAAGCUAUGCUACUCUUGCCUAUGUUAUUUCUCUAUGUUGAUAUUUGAUACUAUGAUGGUGAGCCCGAAAAGUGUCUUGGCCCCCGCACAAUCUAUGUUUAGAGGUGUUGUUGGAACAAUUGAUGUAUCUAUGCUUUGAACUUUGAUUCUUUAUGCUUUAUAAAUGUCAAGACUUCCCUUAGUCCCACUUUCCCUUUUUAUAUUAUCUCUUUUGGUUAUUUACUUUGCGCCUGUGACUAAGGAAGUGUGAUUGUUAUGCUAAGAGGCUUAUUUGGGUUCCUUCGAGUUCCCAUUCAUCGUGUCAUGUCUAGGCCCUAGGCUUGAUUCAUGACAAACUUGGUAUUAGAGCACUAGGUUGUUAAUAGUCCUAGAAAUCCAACACACCACGUCGAUUAGAGUCUUAUUCAUAGUCGUGAAGUGCACCACAACUAUGAGUAAGAGGCUAUGAGGUAUUUUAGGAAAUGUUUCCCUUCUUCAUAGUCUAUGUUAUGCUAUAGAAGUUAAGAUAAGGUUUUUCCCUAACGAAUGUUCCUUUUUAUUCUAGAUCAUAUCAAUUCCAAGGGGAAGAAGAGCCCGUACACCCGAGGAGUAACCGACUCCUCCCGCUCCUCUAGUUCCUCAAGAUGGGGGAGUGGCUCAUGAAGAGUUUCGGGAUGCUAUUACUAUGUUGGCUCAUGCUAUGGCCAACCAAAUCAACCAAGUGUCCCAAGCCCCUCAUGCUCCUACUCCGGCCUCAAGGGUGAGGGAUUUUACUAAAAUGAACCCAGCGAAGUUCCAUGGGUCUAAAGUAGAUGAGGAUUCUCAAGAUUUCAUUGACGAAGUGUAUAAGGUGUUGUCCAUUAUAGGGGUUAACGCAGAGGAGAAGGCGGAGUUGGCGGCCUACUAACUCAAAAGGGUGGCUCAAAUAUGGUUCACUCAAUGGAAGAUGGAGAAGGGGAACAAUUAUGCUAUCCCUUGGGAAGAAUUCAAAGCAGCAUUUCUCAACUGGUUCUUCCCUAUUGAGCUUAGGAAGGCAAAAAUGAUGGAAUAUAUGAAUCUAAAGCUAGGGUCUAUGAGUGUGAGGAAGUAUGCCCUCAAGUUCAACCAACUCUCCAAGUAUGCCCUACAAUUGGUUGUCGAGCCAAGGUCAAGAAUAAACAAAUUUAUGUCAGGUGUAUCUAAUUUGGUUAAUGAGGAGUAUCGAACCGCCAUGCCUAUAGGUGGUAUGGAUUUGUCCCGUCUAAUGACAUAUGUCGAGCAAUUGGAGGGGGAAAAACUUACAAAGAAAAGGGUUGGUGAGGCCAAGAGGACCCAUUUGGAAGGUGGAUUUAAAGGUUCUAAAGGUGGUCGGGUCAGUUUCCUCAAGGCCACAAGUCCCAAGGCUAAGAGUCAUCGAAUGCUUCCAAUAAGGAGAUUGUCUAUGAUAGAGUGCCAAAUCAAAGAUCACAAGGAGGUAAUGAAAAGCUGACAAAUCUUAGAUGCCAGAAGUGUGGGAAAGGCCAUGGUGGCCCAUGUUCGAAGAACUCUAAUGCUUGCUUUGGUUGUGGUGAAUUUGGUCACAAAGUUAGUGGUUAUCCUCAUGCUCAACACAGAGGUAGACAUGGUGGUCCUCAAGGGCAAGGUUCUAAUGCAGAACAAAGAAGAAGGGAGGGCCAUCAAGAGGGUGCAUCAAGGCAAAAUAGAUUUUAUACUCUUCAAGGGAGGCACGGAGUGGAUGAGGUGCCUGAUGUCAUCACUGAUAUGUUAAAAGUUUUUAUUUUGAUGUGUAUGCAUUGAUAGGCCCGGGUGCCACUCUUUCUUUAUUUACUCCAUCGUGCCAAAAAGCUUCAUGUUAGUCCCAAAUUAUUAUGUGAGCCUUAUGAAGUGCAUACUCAUAUUGGUGAAUCCAUUGUUGCUAGAAGGGUCUAUAGAAAUUGUCUCAUUUUCAUUUUUGCAUAAAACUAUUGCCUUGUGAUUUUGCUGAAAUAGAUAUGGUGGAUUUUGAUGUCAUUCUUGGGAUGGAUUGGUUGCAUGCAUAUUAUGGUUCUAUUGAUUAUAGCACCCGUAGGGUCAAAUUUCAAUUCCCAUAUGAACCCGUCCUUGAGUGGUAAAAUUAUGAUGUGGUGGUCAAGGCUAGAUUCAUUUCUUGUCUUAAAGCCGAAAGAUUGAUUUCUAAGGGGUGCCUCUAUCAUCUUGUGAGGGUUAGGGAUGUUGAUUCCAAAGUUCCUUGCUAUCGAAUCGUAUCUAGUGGUCAAUAAGAUCUUGAUGUCCUUUUCGAUAUUUUGAAUUUGGGAUAAUGUCUUUGGCUUGGCUAAUGCACCAACUAUGCUUAUGGAUCUUAUGAAUAGGGUCUUUAAACCCUACCUUCAUUUAUUUGUAGAGUUUUUAUUGAUAAUAUCUUGAUCUUUUCCCAUAGUAAGGAGGAGCAUGUGAAUCACUUGAGGGUGGUGUUACAACUCUUGAGGGAUGAGAGGUUGAUUGCUAAAUAUGAAAAGUGAGGUUGUAGGGUAAUAAGGGGUGAUUAAAGGAGUACACCAGUUGGCUAGAUUGGGAAAAUAUGAGGUUGGAUGAAGUUGAGAAUGGUAAUGUAGUGGUUUUGAUAGAUCCGAAUCUUUUUUGGUUGAAGAGGUCAAGUUAAAGCAAGACCUUGAUUCCGCUUUGCUAGAGUUGAAUGUUUUAGUGGAGGAUGGUGAAGUGGAGGUUUUCUCCCAAGGAAGAGAUGGUGUCCUUAGGUACUAAGGUAGGUUACGUGUGCUUGUGUUGGUGAUUGGGAUAUAUGUGAAGGUCUUACCUAUGAAGGGUGUGACCCGGUUUGGCAAGAAAGGAAAGGUUUGUGGGUCCUUAUAGAGUAUUGAGGAGAAUUAGUAAAGUCGCUUAUGAAUUGGAAUUUCCUAUAUAAAUGGAUAUGGUUCAUCCGGUCUUUCAUGUAUCUAUGUUGAGGAGAUGUGCUAGUGGUCCAAAGUGCUAUAAGACUCCUUGAGGUUGUGGGUGUUAUGGAGGAGGAGUUGACUUAUGAGAAGGUUCCGAUGGAGAUAUUGAAUGGAUAUAUGAAAAGUUUGAUUGAUAAGGAUGUAGUAUUUCUCAAGGUCCUUUGGAAGAAUCAUCAAGUCAAAAGUGUCACUUGGGGAGCCGAAGUGGACAUGGAGAAGCGAUAUCCGUAUCUCUUUCAUUCUAUUCAAGCUUAAGAUAGCAAAACUAAGCUCUUUCUACAAUUUCAAGUCUUAAGUUUCAUCCCUUAUGUAGUUUGCAUGUAUUCAUAUUUAUAUUGACAAGUUUAUGGUGAUUUUGACGUACAUGUUGAAAUUUUUGAAGUGAUGUUUAAAUGCAUUUGUUGCAUUCAUGUCAGGUUGAAAUCUUCAUGAUUAUUUCUCUUUUGUACUCUUCUUUGACAUUUGGGGAUGAAUAUUCCCAAGGGAGAGAUAUUGAAACGCCCCAAAAAUGCCCAAAAUUGUGCCUAAAAAAUGUCCAUAAUCAUAAAUUCUAUAUAUCUCAACAUUUGUGCAUGAUAUCAAAAAUUUGACUUCAUAUUCAUGAUCAAGGGACAAAAUUGAGUGGAAAAUGGGUAUAGCCCCAAUUUUAGAGUAACCGUAGCGAAAAAUAAUUUUUUCAAAAAUUUCAAUUUCCGGAGAUGAUCCACGCUUAAGGCGCGACGCGCCAAGGGCGCGGAGAGGUAUAUUUUUGUUUGCCAAUUUUCUUAUUUCGACCCAAAAAGGCCAUUGGGGUCAUAGCCCUAUGCCCUCCUAUGUGUAAAAACACCUAUACUUAGCCAUUUUUCAACUCUAUAUCCCUCAAGACCCUCUCAAAACCCUCUCUAACACUUAGCCAAAUAUUUCAUCCAAAUUCAAGUGACUUAAGCUUAAUUCAAGAUCUCAAGAACUCUCUUCAAGCUUCAAACCUCCUUCAAGACUACAUCAAGAAAACCCAAGUUUGAGGUAUGUGGGUUUCAACCAUUGGGUCCUUUCACCCAUGGUGCCCAAUCUUCCUAUCUUAUGAAAAUUGUAUGUUUCCAAGUUGUAUUACUUAUGGGUAUUACUUAUUAUGGAUUAUGACUACAAAUUAUGUUAGGGUUUAUGAAAUGUUGAUUGGAAACACAUGUCUACCUAUUUCAAGCAUAUAUUAUGAGAUAGUUUGUCUAUUGUGACUAUACAUAUUUUGAGCUAUGAAACUAUGGUCUAUUAUGAGAUUCGAUAAUGGAUUUUAAGGUAUCUUGCAUGAGGUUUUUACUAUGUAUUGAUGGGUUGAUUUACAUUGAGUUUUCUCAUAUUAUUUCACUCUUGAAUUGCAUGAUUUUGAACUAAUAUUGCACACCCGCCAAGUGUUUGAUAAAAUUUCUUUUCAAUGAUUCUUGAAGUUAUUGAUGAACUAUUACAUGUUUUAUAAGUCAAGUGAUUUUAUGAUGAAUAUGGGCUUUCAAAUAUGUUAUGAAUUCAUGAAAUUAUCUAUGAUUAAUCAAGUAUUAAGUUAAGCCCUUUUUCCAAGGAUUUUACCUCUUGUGAGCCAUUGAUAUUAAUGCAAGGGUAACAUUAGAUGAUGAUCUAUUCUUAUAUUUUGAAGUUAGGCUCACCAUUAGAGGUCAAAGAUGUUUUAGAGCUACUUAUGAAAUGUUUCUAUGUUCCUAUAAGUUAUUAAAGUUAUGAUUAUUUCAAGUAUUCCGUGGGAUUAGACUUAGCACCGAUAGAUUAGAUGUUGGCCUGGACUAUCUUCAAGGAUCCAUACUCAUUUCCUCAAACUAUGUGCCAACAUAGGAUUAUGUUAUGCCCUUGCAAUACUAGUUGAUCCAUUUCGUGCACUUCUUAAUGAAAUCCUUUUCGAAAUUGGAUCAUGUUCUCGUAAGGAAGGUUACUUCAACGAAAUUGGGUCAUGUUCCUGUAUGUUUGAAGUAUGGUUUCCCUUGGCAAGUAGACCACCUCUUUAUCGAUGAGGGGUAAUCAUCGGGAUUCCAAGUCGUAGCUUGCUUGGUCUUAUUCUUUGUCGAUUGAGGUCUCUUCCCACACCUUUGUAUUAUGAUAUAUAUAAUUGAAUGAUUUACAAAUAUGUUUUACUUUAAGCAUUGACCAUGUGUGCCAUAUUGAGAUUACAUUUAUCUAUUGUCAAUUACUAUACAUUUUGUCUAUAUUGGCUAUAUCUUGUUGCGUUGCAUUGCAUCCUACAUACUUAAUACAUUCAAACGUACUAGCGCAUACUCUAUGCCUACAUGAUGUUACUAUGUAGGAACCAGAGCACCUCUUGAUCAUCCUCCACGUGGCUAGUUUUUGCAUCUUGAAGAUAAGCUUUUGGUGAGUCCUCAAUUUCGGGGACACUAGCUAUAUUACUCUUGCUUAUGUUAUUUCUCUAUGUUAAUCUUUGAUACUAUGAGGGUGAGCCCGAAAAGUGUCUUGGCCCCCGCCCAAUCUAUGUUUAGAGAUGUUGUUUGAACAAUUGAUGUAUCUAUGCUUUAAGAUUUUACUCUUUAUGCUUUAUAAAUAUCAAGACUUCCCUUGGUCCUACUUUUCCUUUUUACAUUAUCUCUUGUGGUUGUUUACUUUGCUUCUGUGGCUAAGGAUGUGUGAAUAUUAUACUAAGAGGCUUUUCUGGGUUCUUUCAGGUUCUCAUUCACUAUGUGACGUCUAGGUUCUAGGCUUGGGUCAUGACAGAAAGAAUAUACUAAUGUACUCGUAGACUUUGAAGAACAUAUUGGCUAAUCGUCAUCCUGGUAGCAUCAUUGCCAUGACGUAUUCGUUGUCUUAAAUUCAAGCCUGUCAUUCUGCAAAAUUAGCAUCUUAGUAAAGCUUGGACAUAAAACUCUAUUAAAAUAAUAAGGGUGAUCUUGAAAUAGUAUAAUAAUGGUCGUCCUAGAAGUUUUAAAAAACAAGCAGCCAAUGUUAGUUUUUAUAGUGUUUAUAAUUCCUAAUAAUCUACUAUAGAUAUACUUCUUUUUAAGAUUGAUGCGAAUGACAUGUAUCUUGUCAUGGUAAUUGAUCAUGCCCAAGUUACACCUCUAUUUUGGAGGAUAAAAUGGUCGUUGUCAAAUAUAAAAUCUAACUAAGGUUAGGGUCGAAUUUCAUAGAGAAUACGUAGACUUUUCAAAUCGAUUCACCAAUAAACAAUUCAAGUAUUAACUAACUCAAUUCCCCAAAAGGGGGAGGGGGGUUCCAAUGAUUGAUAAGAAAUUAAACUAAACUAAUGAAAACAAGAGACAAUUAAUAAUGGAGAGUAACUUGGGAAAUUGUGUUCCCCGUGAUUCACCAACUUGAUAUCCCCGGAUAACCCAAUUCUCAACUAGAGUAUAGCAUGUAGGAUGGUAACUUAAGUUCACCAAGCCCUUUGGCUAAAGGUAAGGCGAAUUUCACUAUGUGAAUUGGCCCAUCUCUAUAGUGUGCAAUACUAACCAUUACCCAUAGUCCUAGUCAACCUCCCCUUGAUCUAGUUCAGUUGAUUAGAUGAGAACACAUCAUCGAAUCCUAUUAACUAAUCUCUUUUCCUAUUCAUUACCUCCUAGAUCGAGAAGGUAACACUAGGCAAAUUCUAAUAUUAGCAACUAUUAGAAAACAUGCAACACGAAGAGAAUUGAUUAAUACAUGUAAAUACCCAUUCCAAGAAUUGUAAAUUAUCUGGGUGUAUUGAUUCACUCUUCAUGGUUCCCGCAACCCCAAGUUGUGGGUUUAGCUACUUAUGCUAUGGAUAGAUAAAGAAACUAUGAAUUGAGAAAACAUAACUAAUCUCUUACCAAAUAGAUUGAAGAACAAGCAAACCCAAUAUGUAUUGAGAAUCACAAGAUUGAAAGAUACAAUGAAUCCACAAGUGUAUUCUCCUUUCCAAUAUUUAGUCUCCAAGUAUAAAAUUCUAACAAUAUCUCUAAUGAUGUUCUCUAUUCUAUUCUGUUGUAUUCCUUACUAAAAAUAACCUAAUUUAUACUAUUUAUAGUAUUUACAAACAAGUCCCAAAAAAUAGAAAAUCAAGUAGGCGCACCCUACGACAUGCAGUUACGACUCAUAACUGGGUUUAUGAGUCUUAAUCGAGGUCUCGUGUUCAGCUUCUUUAAUCUUGGACUUCACUGCUAUGGGUCCACUUUAUGAGUCAUGGUCUGAUCUAUAACUCAUAUCGCCUUCUGGUAGACUUCAUCAUCAUCUUUCGGUCCUUCUCUGGAAAUCUUCACGAAACCCCUCUAUAUGACUCGUAGAGUGAUCUAUGACUCGUAUAGGUGUCUCGUAUAACUAAACUUCAGACUUUCAUUCAUCACUAGAAAUCCCUACAAAACCAAUUGUAUGACUCAUGGAUUGCUCUACGACUCGUAGAGGGUCUCGUAAGCCUUCAAAAAUCAGAAAAGUCUGUAACUUUCUCCAAAAGUCAUGACAACCUGCUUUCCUGCAAAAACAAACACAAAAUCAUAUAAAAACCAAAAAUAUCGCACUGAGAACAAACAAAAUCCUAAGUUUUAGGCAUCAAAUAUGUUGUAUUUUGACUGCACAUCAACACCCUCAACUUAAAAUUGUUACUUGUCUUUAAGCGACGACUCAAUCUAUAUAGAUAAUAAAGAAACAUACAAACCUCAACCCAAUGGCAUAUAUCAUACUCAUUUCAAACUCAAGUACCCAUACCAACUUUUCAAAAUAAGAUCAGAUAGCUAUUUAGCAAACCAAAACACACUAGUGAAUUUGACAACACAACCAUGACAAACAAAGAAAUAUCAACAGUCCACAAUGAUUGAACAAGUCAAAUACUAACAAUGCAAUGCAAGUGCUCUCACAGAAAGAAGUCUCAUUUGAACACUCAAUGAUGAUUUCAAUUUCAGCCUUAGGACUAAGCAAGAACACUCACUCUCACAAAAGAUGUUCAUGCAUGAUGACUAAUACCAUAAGCUUGCUCAUAUACUCAUGACUUAGACUUUUAAUUUAGUGGACUAGGAUCACAUUAGGACUUUCUAGGCUUAUAACGUAGGCUCAGGGGGAUUUGGUAUGACAUUUUGGAAAAUUAGUGACUGAAGGCCAUUGUUGAACUACGUCUUUCAACACUUUCACUUUACCAACUCCAACAUUUUCACCUUAUUCUCCCUUUUUUCAUAUUCAAGCUUUUCUGGAUAUUUUCUUCUCAUUUGUUUUUAGCUUUUACCUCAUUUUUACACUCUUUUAAUUUCAAUCUAAGGCAUCUUUUUCUUUUUCUUAUAGCCAGUACAUGGUUUUCUUCUUUUUCUCCUCAUUCCUAACUCACCACCUUAUUUUUGUGAUUUUACCCCUACACCGGCCAUAUUCAACUUAGGCUUUUAGCCUAUUUUGAAGCCCCAAACCAAGGCCACUUUUGGUAGUCACCCUCAACUUAGGCUUUUUUUUGCCUCAAUAAAGGUUCACUAUGCUUAAGGAAAGACCAGGGCCAAAUUCAACGUCUAUCACCAGACAAUGUUAGGCUAAUUAGGUGUUUCAGAAAUAAUUAGUUCAUGUAAGGCUCAAAUAUUUGGAACAAGGGAUAAAACAUCAUUUGGUUAGUUAUUUUAGACUAAAGUGGACUAAUUUAAAGAACAAAAGGCUAAGAUCCCUUCCUAAUUCAUUUAAUCUACGAUCUAACUUAGAGCAACAGUGCAAGUUCUGAAUUAGCAUAAUAAUGCAUGAAUUUAGAAAAAUAAGCUCACACUCACAUGGCAUUGCAAAACAUUAUCAACAAGUAAUUCACAGAUCAUGUUUCAUGUCUUAAAUUACCCUCACUUAUCAGAACAACUAUUGUCAAACACCCAAACAUGCAUGGUUGCUAUUUAACUACUAAUCAAAAAAUUUGGUGGGUACCAAUUUUUAAAACAAAACAUAAAACAUGCUAUAUGCCAUAAGUAUUAGUACUAUAUGCUACAAGUAUUAUCUAAACAUCCUAAAUACUCACAAGGAAAAAUAACACAGGCAAGAAAACCUCGAGAUCAAAAUUUGGGGUAGUUAUAGACCAUAAGCUACUCAGACUUCACCAAGGUCCAUCACUACCCACACCCUAUCGAAAAGGUUGUACAUGGUCCUCAAUGUACCAAAUCAAGCAAAAAUAUAAUAGUAUAGAUAAAAACAAAACAUAUCUUAGCGCCUAAGCACUUGUGUCGGGCUGUCUUUAGUCAUCUCCCAUCUGUGGGGUAGUAUUCUCAACAACUAAACUCUAUCUAGAGGGUCCAAUACCCCUCACCCUAUCAUGCUCCUGGGCUAGCCUCAUCUUCUCCUCUAGCAUCGAUGUCCUCAAGGCCAGCUCGAGCUCAUCCUACUCCUCAUCAUCCUUGAAGCGCUUUGCACAUACCUUCCUCUAAACAGGGUCCUCAUUUAUGCAAGGGUGCUUCUCGAGGGAAGUCUGUGGAGGCUCUGUGGAGGCAAAUAGAUCAAACAGCGGCUCCGCAGGUGUAGAUUAUGGUAGUGUCAUGGGUGCCGCUAAUGAACCUAUCAUAUCAUGCCUAUGCUUGGCAAUCUCCUCAUGUAUAACUAACAAAUUUGAAGGUUGGGCCUAGGUGAACCCCUUCUACACCUGGUCCUCAAAGGCAUUGAUAUGGGCAUCUACCAUAGAAAUAUUUUCCUAAAUAGCAGAUAUGGUGAAUACCUUGCAUCGCUCCUCUAAGUCCAUAAUAAUCUGCCAGACCCAUGGCCUAAGCUGCUGAAUAAACUGAGACAACUAGGUCUCAGUACGUGAUAGAUGUUGCGCCAUAGCCUGAAUUAAAAUCACAAACACAUAAACCAUGCCUGGUGUAGAAGUCUGUGAAGUACUGGCCUUUUGUGUAGGAGCAACUGUAGUCAGACCCCUCUCAACGUCGACUACCUCGGUCUACUGGGGUCUCUCAUCUAUAGUAGCAGUAACAUGAGUAGUGGGGGUAGUCGUUGAACCUUCAGGAGGUGGCUCCGAGGCGAACAUCAAUAGUGGUGGUAGAGCUUGUCGGGUUGCCACCGGGUUCUCAUCGGCCUUUAUUAGGCCGGCCUCUAGGGUAUGCUGUGCAUCGACUAAUUGAUCCAGCUGAUGAAAUAUCUCCACCCGUGAAUGUAAACAAAGCUUAUAGACCAAAAUCGAAAAUGGGAUGGAGGUGGCCCUAUCAGGCCCAAUCAAUGUCAUAGCCAGCCAAGAUGCUGGCAAUCAACACCGCCUGCUCCGAUAUCAAAGUGCUAUCCACCAGAGUAGGCCGGAUGCGGGAUCUGAUGUACUAUCAAAAUAUAGCACAUUUAAUGCCUAAAACAUGAGAUUUUGUGUGUUCUUAAUGUGACUUUUUAUGAUUUUUAUGUAUUUGUGUGUUUAUUUUUCUGAAAAUAUAGGUUGGCUUUAUUUUACAAAAAGUUACAAAUUUUGUUGAUUUUCAAGAUCUACGGACUCCAUUACUAGUCAUAGCCCAAGCUACGAGUCGUAGAGGCUAUCUCGUAUUAGUUAAUAGUGUUCAAAAAUAAAAUCUAAAAAUUUAAAGUUCAGCCAUAUGAGCUCAAGGUACGAGUCAUAGUCCCCUCUACGACUCGUAAAGGGAGGCCUCAUAGCAAUUAACAGUGUUGAUCAAAAUUAGACUAAGAUAUGCAAGAGUGGACUAUAAGAAGGCACUAUGAGUCAUAGACUAGACUAUGACUCGUAAAGGUGUGUUGUAGCAGUGAAAUCCAAAAUAUCAAGUGCUAAUAACUAAAUCUAGACUACGACUCAUAAGACAACCUACGAGUCGUAACUACGAGCCGUAGCAGAUGCCGACCAAAUUUUCUAAUUAUUUUAAGGACCUUUUUUUAAAUAUUAUAAAUAGUAUAUUUUAGGGUUUUAGGGGAAGCUUAACUCAUUAUUCAUAUUGUACAUAGAUUUUAGAGAGGCUUUAGAGUAGAAUUUUAGGGUUUAUCUUUGGAGACUUAAAAUUGGAGAUUAGAUUCACUUGUAGGUUAACUUCAUUAUUCAAGCUUAUGAUUCUAAUUGCAAAAUGGGUCUUAAUGUUCUUUAGUCUUCUUGGGUAAGAAAUCUAUCAUGUUUUCUUUAUUCGUUGUUGGUUUUUUUGCCCAAGCCAUAAGUGGCUAAACCCACAACUUGGGGUUGUGGGAACCAUGAGUACCUAACUUAGGGAACCCAGAUUAUUUGCACUUCUUGAGUUGGGUAUUUGCAUGUAUUAUCCAUUUUCCUUCAUUUUUCUUGUUGUUUGAUGGUGGCCAACAUUGAACCUCGCCUAAUAUCAUGAUCCCGAUCAAGGUAGUAAUAAAUAGAAAAAAGAAAUGGGUGAAAAAAUUUGAUUGAUGUGUUCUCAUCUAAUAUACUAAACCCGGCUAAGGAGAAGUUGACUGGGAUAAUAGGUAACGGUUAGUUUGGCACACUAUGGUAGCUGGCCAAGUGCCAUAUUGAAAUUCGACCUUCACCUUUGCCUAAGGGUUGGAAGAACCUAAGUUACCAUCCUGCAUGUACUGUCCUAAUUUAGGUUGUGUUAUCUGGAGUUUUUAAGUCAGUGAAUCAUGGGGAACACAAUUUCCCAGGUUGCUCUCCAAUUUGAUUGACUCUCCAUUUUAGUAGUUUAGUUUAAUUUUCCAUUGACUAUUGAAAAUCCCCCUCCUUGAGAAUUGAGUUGUUUGAUAUUUGAAUUGAUUGUUGGUGAAUCAAAGUGGCAAAGCCCCGUAUUCCCUUGGGAUUCACCCUAACCUCGGUUAGAUUUUUUACUAUUAAUGAUCAUCCUCAAAGUGGGAGGUACUAUUUGAGCAAUAUCAAAAUUAAUGGCGCCAUUGUUGGGGAAUACGGUGAGGUUUUGAUUUGAUUUCACUAGUAGUUAAUUCAAGUGUUAAAUUUCUUAAUUCUCUUGUACUUUAAUUUUGUUUUUGUUUUUUGUUGAUUAGUUUCUUUUGCAAAGUACACUAGGCCUACCCAGCACAAGGAUUCAAUAGGCUACCUAACGAAUGGCUAAAUAAAAGCUCCUUAUCACCAGUGACCUACUCUAGUCAUUAGAGAGACAUGCUCUAUUUGGGGGUCUUCCAUCGGAGGAUCCACACGAUCAUCUACAAAACUUUGCACACAUAUGUAGGGAGGUGAUGGGAACAUAAUCCAUCUAUGGAUGUUGUGCAACUUCAAGUCUUCCCAAUAACUCUCAUAGAAAAUGUUGUAACUUGGUGGACAAAACUCCCAUAUGAUGUGUUCACCAACUGGUUGGAGGUUCAAAGAGCUUUCCUAGCAUAGUUCCAUGUUAGAUCAAGUAGGUUUAAACUAAGGGAUCAAAUCAUUAGUUUUCGGCAAUUCCCAGGUGAUUCCUUCACUUCAGCAUGGGAGUAAUUCAAAAGAUGCUUCAAAGAUGCCCCAGAUCGUGGCAUUUCAAAUGCAAUACUAAUGGUAAGCUUCUAUUGAUCAUUGAGCCUAGAACAUCAAGCUCAUCCAGAUGCUCUAAUGGGAGGAGAUUACAUAGUAUUUCUACGAUCACUAUUUGCAGAGGUGGUUGAAUGAAUGGAUAAGUUGGAGGUGGUUCAUAGCAUAUAUAGACCUAUACAGGAGCAAGCAACUAGUCGCAUAAAAGUCUCUAAUGACAACUCUGAGCAAGUAAAUGAUGGGGGAAGCUGGUUUAAGUUACCAAAUCAACAUUCCCAAGGAAAUGGGAGAUCUACAGUUGAAGACAUACUUUCCCAGUUUGUGAGAAGGGCAGAUGAACAUGACGAACUGUUGAGAGAGAUCAAAUAUGAUGCCAUCAAUAUAAAUUACAAAGUUGAUCGGCAUGCGGGAGUAUUGUAAAAUUGAACAACUAAUUUGGGCGGUUGUCACAGCAACUAGAGCAGAUUUAGCGGAGCAUGUUGAGAAAAGAAAAGCCUUGUGAAUGAGGGUCAUCAAAUCUUGAGGAAUUAUGAGUAAAGAUGAAUAAGUCAUGUCACGAUAUUAAAUCAGGCACUACUUGGGAGGCAAGUCAAGAGGUUUUAAUGUUUUUGUUUGAUUGUGACUUUAUGGGUGAUUUGGGAACUUUUAGGUAGCAUUUUGAGCUUGUUGAUUUUUAUUUUUAGAUAUUGAAUUGGUUGUAUGUUGGUAUGAUGGUGUACUUUGAGAAAAAUUUGCAGGUUUUGAACAAAGUGGGAAAAUUAUGGAAAAUGGCAGUUGAAGCAGCCCCUACGACCAAGCCUACGAGCUGUAGUGAACACUAUGACCCAUAGUCCUGCCUCGUAAAAGUUAGCAGUGAUCACUUGAAGUUGGCACUUACACUAUGAGUCAACUUUAUGACUCGUAGUCCAAGCUACAAGUUAUAAAUGGGGUUCAUAUGCUCAGGUAUGAUUUUAAAAUUUUUCUAAAUGUUAAGUGAACUACGAGACCAAACCCUACGGGCCGUAGUCAGAGCUACGACCCGUAGUCGGGGUUCAGCAGACCCAACAAGUAAAUUUUUAAAGUAAUCCGGUAACUUAUAUUAGGGGUCAAAAUCAUUUUUUACCCUAAAUCUUCAACCCUAAUCACCUAGUUUACCCCUAAUUUUUUUUCCAAAAAUUUCCUGAUGAGUUUUCCAGCAACCUAACCCAAUUUUCGAUAAGUUUUUCGGCCGCUAGUUUUUUUGGGCUCCCUUCUUCUCGUUUUGCUCAUCUUAGUUCAUCAUUUCAUACAGUAUGUAUCUCGGUUUAUUUUACCUCUCAAAAUUUACUUUGCUUUGAAUGUAGUGGAUGAAUAUGGGGACCGAAAUGUAUACUAAGGUAUAGUAUUUGUAGGUUUGAUGCAAAUUGAGAUUGAGCUAGGGUUUUGAUCAUAAUGAGUAGUGUUUACCCAUAGUUGAAGGAUUUGCUCUUAUUGUUAUAAUUGGAUAAUGAUGAUAUAUUGGUUGUUAUUGAUCGAUUAUUUAGUUUUGGUUUGUAAUUAUGUGUUAAUUUACAAAACCAUUGUGGCAUGAUAAUGGGUUGGCUAGGGUGAUGUUAUUAAAAAUUUUAGGUUGAUGAAUUCUUGAUGUUUUGGUGAAUCAAUUCCCUAAAUCUUUAUGUAUGUGUUUGAAUGAUAGUUUUAUGUGAUGAGAGGAAUGAUUAUAUGAGUUUAUUCUUGAAUAAGCUUAAGGCAAAUGGGCUUGAAUGUGUGUUGAUUGAUAAAUGCAUGUUGUUGGGUAGCUUUUUACUGUGGCACUAUGAUUUAGGGUUCAGGUUGUUUUGUGCUUGAUUUGUGAAUAAAUUACUCUUGCUUCGAUGCUAUUAGGGUUAGUUUAGUACUGUUCAUAAGGUAUGUAUGGUGUGAUAAUGGUAUCUCAGGUACCUGAUGCUUCAGGCUAUGGGGGCCUUCUACGACUCAUAGGGGACUCUACGGGUCAUAGUUGCCUCUUGUAAGGAGCAACAGUGACGUAAGAUUCCUAAAGAGUCACCAUACGAGACCCACAUAUGGAUCGUAGCUUUCUCUAUGAAUUGUAGUGGGGUCUCGUGGGCUUAGGCUUGUGUUAAUUUUAUAUACUGAAACCUUGUAGGAGACCUAUCUACAACCCAUAGUCAAGGCUACGAGUUGUACCUAUGUCUCUACUUAGUUUUAGUUUCUAAAAUUAUUAUGCACCAUUAUGUUACGAGGCCACAGUGCAACUCGUAGUCCCAACUAUGAGUCAUACCAGGGUUUCGUAUCUGCCAUCUUCAAUUGGAUCAUGUACAUUUUUCUUUUAUUUUUCUUGUAUUUUGCUUUUAUUUUGUUAAGCGUUUGGGGCUGAUCAUUGUUUGUUUGUGCUCAUUUUCAGGUAGUAUAGUCCCCAAGAGUAAACAUGUAGCAAAUAAGGCUAUUAAGACGAUGCUUGUGGAUGAAAAUUUGAGUGACAAACAUUCAGGUGGAUCUAAUGAGGCCCACAACGUCCGUAUUGACCCAGAGGCACAGGUGCCUCAAACUAGGGCAGCUGCUGCACAAGCUACUCAGACGUAAGUAUAGGAAGUUGGUACCUCCCAGUCUCAUAAGGAGGGACAUGGAAUGGGUCUAAUAGGAGCAUGCCAUAAAUGACUCCCUCACACACGAAGUCUGAUUCAGAGGAGGCACCCCAGGAGAGAGGAGAUGUUGAGUCCUUGAUUGCCCCAUCUAUUUCUCCUACGGAUCCUCAGUAUCAUCGAUGGGGUGUAGAGGGGAUGAAGAUGAUAUACGACAAGGGGUUAGAGCCAAAGAGGCAAGGAAAACCAGUAUGGUCAUUUUAUGAGGAGCCUCGACUUAUUAACAUAGGACUGAUCCAUGUCCCUGGACACAAGGAUGACAUGACAUGACAUGGGCUCAGGUGGUUGAGUGAUAAGCUAGGCAAUACUCCUCACUCAUAGUGCAAGAAUUUUAUGUAGCUUAUGCAGCGAUAAUUCUUCAGGGUCUUCCCAAGGGGAAGAAACCUCUCGAGCAGCCCAGAUUACGAGAGGUAUUGGUUAGAGGUCGGUGGGUCGACAUAUCAAAGAAGAAAAUCCGCUACAUACAGUUUGGUCCCAAAUACCUAGCAUCGCCUUAUACAAUUGAGUUCGAUCGACGGAUUAGGCAAAUUAGACAAUUUGUUAUUCCAAGAGCAUGGACUAGAGGAUUAAGCUUUUGAGAUGGUUUGCUAGUCAGAUCAGUGAACGUGGCCCAGAGCCUACAUGGGUCAUGAUGUAUUCAAAGCCGAUAGUAAAGUCCUCCCUCUCCUUCCCUGCCAAGUUUUGGUGGGCUACUGUCAGGUCUUAUAUUAGACCCACUUUCAUGGUUAAUGUUCUUACGUUGAAGCGAGUUAUUCUGGUAGGCAGCAACUUAGCUGGCUACAACAUUGAUGAGGCAUGAUUCAUAGCAGAGUAAAUACAUGAGUCGGUGCUCAAGAGGAACACGUGCAUGCCAUUCUCGGUGCUGAUCUAUAGACUAUGCAUGGAGUCGAAGGUGGAGGUAUCGCUUCCCAUAAACCCUAUGGUCGUGGCCCUCUACACUAUUGAUCCCAGCCUAAUAAAGGCUUAUGAGAACCCUAUGGUACUUUAGCGGGCAUAACUUCCCAUGCCCGAGACAUUCAUGUUAGAGCCAGAAAUCAGGGGUUCGAUCGCUUCUACCACUACUACUCCAGCUGCUACUACUACUGAUGAAGGACCACAGUAGCCUACGACAAUGCGCCUGCACCAAAGCUGUUUACAUUGCAGAUUCCUUUUGUAGAGAUCCCUAUUGUGUCUGUUAUUACUUUUCAGGCUAUGGUACGGAGAUUAUCACAGACUGAGGUUCAAUUGUCUUAGCUUAUGCAGCAAAUCAAGCUAUGGGUCUGGCAGACCAUUAAGGCAUCGGAGGAAUGACGUAAGGCAUUCACCAUUUCUAUUGUUGAUCAGCACAUUGCUAUAGUAGAUGCCCGCAUUGAUUCUUUCGAGGAGAGGGUGCAAAAGAGACUAGCCGAGGCCUAGCUAGUAGACCUGUCAGCCUUUAGUGAGGGGUUGAUGAAGUUUAAGGCUAACUUGAUUACAUCGUUAGCCGCCCUAAUUAUAGUUCCUGAGCCUACACCGGUAGAUGUGCUGCUAUCUAAUAUAUUUUUGGAGGAUCUACCACCUCAUGCUCUUGGGAAGAGACCUAUUGAGGCUGAUAAUGAUGAGGAGCGAUCGAUGCCCCAGAAGACCUCUGAGGGUGAUAAGGAGCUAGAUAAGGAUGUGGUUGGGUUUGUCUUGAGUACGUCAAGAGAAGAAGAAGACUAAAGAUGAGCCUAGAAGCUUGAUCGACUAAGAGGCAUUGGCUCAUCCAGCCCGGCUGUAGCACACACUACCCCGCGGGAGGGAGAUGAUCAGAGGCAGCAGAAGACCGGUGCUUAGGCAACAUGAGAUGUUUUUUUGUUACCCCCUGUUCUUAUUUUGUUUUGUUCUGUACAUUGAGGAUAAAGUACACUAUUUUUGGUGGGGUGUGGGUAACUAUUGACUAGGGUAAAUUCUGAGUAGCUUUUAGUCCAUAGCUAUCUAAAUUUUUGAUCCCAAGGUUUACUUUCCUAUGUUCUUUUGCCUCAUGGAUAUUUUAUUUUCUGUUGAAUUAGCAUGUUUAGGAGUUGUAGAUAAUAUUUGUAGUAUAUCGUAGUUAAACUUUUGGCAUGUAUAUUGUUUUGUUAUUUAUGAAAUAGUUUGAAAAUUUAGUACCCAUGAAAGUUUUUGUUGAUUAGUAAUUAUUUUGCAAUCAUACAUGUUUGAAUGGUUUGGCAAUGUUUGUUCUGAUUAAGUAAAGGCAAGUUGAUUGUUAAAGUAUGAUCUGUGAAUCUUUGUUGGCUAUGUAUACAAUAUCACAUGUGUGUGAGCUAAUUUUAUUGUAUUCAUACAGUGUAUACUGAUUUAGAACUUCUCCUAUUACUUUGAGUCGGACUGGAGAUUAUAGGGAUUAGGAAGUGAUCUUAGGUCGUUGUUCUUGGCUUACUCCACUUUUGCCUAAAUGACCAACCAAAUAAAAGAGUUUAUCUCUUGUUCCAAAUGUUUGAGCCUUACAUGUACCUUUUUCUUUCUUAAUACUCAAUCUAGCCUAACCUUAUCUAGUGAAAUGCCUUGAUAUUGACUUUGGCCUAUCCUUGAACAUUGUGAACCUUGAUUGAGGCAAAACUCUUAAGUUAAGGGUGCUACCAAAAGUGGCCCUGGUUUAGGGAUUGGAUAUUGUGUACUUCACUCAGGCUAAAAGCCUCAGUUGAGGGUGGCUUAUGUUGUGGUAUAAUAGCAAAAUUGAGGUGGUGAGUUGGGAAUAAAAAAAAGAGUAGAAAGUUAUGUACCUGGUAAGAGAAAAAGAUGUUUUAGAAUGAGUUAAAAAAGCAAAAUGAGUUUGAAAAGAAGACAAACUGAAAAAUGAAGAGAAAAUACCCAGAAAAGCUUGAAAAUGAAGAAAAAAGGAGAAUAAGUUGUGAAUGAUUGAGUUGGUAAGGUGAAAAUAUUGAAAAGCAUGGUUCAAGGUUGACCCUUAGUCACUAAUCGUCCAAAAUGUCAUACCAAAGCCCCAUGAGCCUGCGUUAAAAGCCUAUAAAGUCCAAAAGUGAUCUUAAUCCAGUUAGUCAACAGUCCAGGUUACAAAUAUAUGGUAAAGCCUAUGGUAUUGGUCACCAUGCAUGAACUUCACUUAUGAAAGUGAGUAUAUUUGCACAACCCAUGAGCAAUUUUUGAAAGCAUAUUGAGUAUUAAAAAGGGACUUUUUUUCGGUGAGGGCAUUUGCAUUGCAUGGUUAGCAUUUGACUUGUUCAAUGAAUGUGAAUUAUUGAUGCUCCUUAACUUGUCAUAGUUGAAUUGUCAAAUGUAUCAAUAUGUUAUGGUUUGCCUAUUAGCUACAUGAUCAAGUUUUGAAAAAGUUGUUAUGGGUAUCUGAGUUGAAUUUGAGUAUGGUAUAUGUCGUUAAGUUAAUUGAUAUAUAUUGCUUUAUUAUCUAUCUAGAUUGAGUCGUCGCUUGAGGACAAGCAAAAAUUCUAAGUUGAGGGUGUUGAUGUACUGUCAAAAUACAGCACAUCUGAUGCCUAAAACAUGGGAUUUUGUAUGUCCUCAAUAUGACUUUUUAUGGUUUUUAUGUGUUUUUGUGUUUAUUUUUGUAGAAAAUAUAGGUUGGCUUGAUUUUGAAGAAAAUUGCAGAUUUUGUUGAUUUUCAAGACCCAUGGACUCCACUACGAGUCGUAGCCCAAGCUACGAGUCAUAAAGGCUGUCUCGUAUCAAUUCAUAAUAUUAAAAAAUAAAGUCUGAAAAUUUAAAGUUUAGCCAUACAAGCUCAAGGUAUGACUCAUAGUCCCUUCUACGACUCAUAACGGAAGGUCCCAUAGCAAUUAACAGUGUUGAUCAAUAUUGGAUCAAGAUAUGCAAGAGCGGACUACGAGAAGGAAGUACGAAUAGUAGACCAGACUACAACUCGUAGAGGUGUAUCGUAUCAGUGAAUUUCAAAAUAUCAAGUGCUGACAACAAAAGCCCGACUAUGACUCGCAGGACACCCUAUGAGUCGUAACUACGAGCCAUAGCAGAUGCUGACCAAAUUUUUUAAUUAUUUUAAGGACCUUUUUAUAAAUAUUAUAACUAGUAUAUUUUAGGGUUUUAGGGGCAACUUUUAUUCAUUAUUCACAUUAUACAUAGAUUUUAGAGAGCUUUAGAGUAGAAUUUUAGGGUUUGUCUUGGAGAAUCAAAAGUGGAGAUUAAAUUCACUUGUGGGUUAACUUUAUUAUUCAAACUUGUUAUUCUAAUUGCAAAGUGGGUUUCAUUAUUCUUCAAUCUUCUCGGGUGAGAAAUCUACCAUGUUUUCUUUAUUUAUUGUUGGUUUGUUUGCCCAAGCCAUGAGUGUCUAAACCCAUAACUUGGGGUUGUGGGAACCAUGAGUAGUAAAUCUGAAUUAUUUACACUUCUUGAGUUGGUUCUUACCUGUAUUAUCCAUUUUCCUUCAUUUUGCUUGUUGUUUGAUAGUGGCCAACAUUAAACCUCGCCUAGUGUCAUGAUCCCGAUCAAGGUAGUGAUGAAUAGGAAAAAGAAAUGGGUGACAGAAUUUGAUUGAUGUGUUCUCAUCUAAAAAUCAAACCCGGCCAAGGAGAGGUUGACUGGGACAAUAGGUAACGGUUAGUUUGGCACACUAUGGUAGUCGGCCAAGCACCAUAGGGAAAUAUUUUUCCAAGGGUUGGAAAAACCUAUGUUAUCGUCCUGCAUGCAGUGUCCUAAUUUAGGUUGUGUUAUUUGGGGUGUUUAAGUUAGUCAAUCAUGGGGAAUACAAUUUCCCAAGUUGCUCUCCAAUUUGAUUGUCUCUCCAUUUUAGUAGUUUAGUUUAAUUUUCCAUCGACUAUUGCAAAAUUUGAAUUGAUUGCUGGUGAAUCAAAGAGACAAAUCCCCUUAUUCCCUUGGGAUUCGACCCUAACAUCAAUUAGAUUUUUUACUAAUGAUGGUAGUUUUAUCCUCAAAGUGAGAGGUACUAUUUGAGCUACAUCAGGAUCAAAUAACCGUCCACCGAAAUUUAGCGGGGAAAAAAAGUAAAGCCUUCACAAUAGGAUCCGUAUGUGUGGUGACCCAAGCAGGCUCUGGACCCUGCUUUGAAUUGUGGUCGGACACCCAUCUUAACAACUCUGUCCUCCAAAUCCUUUGAAAUCAAUGUGGUUCUAUCCUGCUCCAAUCUAUAGUCAAACUCAGUUGUCAAUAUUGGGGCUCAGCACUCGAGACCAAAAAAUACACGACGGAUCGUCUCCUCUAAAAUAUCGACCCACCACCCUCUCACUCGCACCUUUGCCAAUCUCGGUUAUAUAAGAGGUCACUUCCCCUUGGGAAGAUCUUGAAGAAUCAUGGUUAUAUACACUUUAUAAAACUCCCAUACAUGAAUUAGGGCAUAUUGUCUAAGCCUCUCCGUCAACCACGUAAGACCAUAUCGUGUCAUCGUGUCCUUCAGACCUAGGACAUGACUCAAUCUUUUAUAAAUAUUUCAGGGCUCCUCAUAUAUUCAACGGGUGGGUUCGCCCCACUCUUUGGGUUACAUGCCUGUAAUGAUCGGAUAUUGUGUGACUUCAUCGAAACUUGAGGAUUUUAUUUUUGGACAAAAUUUGAACCAAGUUUCAUCUCAAGGGAGACUACACGGCCCGUGUGAGGUCAUACGGACUAUGUGGCCUCCAUUAGUAUGACACUUAGCCUUAAUUUUUGGGAGUGUGGCCUUGGUGUGGAAUUUUUAGCUAAGGCACGAUGCACUUGGACCCCACACAGGCCACUGACACUUCCUGGAUUGUGUGGAGGGCCGUGUGAAUGGCCUUAAACUUGAAAUGACUAUUUUUGGCCUAAGUAUAGUCACACGACCAGUCACACGGCUCGUGCGACUUGAUACUGGCCAUAUGACCCUCUGUAGAGUUGAUUUCGUAAAAUUUUUUUCUAAGUAUAGGAUAUUCAAGCUCAAGUUAGGUUCACCUUCAAGACUUCAAUUCAAGCUCAUUUAUGUUGUUUAAGGCCAUCAUGGGUCUCCUACAUUAAGUCAAGUUCAAAGGCAUUCCAUUGGUUAAAUUUUUCAUAAGUACCGAUAGAAGGGUCAACUUCAAAUGGACAUAUCUCUUAGCACAAAAUGAACUGGGUGGCCCACGACUUACCAAAUUAACUCUCUUUGAAUUUUCUUUCAAACGCACUUGGUCUAAACUCAUUUUGAGUUCAGCGCAAGACAUCAUGACCUUUUUUGUGAAAUUUAUCUGUGCUAGAUGGGAGGCUUCACGACCUGUGAAGCUAGAUGUUGCAGGUAAAAUUUAUAGGGGUGUUUUAUUGAGGUAUUUUUGAUAUUUUAACUCAUCCCCAAGGCUUUUUAAGACCUUUAAACUACCCCUUUAUAUUCCUAAACCUCUCCUACACUAAUACCAAAACCCUCAUUCACGACUAAUUCACUCAAGCCACUCUAGAAUCUAUUCCAAGGAACUCUUAAAUAUUUUCAACUUGGGAGCAAAAGGACUCAAUUCUCGUCAAAUUCUUUUGGGUAUCUGCAGAGGUACAUGGGUUUUUAUCCUUGACUCCUUCCAAUUAAGGAGACCCAAGUUAUUUUCAAGAAAUCUACAUAAAUUAGCUCAUUUUAAAAUUUGAGGUUUUAAAUAUUAUGAUUCCUUAAAUUCCAAUAAUGAAUGGGUUAUGUUUCUCUAUUGAUUUUAAGAUGAUCUAAGCUUCGAAAUAUUGGAUUUCAUCAUUUUUAUGAACCUAUGAAUAUGCAUGGUCCCUUUAAGGCUUUGAUCUAAGCAGUGGUGAUUUAUAUUAUAGUUUUAAAUGUGGAUUUGGUUAUGGUUUUACUUUAAUUCUAUAUUAUAUUAUUGAUUUUAGAUUGAAUCUUAAUCACUCAUGCCUUCUUCACAUCAUUUAUGGCAUUUGCAUUCAUGACAUUGGAUUAUUUUGGAAAUUAUGAAGUGGGUUAAGCCCAAUUAUGUUCUAUGAUAUGAUUUCGAUAAGAUAUUGGUCAUGACAAGAAUGUGAUCACAUACAUAUCUAUGAUUAUGGCUCUUGCAGCAUUUUGGGUAUAUGAAUGAGUUAUUCCUAUGCAUGAGUAUUAUGACUAUGAGCUAUGAUUUGGUAUUUGAGCGCAAUUAUGAAAGUAUGAGAAAUACAUUUGGUUUUUUAACCUAAAGGUACAUUCAAAUGAUUUGAAAUGACUAUUGAAUCUUCUCUUCGGAAGCAUGUAUAUGCAUAUUAUAAGUAUUCUUGUGGGAUGACGACUUAGCAUCAAUGGAUUCAGGGAAUGCUCUCUUUUCUUGAACUAUAUGCCUAGCAUAUGUUCCUUUCCGAAAUGGGGAUGCCCGUAAGGAAAGUUGCCUCCAAAAUGGGAAUGCCCAUAAGGAGAAGAAAUGAUAUGAUAUGAUAUGAUGUAUUAUAUGUGAAAUCCUGUCCAAAAUAGGGAUGCUCAUAAGGAAGGCUACUUCAUACGAAAUGGGGAUGCCCGUAAGGUGAAGUAUAGUUUACCUUUGGCAAGUAGACCAUCUCUUUAUCUAUGAGGGAAUUUCAUCGAGAUUCCAAGUAAUGGCUCGCUUGGUCUUACUUAUUUCGGUUGAGGUCACAUCCCCACUAUAUAUGAGCAUCAUUUGCAUUUCAUGCAUCAUGAAUUUCAUAGCAUCUUUUUAUACUACUUUCCUCAUUAUAUAUAUCUCUUACUAUAUUAUGUGCCCUUGUUAUCUAACAUCGUAUGCAGGUUCUGGUACGUUACAUGCAUUGCACCCCACAUACUUAGUACAUUCAAAUGUACUAAUGCAUACUUUUGUCUACAUGAUCUCACUAUGUAGGGAUCGAGGACUACGAUCAUCUAUCGUAUGACUUUAGCUUGGAUCUCAAGUUUUGGCUUGUUGUGGUGAGUCCUAUCUUCCAAGGAUAAGCACUAUUCCUCUAUCUUAUGUAGCUUUUUCUUAUGUUAUCUUCACUUGAGGGUGAGCCCAGGACAUCUCUUGAUCCUCAUCCCAUCUUAUGAUUAGAGGCAUUGUUGGACAUCUUGUAGACUCUUGUCGGAUCUAUGUGUUAUGUAUCGUAUUUGGAGCUUAUGAUUAUGGAUAUCUUUUGGAUAUGGAUGUUAUGGAUUUGGUAGAAGGAUUAUGAUAUUUAUGUAUGUUUAAUGUGGAAAUGUGGAAGAUCCUAAGUCCCAAACUACCACCAUAGAGUGAGUCAUACUUAAUCGCCCCUUAGUCUUUACGUGUUACGUGUUAUGUGAUUCCAUAUGAAUCCCUUUCUCUAUUAUAUCCCCAUAGCGUGACCCCUUAGAACUAUGUGUUUACUUUUGAAUGUACUUCUGAGCUGAUGAUGUGAAUUUGGGUACUUUGAGGAUUGUUUGGGGACUCUCGGAUUCCUAUUCGCCAUGUCACUCCUAGACACUAGGUCAGGGUCAUGAUAGAGAUGGUAUCAGAGAACUAGGUUUAUAAAUGAUUCUCAAAGUCCAAUAUGUCACGUUAAGUAGAGUCCUCAUCAUGGGUAAGAAGCGCGCCACAUCAAUGGGUAGGAGGCUACAGUGCGUUUUAGCAAAUGUUUCACUUUUUCAUGAUUCUUAUCAUGCAAUGGAACAUGUCUUAGGAUUUCCUAUCUCUAUCCCUCCGUAUCAAAUAGGGAGAGUUACUUUGCUCUCAUAAUGCAAUCCAGACAAAGGAGGAUAUUGUAGCCGAUCAUAUAAAUAAGGGCAAAAAGGAGUUGGUAAAAGAUGUGCAUUGUUUGACAAGCUUGGUCCUUUGGGUAUUCAAAAGUUUUCUUGGGUUGGCUAAUUACGAUGGAAGGUUUGUGGAAGGUUUCUUAUCUAUUGCAUCUAUAUUGACUAUGUUGAAUUAAAAGGGGGUAAAGUUUGCAUGGCCGGAUGGGUAUAAGAAUAUUUUCUAGGCAUUGAAAAUUCGAUUUAUAUCGGUUCCUAUUUUGACUUCACCAGAUGGGUUAGAUGGGUUGGUGGUGUAUAGUGAUGCUUCUCGAAUUGUUGGGUUGUGUAUGUAUGCAACAUGGUAAGGUGAUAUCUUAUGUGUCAAGGUAAUUGAAGGUGCAUAAGAGUAAUUACCCAACUCAUGAUCUUGGGUUAGCGGCGGUUAUGUUGAUCUUGAACAUUUGAAGACACUGUUUGUGAAGGGUGCAUGUUGAUAUUUUCACUGACCACAAGAGUUUGCAAUAUGUGUUCACUCAAAUGGACCUUAACUAGAGGCAAAGGAGAAGGUUGGAACUCCUAAAGGGUUAUGACAUAGGUGUAUGACCUCAUCCCGACAAGGUAAACAUUAUAGUUGACACUCUUAAUGGGCUAUCUAUGGGAAGUGUGGCUCAUGUUACCAAAGAUAAAGGAGAGUUGGCGAAGUAUGUUUACCAUUGGUCUAAAUUAGGUGUUAGGUUGGCUAACUCCAAUGAUUGUGGUAUCCAUGUUUGGAAUGGGGUCAAAUCUUUAUAGAUGUGGAUGUUAACAGAAGGUAAGGUUUAGACCCACUGUUGGUUGAGUUGAAGAAUUUGGUUGCAGAAAAGAAGAUAUAGGUUUUCUCCCAAGGGGGAGAUAGUGUAAUUUGGUACCAAGAUCGAUUGUGUGUUUCAAAUGUCAAUGGUCUUAGAGAGGUAAUCAUGAUUGAGGCCCAUAACUCUCAUUAUUUAAUUCACCCAAGAUCUACAAAGAGGUACUAUUUUUCUAUUGGUCGCAUGGUUUAAAGAAGGAUAUAGCCAAGUUUGUAUCUGAAUGCCCUAAUUAUCGACAAGCGAAGGUAGAACACCAAAUAGCCGGUGGUUUGACUCAAGAUAUUAAAAUUUCUACUUGGAGGUAAGCACAGGUGGACAUGGAUUUUAUGGUUGGUUUGCCUCGAACCCUAAAGCAAUUUGAUUCAAUUUAGGGUAUUGUUGACCGGAUGACUAAGUCUGCUCAUUUCUUAUCGGUUGAGACUACUCUCAAUGUUGAAAACAAAUGCUAAGUUAUGUAAUUUGGAGUUGGUUGACUGGAUAGUAUGCCUAUUUUUAUUAUGUUGGAUAGCGGUACCUGACUUCUCACUUUUGGAAAUCAUCUCAAAGAGGGCCUUGGCACUAAGGUGAAAUUAAGUGUCGCUUUNUCAUGCAAUGGAACAUGUCUUAGGAUUUCCUAUCUCUAUCCCUCCGUAUCAAAUAGGGAGAGUUACUUUGCUCUCAUAAUGCAAUCCAGACAAAGGAGGAUAUUGUAGCCGAUCAUAUAAAUAAGGGCAAAAAGGAGUUGGUAAAAGAUGUGCAUUGUUUGACAAGCUUGGUCCUUUGGGUAUUCAAAAGUUUUCUUGGGUUGGCUAAUUACGAUGGAAGGUUUGUGGAAGGUUUCUUAUCUAUUGCAUCUAUAUUGACUAUGUUGAAUUAAAAGGGGGUAAAGUUUGCAUGGCCGGAUGGGUAUAAGAAUAUUUUCUAGGCAUUGAAAAUUCGAUUUAUAUCGGUUCCUAUUUUGACUUCACCAGAUGGGUUAGAUGGGUUGGUGGUGUAUAGUGAUGCUUCUCGAAUUGUUGGGUUGUGUAUGUAUGCAACAUGGUAAGGUGAUAUCUUAUGUGUCAAGGUAAUUGAAGGUGCAUAAGAGUAAUUACCCAACUCAUGAUCUUGGGUUAGCGGCGGUUAUGUUGAUCUUGAACAUUUGAAGACACUGUUUGUGAAGGGUGCAUGUUGAUAUUUUCACUGACCACAAGAGUUUGCAAUAUGUGUUCACUCAAAUGGACCUUAACUAGAGGCAAAGGAGAAGGUUGGAACUCCUAAAGGGUUAUGACAUAGGUGUAUGACCUCAUCCCGACAAGGUAAACAUUAUAGUUGACACUCUUAAUGGGCUAUCUAUGGGAAGUGUGGCUCAUGUUACCAAAGAUAAAGGAGAGUUGGCGAAGUAUGUUUACCAUUGGUCUAAAUUAGGUGUUAGGUUGGCUAACUCCAAUGAUUGUGGUAUCCAUGUUUGGAAUGGGGUCAAAUCUUUAUAGAUGUGGAUGUUAACAGAAGGUAAGGUUUAGACCCACUGUUGGUUGAGUUGAAGAAUUUGGUUGCAGAAAAGAAGAUAUAGGUUUUCUCCCAAGGGGGAGAUAGUGUAAUUUGGUACCAAGAUCGAUUGUGUGUUUCAAAUGUCAAUGGUCUUAGAGAGGUAAUCAUGAUUGAGGCCCAUAACUCUCAUUAUUUAAUUCACCCAAGAUCUACAAAGAGGUACUAUUUUUCUAUUGGUCGCAUGGUUUAAAGAAGGAUAUAGCCAAGUUUGUAUCUGAAUGCCCUAAUUAUCGACAAGCGAAGGUAGAACACCAAAUAGCCGGUGGUUUGACUCAAGAUAUUAAAAUUUCUACUUGGAGGUAAGCACAGGUGGACAUGGAUUUUAUGGUUGGUUUGCCUCGAACCCUAAAGCAAUUUGAUUCAAUUUAGGGUAUUGUUGACCGGAUGACUAAGUCUGCUCAUUUCUUAUCGGUUGAGACUACUCUCAAUGUUGAAAACAAAUGCUAAGUUAUGUAAUUUGGAGUUGGUUGACUGGAUAGUAUGCCUAUUUUUAUUAUGUUGGAUAGCGGUACCUGACUUCUCACUUUUGGAAAUCAUCUCAAAGAGGGCCUUGGCACUAAGGUGAAAUUAAGUGUCGCUUUUCAUCCUCAAUCCGUUGAUCAAGCCGAGAGCACAAUUCAAACUUUGGAGGAUAUACCAAGGGUGUAGGUCUUUGGUGGGAUGGGCUUUGUGUGGUAGAAGGUGUAGGUCUUUGGUGAGAUGGUUUGAGUUAGAUGAGAUGACUUCUGUAGGCUCGAAUUUAGUGUUGGAAGCUAUCGAAGAGUGGGAUUAGUUAGGGAAAAGUUGAAGAUGGUUCAAAGUCAUCAAAAGGUUAUUUCAAGGUUAGAAAGAGAGACCAUGAGUCUCAUAUUGGGGAUUCGGUGUAUGUGAAGGUCUCACCUAGAAAGGGUGUGAUACGUUUGGAAAGGAGGGCAAGUUAAGUUCUCGGUACGUAUGCCCUUAUAAGAGUGUUGAGCAGUUUGGGAAUAUGGCCUAUAGAUUGGAUUUACACCCGGGAUUGUGUUCUAUUCAUUCGGUUUUCUAUGUGUCUAAGUUGAGGAAGUUAGUUGGCGAUACUAGUGCUAUUGUGCUUUUGAAAGGUGUGAAAGUUGAGGAGGACUUGACUUAUGAGGAAGUUUUGGUUGAGAUGUUGGAUGGGAGAGAGGAGAGGUUUCGCAACAAGGGUUAACAUAUUAAGAGUGCUACGUGGGAAGUGGAAUCAAUUAUGAUGUGACGCUACCUCUAUCCUUUCCACUCUACUCAAGCCUAUGGUAUUAGGUUCUUCCUAUUCUCAAUGGUCCUAAUUCAUUCACUCUUAUGUCUCAUGAUAUGACAUGCAUAUAUGUGUAUGAAAAUGAUCUAUUUUGUGAUGUUUUAAAUGAUUUGAAUACGUUUUGAUAUGAGUUUUAAUGACUAGAAGAUUUUCAAAUGAUGAAAGAUGCAUUAUACCUUGUGUUUGGAAGUUUCAUGUUCUAAGCCAAGCCUUUUGAUGUAAUAACCCAGAUAUUGUACGACUUCAUUAAAACUUGAGGAUUUCAUUUUGGGAAAAAAUUUGGACCAAGUUUUGUCUCAAGGGAGACUACAGGGCCCAUGUGAGGUCAUGCGGACCGUGUGGCCUCCAGUGGUAUGAUACUUGGCCUUAAUAUUUGGGAGUAUAGCCUUGGUAUGGAGUUUCGAGCUAAGGCACAUCACACUUGGACCCCACACGAGUCGUGUGACACUUCACAGUGUGAAGGGCCGUGUGAAUGGCCUUAAACUUGAAAUGACUAUUUUUGGCCUAACUGUAGCCACACGGCCAGUCACACGGCUCGUACGACUUGAUAAGGGUCGUAUGGCCCUCCGUGGGGUUGAUUUAUAAUAUUUUUCUAAGUAUGGAAUCUUCAAGCUCAAGCUAGGUUCACCUUCAAUACUUCAAUUCAGGCUCAUUUAUGUUGUUUAAUGUCACAUGGGUCUCCGACAUCAGGUCAAGUUCAAAGGCAUUCCAUUGGCUAAGCUUUUCAUAAGUACCGAACGAAAGGUCAACUUUAAAUGGGCAUAUCUCAUUGCACAAAAUGAAAUGGCCAGCCUACCACCAAUCAAAUUAAACCUCUUUGAAUUAGCUUUCCAACGCACUUGGUCUCACCUCAUUUUGAGUUCGGAGCAAGAAAUUAUGACCUUUUUCGUAAAAUAUGCCUAGGCUAGACGGGGACUUCAUGACCCAUCAAGCUAGGCGUGCGAUGUUGCGGGUAAAAUUUAAAGAGGUGUUUUAUUGAGGUACUUUUGAUAUUUUGACUCAUCCUCAAGGCUUUUUAAAACCUUUAAACCCCCUUUUAUAUUCCUAAAUCUCUCCUACACUAACUCUAAAACCCUCAUUCAUGACUAAUUCACUUAAGUCACUCUAGAAUCUAUUCCAAGAAACUCUCGAAGAUUUUCAACUUGAGAGCAAGAGCACUCAAUUCUUCAUCAAAUUCUUUUGGGUUUCUUUACCUUGGUAGAGGUAUGUGGGUUUUGAUCCUUUACUCCUUCCAAUCAAGGAGACCCAAAUUAUUUUCAAAAAAUCAACAUGAAUUAGCUCACUUUAAAAUUUAGGGUUUAAAAUAUUAUGAUUCCUUAAAUUCUAAUAAUGAAUGGGUUAUGUUUAUCUAUUGAUUUUAAGAUGAUCUAAGCUUUGAAAUAUUAGAUUUUUCAUCAUUUUUAUGAACCUAUGAAUAUGUAUGGUCCCUUUAAGGCUUUGAUCUAAGCAUCAGUGAUUUAUAUUAUAGUUUUAAAUGUGGAUUUGGUUAUGGUUUUACUUUAAUUCCAUAUUAUAUUAUUGAUUUUAGAUUGAAUCUUAAUCACACAUGCCUUUUUCACAUCAUUCAUAGCUUUUGCAUUCACGACAUUGGAUUAUCAUGGAAAUUAUGAAGUAGGUUAAGCCCAAUUAUGUUCUAUGAUAUGAUUUUGAUAAGAUAAUUGUUAUGACAAGAAUGUGAUCACAUACAUGUCUAUGAUUAUGGCUCUUGCAGCAUUUUGGGUGCUUGCACCAUUUUGUAUAUAUGAAUGAGUUAUUCCUAUGCAUGAGUAUUAUGACUAUGAGCUAUGAUUUGUCAUUUGAGCCCAAUUAUGAAAGUAUGAGAAAUAUGUUUGGUUUUUGAACCUAAAGGUGCAUUGAAAUGAUUUGAAAUGACUAUUGAAUCUCCUUUUUGAAAGCAUGUAUAUGUAUAUUAUAAGUAUUCUUGUGGGAUGAUGACUUAACACAGUUGGAUUGCGGGAAUGCUCUCUUUCCUUGAACUAAGUGCCUAGCAUAGGUUCCUUCCGAAAUGGGGAUGCCCGUACGGAAAGUUGCCUCCAAAAUGGGGAUGCCCGUAAGGAGAAGAAAUGAUAUGAUAUGACAUGUUAUAUGUGAAAUCCUAUUUGAAAUAGGGAUGCCUAUAAGGAAGGUUACUUCAUACAAAAUGGGGAUGCCCAUAAGGUGAAGUAUAGUUUACCUUUGGCAAAUAGACAACCUCUUUAUCUAUGAGGAAAUUUCAUCGGAAUUCUAAGUAAUGGCUCACUUGGUCUUACUUAUGUAGGUUGAGGUCACAUCCCCACUAUAUAUGAGCAUCAUUUGUAUUUCAUGCAUCAUGAAUUUCAUAACAUCUUGUUAUACUACCUUACUUGUAAUAUAUAUCUCUUUCUAUAUUAUAUGCCCUUGUUAUCUAACAUCGUAGGAAGGUUUUGGUAAGUUACAUGCAUUGCACCCCUCAUACUUAGUACAUUCAAAUGUACUAACAUAUACUCUUGCCUACUUGAUCUCACCAUGUAGGGAUGGAGGACUACAAUCAUCCAUCGUAUUACUUUAGCUUGAAUCUCAAGUUUUGGCUUGUUGUGGUGAGUUCUAUCUUCCAAGGACAAGUCACCAUUCCCCUAGCUUAUGUAGCUUUUGCUUAUGUUAUCUUUACAUGAGGGCAAGCCUGGGACAAGUCUUGGCCCCCGUCCCAUCUUAUGACUAGAGGCAUUGUUGGACAUCUUGUAGACUCUUAUCGGAUCUAUGUGUUAUGUGUUGCAUUUGGAGCUUACCGUUGUGGAUAUCUUUUGGAUAUGGCUAUUAUGGAUUUGUUAGAAGGAUUAUGAUAUUUAUGUAUGUUUGAUGUGGAAAUGUGGAAGAUCCUAAGUUCCCAAUUGCCCCCAUAGAGUGAGUCAUACUUACCCGCCCCUUAGUCUCUACGUGCUACAUGUUACAUGAAUCCAUGUUAAUCUCUUUCCCUAUGAUAUCCCCAUAGCAUGAGUCCUAUUUUCCCGCCUCUUAGAACUAUGUGUUUACUUUUGAAUAUGCUUUUGAACCGAUGGUAUGAAUUUGGAUACUUUGAGGCUUGUUUGGGGACUCUCGAAUUUCCAUUCGUCAUUUCACUCCUAGACCCCAGGUCCGGAUCGUGACACUGCCUUCCAAAAAUAUUGCUUAUCCCCUCGAUGCACCACUAAUGAGCACUAGCAUCUCAUGCUGAAGAUGAAGAUAGUGUGACCGAGGAUUCGGCAUCUCUUUUAUCCUGGGAGCCCUUCUCUGAACUCUGCUCCUCUCUGGACUUAGUCAUCUGGAGCAUGCUACUCCCCGUCCUCUCACUACCUUCGCCAUCAUACUGGGAAGGACUAUAUGCUGAGCCUGAGGCUGCCUAGCUCUAGCUACAGCUCUCGUCUGUGGUCGAGGUGCUACUGGGUCAGGCUGGGUAUCAUACAUCUCCACUAACCCACUUGGCUGAGGUGAUUGUUCAUCAUUAGUAGGCUCGUCCCUGAGUUACUUCCUGAAAGUCUCAAUCUCUGGACGUUUGCCUCUCAGGGCCAUAGUAUCUAAAAAUUUAAGCAUGAACAACUAAUAAUUAGCCCCAACAAUCAAGAAAUUGAAAACAAAAAGUGAAUUGGAUCAGUUACAGAAGGGCAUUAUGAGAGCCAGUUACGAGUCUAGUAAGAACUACGAGCCAUAAAAUGGUCCCGUAAACUAGAGGUGCAAAAAAAUAUUGAACACUGGAAAACUGUACGAGACCCAGGUAUGACUCGUAACUUGGUUUACGAGUCGUAAACUGGUUUCGUAGACAUUUUCAGGGAGUAACUUCCAAAAAUACACAAGGGUCCAUGAGACCUAUUUACAACUUGUAAAGUGAUCUACAACUCGUAAAAGGUCCUGUUUAAUGGGAAAUUACAAUUCUUAGAGUCAUCUAUGAGUAGUAAAAGACUCUCGUGCACAAGAACUUUCAAGUACCUGACCUAUCCAAAUUCAUCACACGCACCCCAAAAACAUUUCAAUCCUAAAUCUACCAGCAUCGAAGCAAGCAUACAAGCACUCACGUUUCAAGCACAUAACAACUUGUACCCCCAAACAUGAUUUCAACGCAUAUUCAUCCCAUCGAAAAAUAAAAACAUGGAAGAACAUAGGUUUCCAACAAUACCCUUUAUGAUUAACACUAAAGCAUGCUUCAAUGAUAUCAAAUACAAUUUCACAAUCAUAAACUAUGCAAUCUCACUCAUUCAAAAAAUGAUAGAUGAUUUCAUGGGCACACAAUUAACAAUCACAAGUCUAUGAUACUUAAUUUCGGGCAUAAGCAAUCAAUUUAAUCAAAACCACCGCUAAUUUUGCAUUCCCAAUUCAUAUUCAUUAAGAAAUUCAAGCUUAAAACUCAAACCCAUCACCAUCAUUACAUCACACAAUGAAGAACAAUGAAAAUUUCAAGAUUAAAACUGAACCAAGAAACUUACCAAAGGUGAUGAUGAAUUUUGAGAAGAAAGAGAAAGUGAAUGAUGCAAAACCCUAGGAGUAGCCAGAAUUUCUUGCCGAAAAUUGGUCACAACCAUCGGAGAAUUGAUCGAAAAUAAUAGAAGAGAAGAAAUUUGGGGAAAUUUUUUUAUAAAUUAGGGUAAAAGUGGGUUCAAAAAAUUGCACCCCCUUUUAUACCUUACAGGGUCUAUGACUCAUAAGUCCUGGUCUCGUGGACCUCUCAACACUUAGAAAAAUCAAAAAACAUACCUGGAUUCCACGAAUCUCAUUUAUGACUCGUAGAUGGAUCUACGAGUCAUAAAGUUGGCCCGUGGGUGGAGUGAACACUUAUCCUACUUACUGUAAUUCUCUAGAGGCAGGAUUACAAGUCGUAAAGUGCAAUACGACUUGUAAGCCCGGUCGUAGAGAUUGCACCAGAUUCAAUUCUCAGCAAAAUUUGUUGACUUAGUUUUGAACCUGUUUACUCUUCAUAAAAUGCACUUGCACCCUAUAUGCAACAAAAUCAAUGUUAAAAAUAACAAUCAAAACACACUAAAACAACUACAUAAGAAUCCAAAAAUUUUUUUUAAAAAAACUCAAAAUCAAGCUAUAACAUCAAUAAUCCUUGGGUAGCCUCCCAAGUAGCAUUGUCGCGGCAUGACUUAGACAUCUUGAGUACUUAGACUUCCUCAAUUGCCUAAACCUCGCUUUUCAACUCAUCAAGAUGCCUCAUAGACUGACGAAUAUCAAAAAUCACUUCUUUAUUAUUCAUCUUAAUCUAAGUUGAUUGGAGUCCAUAUCUACUAGAGAUCACCCCAUGACCGAAAAAGGUCUCCCCAAGAUAAUAAAGACUUCAAAAUCAACCUCACAAUCAAGAAUCACGAAAUUCGCAGGGAAUAUGAAUUUGUCUACUUUUACUAACAUAUUAUAAAGUAUUCCUUCUGAUUUUUGACCGUUCUAUCUACCAUUAACAAUUGCAUUUUAGUUAGAGUAGGGGAACCAAACCAAGAUUUUUGAAAACCACAAAAGGAGUCCAAUUGAUACAAGCACCCAAAUCACAAAGUGCUCUUGCAAACUUCAUACCUCAUAGAGUAUAUAGUAUAGUGAAAGCACCUGGGUCUUCACGCUUUUGAGCCAAUGACUUAGUAGUGAUAGAACUACAAUGUUGAAGUUCUUUAGAAAGUUCUUGACUCACAGUCCGCUUUUUAGUAACCAAGUCUUCUAUAUAUUUUGCACAACCCAGCAUUUUCUCUAAAGCUUCAAUCAAAUGGGUGUUUAUGGAUAGUUUCUUAACCAUCGAGAGAAAGUGUUUGAACUUGUCUUCCUCUUCUCUCUUCUUGAGUCUUUGUGGGAAAAGAGGAAGAGGCCUUAGGACGAUGUUAUACUUCUUUGCAUCUUUAAUUGCUUCACCUACCCCGUCUUUGACACAAUCUUCUCCUUCAACACCAUCCUUAUCUGCAACUCCCUUCUCACAAACAUCUUCUACCUCUAUCAGCAUAGGAGGAUCGAUGAUACUCUUGCUACCUCUAGUCAUAAUUGUCAUACUCUUGUGUCCAUUUUAGCUAUGAGAAUACUCUUUUUUAUCCACAAAUAUUAUAAAUACCAUAUGGUCCUCCUAUAAAGUCAUUUUAGUAGGUUUAACAAUUGUUUCUCUCAACUUUACCAGUGUCACAAGAUAUGGAGAUAUCAACAAAGGCAAUAUGUCUUGUAGUACAUCAAUGCCAAAAGUUAUUUUCCUUAUAGGUGAUAAUCAUGGAAAAUCCAAAGAAAACAUAUCAAAUAAAUCCUUUCACUAGUUGUACUUUGCAAAACAAAGUAUCUAAUCGCUUAUGUCCUGUACCAUUAAUAAGAGACUCAAACAAAUUUUUUUCUAACUAGUCAUCGUUAUAAGAGAUGUAACCUUACUCAUCCUUGUAAAUCUUCCCCUUUUUUAAAAAAAAUGGGUUCAUAAGGUAUCUUGACAACUAUCUUCAUUGAUAAUUAAGGGAAUUGUGGAAAAAGUUAACUCAUUUGUAUAUCAUCAUAUCAAAUUUGAUUAUAUCAAGUGAAAUCAAAUAAUUUUCGAUAUCUAAUUAUUUUUUAUAUCCCUUCUCUUUAUUCAAACAAAUAACAUUUUUUAACACAUGUUUAACUAGCAGAGACUCAUUUGUAGAACUAGCAUAAGAACAGGAUACUUUCAUAGUUAGUUGUCCAUGAACUCUAACAUUAACUUGUAUUAACUUUAUGAUGGAAUAUUUCCUAGCUUUGACCUCCUUGUAUGAAUCCUUGGUUGCAUGCCAACCACAUCCUUUUCUUUUUUAAAGAUCUUUGACAAGUUCUUUUUUUUCACAAAAUAAGUCAAAGUCUUUGUAUAUGGAGUAUUAAUUUGUUUAAACAGUUUUGCAAACUUGUAACUUGAGGUGUUGUGUGUAUAGCCAACUGAUAAACUUUUAGAAUCAUAUAUUGAUACAUUUGUCAUUUAAAUCAAUUUCAUAAACUUCUCAAUAAACUUGUUUCUCCAAGUGAAAUACCAUUGCUCGUAUCGACCUUGUUGAUAGCACGAUAUUAUACAUUAUGAGGUUAUGUCAUCUAGUCUAUAUGCCAUUGCAUCUAUGGACCUUUCAUUGGAACAUCCAAUAGCUCCGAAAGAAAUAUCUUUUAAAAUAAUAUAUUCCACCUUCUAAUCUUUACCAAAAAGAGAAGAUCUUUUUUUUCUCAAGGAUUCUUUAGUAGUUCAAGCCUAUGAGCCUUAGAGGUUUUCAUCUUUAGAAACUCUGUAGUAUACAUCUUUUCCAGGAAAAUCAGAAUCCUUGUAAGUGCCCGAAGAUGGUCUUCGAACCUAUGUUGUUGCCCAGCUUAAUUCAUCUUGUUUUUGUGGUUUCAUCCCUACGACUUCUCAAGGAUACACUUUCGCCUUAUAAUCUAACUUCAUACAGGUGCUCUGGCUAGUCUUAGGACCUACAAUGUUGUUUGAUUUUUAUUUCACUUAUCCAUCAGGUUAGCUAUGCCUUUUACGUAGAGGUAAAAUCUUACCGAUAACACUUUUGUCUCUUGUACUAGUGGUUGUUUUACAUGUUUUCUCUUGAGUGAAAAUCCUUUAUAGUGGGAUAACGAGUCCUCUCAUGGCCCUACCUAUUACUUGUCAAUUUCCAUAGUUGAAAAAAUGCUUAUAUGCCAAAGGCGACAUUUUAUGUCAAUUGAACCUCUGGCUUAUUCCUGCUAUAUCACAUCCUCGAGAUAUGCUAAUAAGAUAAACAAGCUAGAUUGAGCAAAUAGAAUCCUAAUCGUCACAUACGUAUGGAGGAGUAGAAAAGAAAGAAAUGACAUAUCCUAUCACGUUCUCGCAGAAUCACGAUUAUAAAAAUGGCCAACUACAUAACUAUAAUUUGAGGUGUUGUGUGUAUAGCCAACUGAUAAACUUUUAGAAUCAUAUAUUGAUACAUUUGUCAUUUAAAUCAAUUUCAUAAACUUCUCAAUAAACUUGUUUCUCCAAGUGAAAUACCAUUGCUCGUAUCGACCUUGUUGAUAGCACGAUAUUAUACAUUAUGAGGUUAUGUCAUCUAGUCUAUAUGCCAUUGCAUCUAUGGACCUUUCAUUGGAACAUCCAAUAGCUCCGAAAGAAAUAUCUUUUAAAAUAAUAUAUUCCACCUUCUAAUCUUUACCAAAAAGAGAAGAUCUUUUUUUUCUCAAGGAUUCUUUAGUAGUUCAAGCCUAUGAGCCUUAGAGGUUUUCAUCUUUAGAAACUCUGUAGUAUACAUCUUUUCCAGGAAAAUCAGAAUCCUUGUAAGUGCCCGAAGAUGGUCUUCGAACCUAUGUUGUUGCCCAGCUUAAUUCAUCUUGUUUUUGUGGUUUCAUCCCUACGACUUCUCAAGGAUACACUUUCGCCUUAUAAUCUAACUUCAUACAGGUGCUCUGGCUAGUCUUAGGACCUACAAUGUUGUUUGAUUUUUAUUUCACUUAUCCAUCAGGUUAGCUAUGCCUUUUACGUAGAGGUAAAAUCUUACCGAUAACACUUUUGUCUCUUGUACUAGUGGUUGUUUUACAUGUUUUCUCUUGAGUGAAAAUCCUUUAUAGUGGGAUAACGAGUCCUCUCAUGGCCCUACCUAUUACUUGUCAAUUUCCAUAGUUGAAAAAAUGCUUAUAUGCCAAAGGCGACAUUUUAUGUCAAUUGAACCUCUGGCUUAUUCCUGCUAUAUCACAUCCUCGAGAUAUGCUAAUAAGAUAAACAAGCUAGAUUGAGCAAAUAGAAUCCUAAUCGUCACAUACGUAUGGAGGAGUAGAAAAGAAAGAAAUGACAUAUCCUAUCACGUUCUCGCAGAAUCACGAUUAUAAAAAUGGCCAACUACAUAACUAUAAUUUGAGGUGUUGUGUGUAUAGCCAACUGAUAAACUUUUAGAAUCAUAUAUUGAUACAUUUGUCAUUUAAAUCAAUUUCAUAAACUUCUCAAUAAACUUGUUUCUCCAAGUGAAAUACCAUUGCUCGUAUCGACCUUGUUGAUAGCACGAUAUUAUACAUUAUGAGGUUAUGUCAUCUAGUCUAUAUGCCAUUGCAUCUAUGGACCUUUCAUUGGAACAUCCAAUAGCUCCGAAAGAAAUAUCUUUUAAAAUAAUAUAUUCCACCUUCUAAUCUUUACCAAAAAGAGAAGAUCUUUUUUUUCUCAAGGAUUCUUUAGUAGUUCAAGCCUAUGAGCCUUAGAGGUUUUCAUCUUUAGAAACUCUGUAGUAUACAUCUUUUCCAGGAAAAUCAGAAUCCUUGUAAGUGCCCGAAGAUGGUCUUCGAACCUAUGUUGUUGCCCAGCUUAAUUCAUCUUGUUUUUGUGGUUUCAUCCCUACGACUUCUCAAGGAUACACUUUCGCCUUAUAAUCUAACUUCAUACAGGUGCUCUGGCUAGUCUUAGGACCUACAAUGUUGUUUGAUUUUUAUUUCACUUAUCCAUCAGGUUAGCUAUGCCUUUUACGUAGAGGUAAAAUCUUACCGAUAACACUUUUGUCUCUUGUACUAGUGGUUGUUUUACAUGUUUUCUCUUGAGUGAAAAUCCUUUAUAGUGGGAUAACGAGUCCUCUCAUGGCCCUACCUAUUACUUGUCAAUUUCCAUAGUUGAAAAAAUGCUUAUAUGCCAAAGGCGACAUUUUAUGUCAAUUGAACCUCUGGCUUAUUCCUGCUAUAUCACAUCCUCGAGAUAUGCUAAUAAGAUAAACAAGCUAGAUUGAGCAAAUAGAAUCCUAAUCGUCACAUACGUAUGGAGGAGUAGAAAAGAAAGAAAUGACAUAUCCUAUCACGUUCUCGCAGAAUCACGAUUAUAAAAAUGGCCAACUACAUAACUAUAAUUUGAGGUGUUGUGUGUAUAGCCAACUGAUAAACUUUUAGAAUCAUAUAUUGAUACAUUUGUCAUUUAAAUCAAUUUCAUAAACUUCUCAAUAAACUUGUUUCUCCAAGUGAAAUACCAUUGCUCGUAUCGACCUUGUUGAUAGCACGAUAUUAUACAUUAUGAGGUUAUGUCAUCUAGUCUAUAUGCCAUUGCAUCUAUGGACCUUUCAUUGGAACAUCCAAUAGCUCCGAAAGAAAUAUCUUUUAAAAUAAUAUAUUCCACCUUCUAAUCUUUACCAAAAAGAGAAGAUCUUUUUUUUCUCAAGGAUUCUUUAGUAGUUCAAGCCUAUGAGCCUUAGAGGUUUUCAUCUUUAGAAACUCUGUAGUAUACAUCUUUUCCAGGAAAAUCAGAAUCCUUGUAAGUGCCCGAAGAUGGUCUUCGAACCUAUGUUGUUGCCCAGCUUAAUUCAUCUUGUUUUUGUGGUUUCAUCCCUACGACUUCUCAAGGAUACACUUUCGCCUUAUAAUCUAACUUCAUACAGGUGCUCUGGCUAGUCUUAGGACCUACAAUGUUGUUUGAUUUUUAUUUCACUUAUCCAUCAGGUUAGCUAUGCCUUUUACGUAGAGGUAAAAUCUUACCGAUAACACUUUUGUCUCUUGUACUAGUGGUUGUUUUACAUGUUUUCUCUUGAGUGAAAAUCCUUUAUAGUGGGAUAACGAGUCCUCUCAUGGCCCUACCUAUUACUUGUCAAUUUCCAUAGUUGAAAAAAUGCUUAUAUGCCAAAGGCGACAUUUUAUGUCAAUUGAACCUCUGGCUUAUUCCUGCUAUAUCACAUCCUCGAGAUAUGCUAAUAAGAUAAACAAGCUAGAUUGAGCAAAUAGAAUCCUAAUCGUCACAUACGUAUGGAGGAGUAGAAAAGAAAGAAAUGACAUAUCCUAUCACGUUCUCGCAGAAUCACGAUUAUAAAAAUGGCCAACUACAUAACUAUAAUUUGAGGUGUUGUGUGUAUAGCCAACUGAUAAACUUUUAGAAUCAUAUAUUGAUACAUUUGUCAUUUAAAUCAAUUUCAUAAACUUCUCAAUAAACUUGUUUCUCCAAGUGAAAUACCAUUGCUCGUAUCGACCUUGUUGAUAGCACGAUAUUAUACAUUAUGAGGUUAUGUCAUCUAGUCUAUAUGCCAUUGCAUCUAUGGACCUUUCAUUGGAACAUCCAAUAGCUCCGAAAGAAAUAUCUUUUAAAAUAAUAUAUUCCACCUUCUAAUCUUUACCAAAAAGAGAAGAUCUUUUUUUUCUCAAGGAUUCUUUAGUAGUUCAAGCCUAUGAGCCUUAGAGGUUUUCAUCUUUAGAAACUCUGUAGUAUACAUCUUUUCCAGGAAAAUCAGAAUCCUUGUAAGUGCCCGAAGAUGGUCUUCGAACCUAUGUUGUUGCCCAGCUUAAUUCAUCUUGUUUUUGUGGUUUCAUCCCUACGACUUCUCAAGGAUACACUUUCGCCUUAUAAUCUAACUUCAUACAGGUGCUCUGGCUAGUCUUAGGACCUACAAUGUUGUUUGAUUUUUAUUUCACUUAUCCAUCAGGUUAGCUAUGCCUUUUACGUAGAGGUAAAAUCUUACCGAUAACACUUUUGUCUCUUGUACUAGUGGUUGUUUUACAUGUUUUCUCUUGAGUGAAAAUCCUUUAUAGUGGGAUAACGAGUCCUCUCAUGGCCCUACCUAUUACUUGUCAAUUGCCAUAGUUGAAAAAAUGCUUAUAUGCCAAAGGCGACAUUUUAUGUCAAUUGAACCUCUGGCUUAUUCCUGCUAUAUCACAUCCUUGAGAUAUGCUAAUAAGAUAAACAAGCUAGAUUGAGCAAAUAGAAUCCUAAUCGUCACAUAUGUAUGGAGGAGUAGAAAAGAAAGAAAUGACAUAUCCUAUCACGUUCUCGCAGAAUCACGAUUAUAAAAAUGGCCAACUACAUAACUAUAAUUGAGAUUCUACAACUAACGUGUGCUCCAUAGUCAUAGAAAUAACCUAGGCUCUGAUAACAACUUUGUCAUGACCCAAUUUAGGAUCAUGAUUGGAACUAAGGGAAAGAAUCCAAAAGCAAGCGUUACUUAGAAUUCUGUAGAAAAUCAGGCACCUUUGUUUUUAGGCCUAUCCAAAAUUUUAACCUGUCUUAGAAAAUCAACAACACAACUCCAAAAUAUUCAAAUCAAGAUACCAAAUAAAAUUUUAGUCUACUCUCCAAGCAAUAAUACUAACUCAUAUCUAACAAUAGGGAGAAAUUCAAAAUCCAUCACACAUUUAAGAUGACAAAAAGAGUAUUCAUGGCUCUAACAAAAUAAAUGACUAUAAAGCGACUCUAAGAAUUCCAAAAAAAGGUCCAUAGCAAUGAAUAACUCGUUUUCCAUGCGAACAAGUGUGGGCCUCACCAUGGAAUCAACUUGCUACCUUUAGUUAACUAAAUCCUCGCCAAUAUCACCUGUAUUUUCUGGAAAGAGGAAAAAAAUAACAAGAAAUGAGAUGCUAGCUCAGUGAGUAAUAAUAAUAGCCACAACCGUUUUAGUAGGGAAAAAGUCAGAAAAUAUGCUAGUAGGAUAAUCAAAAUCAUGUAACAAACGCUCUUUCAAAAAUUAAUAGCCAUAAUCAAUCUUGUUGUUUCAUAUAAGCAAAUCAACAUCAUUUGUAAAUAAACUCAGUAAAACACUUUUAAAUCAAACUCGGUAAAACACUUUCAUUUCAAACUCAGUAAAAUGUCUUCAUAUCAAACUCAGUGAAAAACUUUCAUAUUAAAUCAUAUACAUAUUCGGGAGGUUUCCAAGAAUGAAUCAUGUAAUCGGUAACCGGUAAUCAGUAUGCCUAUCUUCUUAAAAGAAUAUAUGAUAAAUGUAAAUCUCAUAUGAAUAAAUCCCUACUCGAGGAAUAGUGGUAAUGGUAUGCUACUUCUACCUUCCCACUAGCGAGGGCUCAAUCUGUAAUCAUUAUAUACAAGAUAUACCAGGUCUAACGAACCGGCCGUUAGCUACGAGAUUCAUCAAGGUCUACUUCCAUUAAAACUUUUUUUUAUAAACCAUAUAAGCUUUUUCAAAGCAGUACAAGGCAUGUAAAUCUUGUAAACAUAUCAUGUCAACUUAAUGAAAACACAUGUAAAAGUAUUUAUAUCUCAAGUAAAUGUCAAAUCCUUUAAAUAAUAGUAAUCAUCUCAUCUAUCAAUAUACUUGUCUUGUAAAAUACGAAUAACUAUUUGGGUAUCAAAUCAAGUAAAAGAACUUGUCCUAUAUGCAAAUUCAAAUCAUUCGAUAAAAAUUCACUAUAUAAAUCAUGUAAAAAUCAUGAAACUUGUAAACCACAAAUUAGGGUUAAGAUUACUAUUCACAUUACUCGUGUUGGAUUAUCAACUCGUCACUCAAUAAUUAAGAACGACUUCCUUCGAUCAAUCUAUAAUCAUAUACAUAUCGAAAUUGAGUUAAUUUUCUUAAUAAAGCUAGUGCAAGGUAAGUCCAGAAUACCUACUUCUCUGAAUAUCCUAUGUGAACCUUGUUUUUGCUAAAGUAUAUUAACCUGUCUUAAGAGUCAAUUAACUCCUCGUAAUGUACUGACUUCUUCUGGUUACUUUGGUUAAUAGUCUACACCUUAUAGUCCUACUAAUAGUUUUUGGUAGAUUUUCAACACCCAAUGUAUAUUAUCUAGACUAAGAAUUAAUCAUGGAAAAACUACUAAGGAUCCUGAAAAAGUUGCUAAGGAUCAAGGUAAAGCUGUAGAGGAAGAAAAUAUUUACCUCCAAUUCAAUAAAAUCUCCGAUGGACCUUUUUCUCCUUCAGUGUAUUAUCACCCUUGCUUCCGCUUCUUCUCUUUAUUCUCUAUCGUGACCUAUUUAAAUUUGCUCUCUUUCUAUGUUUUUUUUGUUGCAGCGUGUUGUUGCUGGAGGUGUUUUGGGGCUUCUAGCCCUAAAUUUUUUUAAAAAAAACUUGCUUUUCUUUAUUAUUUUUUUUAAACAAAAAGAAAAACAAAGAGGUAAAGACCUAAUUGCCCUUAGUUAAUUUAUAGGAUAUUACACUUUAAAUCCCUAUCAUCAACAUCAACAUUCCUACUCAAAACUUCACUAACCAUGAUAUUGGCAUUUGCUUAAGCCAUUCUUCUUGUAAUUAAUUGGAUCUCUAAAUCAAUUAGAGUUAAGGGAUUAUCUUAACUCCUUGUGUUGCGCAUACAAUACCUAGUAUACCCUGCAAAGAAACAAAACAAAACAAAAACAAAAAUAAAGGUAAAAUAUAAGGGAACUAAGAAAUCAAUACUUGAAUUAUACUACUAGUGAAUUCAAUCAAAGUCUAGCUGUAUUCCCCGGCAACGGCGCCAUAAUCUUUGAUCAUGCCCAAGUUACACCUCUCUUUUGGAGAAUAAAAUGGUCGGUGUCAAAUAUAAAAUCUAACCAAGGUUAGGAUUGAAUCCCACAGAGAAUAUGUAGACUUUCCAAAUCGAUUCACUAAUAAACAAUUCAAGCAUUAACUAACUCAAUUCCCCAAAAAGGGGGUUACAAUGCUUGAUAAGAAAUUAAACUAAAUUAACUAAAACAAGAGACAAUCAAUGAUGGGGAACAACUUGAGAAAUUGUGUUUCCCAUGAUUCACCAACUUAAUAUCCCCGGAUAACCCAAUUCUUGACUAGAGUAUAGUAUGUAGGAUGGUAAUUUAAGUUCACCAAGCCCUUUGAUCAAAGGUGAGAGGCGAAUUUCACUAUGUGACUUAGCCCAUUUCCAUAGUUUAUAAUACUAAACAUUACCUAUAGUCCCAGUCAACCUCUCGUUGGUCUAAUUCGGUUAAUUAGACAAGAACACAUCAUUGAAUCCUGUUAACCAAUCUCUUUUCCUAUUCAUUACCAUUUAGAUCGGGAAGGUAACAGUAGGCAAGUUUUAAUGUUGGCCAUAACUAGAAAAUAUGCAAUAUGAAGAGAAUUGAUUAAUACAUAUAAAUACUCAUUCCAAGAAUUGAAAAUUAUCUGGGUUUAUUUGAAUAGAUCUUCAUAGUUCCCACAACCCAAGUUAUGGGUUUAGCUACUCAUGCUAUGGGUAGAUAAAGAAAUUAUGAAUUGAGAAAACAUAAUUAAUCUCUUACCCAAAUAGAUUGAAGAACAAGCAAACCCAAUAUGUAUUUUUGAGAAUCACAAGGUUGAAAGAUACAAUGAAUCAACAAGUGUGUUAUCCUCUCCAAUAUUUAGUCUCUAAGUAUAAAAUUCUAAAAAUAUCUCUAAUGAUGUUCUCUACUCUUUUCUGUUGUACUCCUUACUAAAAAUAACCUAAUUAUACUAUUUAUAGUAUUUACAAAAAAGUCCCAAAAAAUUAGAAAAACUGGUCUACGCACCCUACGACGCACAGUUACGACUCGUAACUGGGUUUACGAGUUGUAAUCAGGGUCUCGUGUCCAGCUUCUUGAAUCUUAGACUUCACUAUUGCGGAUCUACUUUACGAGUCGUAGUCUGAUCUACAACUCGUAUCGCCUUCUCGUAGACUUCACCAUCAUCAUCUGGUCCUUCUCUAGAAAUUUUCACGAAACUCCUCUGUACGACUCGUAAAGUGAUAUACGACUCAUAUAGGGGUCUCUAUAGCUGAAUUUCAAAUUUUUAUUCAUCAUUAAAAAUCCCUACGAAACUCACUUUAUGAUUCGUAGAUGGCUCUAUUGUUACGCCCAAAUCCCAUCAAGGCGGACUGGCACCCAUUGCCGAUAAGGCCCGGGAGAACCAACCUGUAUCUAUGCACUUUCUAUAUGCAUUAUAAGGAAUUCUACCUUCAGUAUGCCUUUAAGAAAGAAAAUAGUACUAACAAGCCAAAAGAAAAAGCAUAUGACUAGGCCGUUGGGGUCACGUUGUCCAAAGUAUAAAAUAUGAUCACACUUUAAUUUACAUAGUCUACAAAGCCUCUAAAUAAUGACAAGUAUCUGAUAAGGGUCGGGACAGGCCCCGCCUCGACUAACUGUACAAUAUAAAAUAUAAGCUCUAGACAUGCAAAGCCCCGAAGCAACCUGGAGCUUGGUAACCAUAGUUGGAUAUCCUGUACUCUUACUAGGGAGAUCUACUAGCACCUGUACCUGCAGCAUGAAAUGCAGGUCCCCCGUAAGGGACGUCAGUACGAGAUANGGGCCACGCUGUCCAAAGUACAAAAUAUGACCACACUUUAAUUUACAUAGUCUACAAAGCCUCUAAAUAAUGACAAGUAUCUGAUAAGGGUCGGGACAGGCCCCGCCUCGACUAACUGUACAAUAUAAAAUAUAAGCUCUAGACAUGCAAAGCCCCGAAGCAACCUGGAGCUUGGUAACCAUAGUUGGAUAUCCUGUACUCUUACUAGGGAGAUCUACUAGCACCUGUACCUGCAGCAUGAAAUGCAGGUCCCCCGUAAGGGACGUCAGUACGAGAUAAUGUACUGAAUAUGUAAGGCAGGAAACACUGUAUAUGAAAUAACAACUCAAAUGAAACUAUGCACUGAUGUAUGGUAAGAGACCACCUUUGAUUAUACUGUAGGAUCAUGUACUUUACAUUCUUUAUAUCACUUUACCUUUACUAUAAAUCUAUAAAAUCUAUGCACAGCAUAUACUAUAAAAAACCCAGCUGAUCAGGGGUAAACUGUAUCGGGUUCGUCCCUAUGCUAGGCUAGUGUUCUAGCCCCCUCGGGCUACCCCCCGUGAUAGGAUUGACCCUGGCUAGGUGACUCUCUCACCCCCUCGGGCUACCAUCUAUCUAUAAGCAAUAUACUUUAUCUUUUAAUUACCUUUGAGAUGAUCUUUAUGUGGUCACAUUAUUGGAGCUGUAGAACUGUAUAUGCAACAUGUGACAUCUAGGUAACUAUACAAGACACUAUGACAAUGAAAAGAGCAUGUUCCACAAUUAAUGGAGUGCGUAUGAGAUGUAACAACUUAUGGACUUUAUUUGGCAACAAUAACCCCCGUAAGUUGGUAUCCACAUAUGUAUGUAGCUAUGAAGGUGACUAUGUAGGAAAGCAUAUGAAUAUGUGAAAGAAUGGAGACACAAUUAAUAGUCAUAUCAGAGUUGGUAAGUGCCUUUAUGUGCCAAGAAAGACUCUAGAUUUCAUGCCAAGUAAUACGAAAGCAAAUAGCCUUACAUACAUCGCUGUAUGACCUCGCUAUCACCUCGAGAUAACCUUUCCUUCCUCAAAAUGUUCAACUACAACAUAUUAAGUAAUAAAGCUAGCAUUAGCAGCCAAUAGACACACCUUGGCAACCCAAUUUCACACAAAAACAACACACGGGCAGCAAGCGUGUAGUUAGCACUCAAGCGUAUUCUUCCAACGUUUUCGCCUUUAAUUGUAUUUUCAAAUGCACAUUAUCAUCUACACAUCAUGUACAACUUAUUUUAGUACCAUAACAGCCUCAUAACAGCCCCCAAAAUAGAACACAUAACAGUUUUACAUAAUAUGCAAAUGGAUAACAUAACGUCACAUUCUUUUGUUACCUUUCGACGUCGACAAUCCCAAACUUAUCCCAACUUUAACCAGCCUAUCCUCAAUACAUUUAUACAUAAUAACAGCCUUAAAACAGUCUCAUAAUAGUACCAAAUCAGUCAUGAAAGAUGUGAAGCAAUAGCCUUAUAUACAUCAGCCCACAAGUUCUAAUCAAGAACACAAUUGCGAUAUCACAUAAGAACUCAUCUUUGCGGACUGGACAAGCAGUGAAUCAGCCUUGACCAAACUAACUUUUGUUAAGGAAAUAAGUAUUACUUCAUAACACAACCAACCAAGAAGAGAUAAAUCCUUUUAAUUAACAAGGAAACAUACAACAACAAUCCCAACAUAUGCUGCCCAACAAUUUCAGCAUCAACAUAAUUGACAUAACCUCUUGUUUGUCAUGAGAGAACUAUGUUAAACACAUAUUUAAACUUACUUAUCUUGAACUUCAAGAUUAAGGUCUCCUUCAAGAACCUUAGAAGGUUAUUUUAGCUGCUCUUUGAAGUAAAGAAAGGAGAGAAAAAUAUUUCUUAGAAUGCUGAAAAUUGUCCCAAACGUGAGAAUGAAAUGUUUGCUCUUUUGACUCCUUUUAAAAGGCAACUUUGGCCGACUUACUCUUGGAUUUUUGACCAUAUAUUAGCAGCUAUUAGAGAGCUGGUGAUCUAGCAGCUUAUCACUUAAACUUGGGUCAAAAUGGGUCUGCAACUUGAUGGACUUGGGCUGCCUAUUUCCAACUUACUCUACACUUAAAGUUUGGCCCAAUUAGUUAAGUGAAUUAGAAUGUAAUUGGGCCUCUUUCCUUCUUCAUUUUGGGCUGUACAUACAGCCUACUUAUAGUACUAAAACAUGGGCCAAAGAUAUACCCUUAACUCGGACUUUAUUCAUAAUCGGAAUUGAACAAAUUCGACGUCGGGCCUUAUCUCCGUUUAACUAGCACGCUUAAGCUAAGCAAGUAGUUGACUCACCUGCUAGCUUCCUAAGUCCUACAAGCACCUCAAUUCUCUCACUUUAUUUAAGGUUGUAAUCUCCUAAAUUUAACAUAAAACAUGUCUACGCUCGACCCUCUCGAGCAUUAGAUACACAUAUGGCCCUUUAAUGCGAAAUUCAAACACUUUUAAAAGUUGGCAUUAAUUUAAAAGUCCAUAUCAUGUUUGAGGUGCAUAGUACUCAUACAUAUAAUGUGUGGGGUGUUACAUCUAUGACUCGUAGAAGGUCUCGUAAGCCUUAAAAAAUCAGAAAGGUCUGCAAUUUUCUCCAAAAGUCAUGCCAACCUGUUUUUCUACAAAAAUAAACACAAAAACAUAUAAAAAAAAAUCACAAAUGUCGCAUUGAGAACACACAAAAUCCUAAGUUUUAGGCAUCAAAUGUGCUGUAUUUUGACAGUGCAUCAGUAAUCAAUUCAAGCAUGCUUAUUUAUCGAAUAAGGAAGACAUCUUUUAGGUGCUAAAAAAUGCUAAUAUAACUUUCUCUAUAAUAUAUGUCAUUUAGCUCUUUAUAUAUCUAAUAAAUUUGAUUUCAAUUGGUAUUGCCUCACCAUUUGCCAUCAAACAAUAUAUAUUUAUUACAAGUAUAGUUAUAAUGUAACAAAUAAAUUGAUUAAAAAGAAAAAAAGAUAUAUAGAUGAAUCAUGUACAUGUAUACAUGGUUAAAUUCUAACUUCCAAUUAACAGAUUUCAUGUAAGAAGCUUCAUGUGAGCUCUAGAAAAUUAUUGCAUUCAAAAACAUAUACUAUUAUCGUAUAUAUAUAAGUUGAAAGAAAUUAUUUUGUCCAUAACAAAAAAAGCAAAGUAGAUACAAAAAGGGCUAGAUGAUUAUAAUCCUUUCACUGCUAUCACCUUCAACAUAUGGCUUGAUGAUUUUGGGAGGGGCCUCAUUGCCGCUAACAGCUCCAUCCUCAUCUUUUUUGAGGCAUAGUCCCAUAAGAAUGCACCGUAUCUUAUCUGAAGCAACUCUGCAUCGAAGUAACUAGAAUGUCAUUGCCUUCACUCAGGUACUCUACAUAUGCAAGCAAAUACAAACUAUAAUCCCUAUAUGAAAAAGAUGUAAGAAUCAUUACAAAUAGGGAAAAAAAACUUUGAAAAUUAUAUACUGAAAUAAAAAAGAGAAUGAGAGUCAAACUUACAUGCUACCAUAUCUCUGUUGCAAAAUCAUCCACAUAUAUCACAUCUAAAGGGAUGUCCUAAUCUUGUAUGUCAGCCAUAGUUUUUCCAUAAUACAUAGACACAUACGUGGACAGAAGUUGAGCAAGUUUGUGUAUUUUAUCCCUAACAAAUGCAUCGUGUCUAGCUGAUCUGUAUGCAUUAUAAGCAUCAAUGCAUCAUUCCGCAAAAAUCAAGACAGUAAGAACCCAAUGACUUUUUUUCUGCACCUUAACAGGUAUAAAAAUAUGAUCGCCCGUAUUUCAUGGAAUAACAAACAUCAACCUGUAACCUUUUAUGUAUUCACGAAUGGUAAUCUUUUCUUUUGCAAUGCAUUUUUUGCUUUCUAAAUUAGCAUACUCAGUAUAGAUUUGGGCAAUUUUUGUCUUAAAGAUAUAGUCAAUCAUAGUGUAUUUGUAUUUGCUAUUGAUGUUAUACUUGUUUUUCUUCCGCAAGUAAUAAAGUAUAACAUCGAUAUGUUGUUUAAAAAAUAUUAAUUAAUGAAUGAAUUAAUAUCAAAUAUUGUAUAUGUAAACUAGAAUAAACUAACUUCUUUUGGUGAAUGAGUACAUCCCAUUGUUCAAGAUUUACCCAUCGAAUAAAAGUGUAUAAAACCAAUUUUUAUUGGUGAUCAAGUGAAUACCAAGAUCCAUGGGGAUCCAACUUGAUGCUUUGUGCUUCUUAUAGUGAUCUUCACCAUGUGUCUUUGUAAAAAAAUACAUUACCCCUAUGAUUAAUACAAAAAUUACAAAUCGUGAAAAUCAUGCAAAGAAUACAGCGUACUCAUGUUCAUACCUGUUAAGAAGUCCUUCACGGAGUCAGAUUGCAAAGUCCUCAAAAAGAUUAUAAUUGUGUGGCCCUUGUAUGAAAUCACAGACAAAUGGAUGUUUCUUUUCAUAUAUACAGAUCACAUUUGAUGAACUACCCGAUAAAAUAAAAAGAAAACUAGCUCAAAUCUGUAUAAUUAAAAUUGACUCUAAUAUAAGUAGUUAAAGGAGAUAGAGUAAGGUGUUGUACUUACCGACUGAAGAUCCACAGUUUGUUGAGAAUGGAGAACUGUUCCACUGACCAGAUUGUCUGAUCUUUUGAAUUGGUAAUGGUGUAACAUCAAAAACAACAUCUCUGAUUGAGCCACACUUAUUCUUUCUGGAUUAAGGCUCGGUAAGAACUCAUCGAGCAACUUAAAUUGUGACUCUGGAUGUAUUGUGUUCGUCGCUUGAACAUUCAGAUCUUCUAUCUAGAUGGGACUGCCGAAUACACCAAGUUCAUCGUCUAUUAGGGCAAUUACAAGGUUCUUCGCAUCGUGCAAAAGCUUCAAUAUAUUCUCUUGGCUCAUGUUGAUCAAGAUGAUUGAUUUCAGCUUCAUUGGAAGCUAAGAUGAAUGGUAGUGGUACUUAAUAAAAACUAAAAAAGUAAGACACAUUAUUUUUUGUAUUUAAAAUCAUGGAAGAAUAAAUUAUAAAAAAGGUAACAGACCGUCUGCUUUUUAUUUUAAAAAAAAUAUGGGUAUUCACACAUACAUAUAGUUAUUUUGUUGAAAAAGAACUUUCUCAAUAACUAAUACCUACAAGCAAUGAUAAAUUAUACAUGUAUUAUCUCGAGCCUCUAAAUAUACUUGUUUAGUUAUAAUGACAGAUAAAUAUGCUUUAGCAUCACUUGUGGAAUGUAAAAUUUUCUCAAAAAAUAAUACCUAUAAAGCAGUGAUUUAGUGUAUGUGUGUUUUACCUCUAGACUCUAAAUAUACUUAUUUAAAUAUUACAAUAUAUACAUGUGCUUCGGGCGUCACUUGUGGAAUGUAACAUGUAAAACUUCUCAAAAUACAAUAUCUACAAGCAGUGAUAAAAUCUAUACAUAUAUAUCUAAUAAACAAUAAAAAGGUAAGGCUCACUCUUUUGUAUUUAAAUUUGUGAAAGAAUAAAUUAUAAAAAAGUUAAUACAUUUGUCCGUAUUUUUAUUUUGAAAAUGUGGGUAUACACACAUACAUAUAGUCAUCCUGUGAAAGAACGUUCUCAAUAGCUAAUACCUACAAAGCAGUGAUAUGAUUUAUACAUGUAUUACUUUGAGCUUAUUAAUAUACUUGUUUAGUUAUAACGACAGAUACAUGUGCUUCAGCAUCACUUGUGGAAUGUAAAAACUUUCUCAGAAAAAUACUACCAACAAAGCAGUGAUAUAGAAAUGCAUGUUUUACCUUGAGACUCUUAAUAUACUUAUUUAAUUAUUAUAAUAUAUACAUGUGUUUUGGACGUCACUUGUGAAAUAUAAAACUUUCUCAAAAAACAAUAACUACAAUCAAUGGCAAAAUCUAUACAUAUAUUACCUCGAGUCUCUUAAAUAUACUUGUUUAAUUAUUAUAAUAUAUGCAUGUGAUUUGGGGCAUCACUUGUUGAAUUUUACUAUGUAUAUGAAAAAAAUUGAUACAUUUAUUACCAUGUGUCUAUCAGCCUGUAUAUUAAUGGUUUGGUCCUGUACCUUUGGAUGUUGAUUGCUUUCAUUUUGGGAUCUCUCUUUCAAUGAAUUUGGUACAUGAGAUGUCAGCUUGUUGCCUGUGUCCUGUAUUUGUAUAUUAAAUAGUCAAGCAGACACUCUUGCAUAUGCGAAUUUGCUUAAAAACUAACUUGUUGUGAAAUACCUGAAAUGUCUCUUCAGUUGUUCGAUCAUAAUUUCAUCGGCAUUGUUGCUCGAUUAUUUCUCUGUCAACACAACUAAUAAUAUCUUGUCAGCCAUGUCAUUGUCGAUAGAUUCUUCAAGCUACUUUUGAAAAUUCUACGUUGAAACAUUGUUAUUUGCCUUGGUUGAUACAACAAGAGAUACAAGAGAAAUUUUUUCACUAGAAGAUUCACCAACAUUCUGUCUUCACUUCUUUUUUGGUGGUAACAAUGAUACAUCAACCUGUUUUUUCUCUCCUUUUUCCUUUAAUAUUUGUGUUGGAGGGACCAUAGUAAUAAUGUCAUCCUCAUCUUCAUCAAGUGCUAUUUGCGGACAAGUUUUAUCAUCUGCACCCUUUUUCUGAUGAAAUUUGAAGAAAAGCAAUUUCCUUCAGAAUGGGUGAAAUAUUUUGAUAAGUUGAUUGUGAAAAUAAAACAAAUAAAGAAAUCACAUAAAUUAAUGUAUACAAGAUUUAAAAAAGAUUGUAUAUUUAAUUAUACAAGACGUAUAAAUAAUUCUCUAUAAUAAAUUAUCGAAUUCUCAUUAUCUCUGAACAUCCCUUCCAUUAGGUACUCAUAAUGUGGUCGCUUGUCUAUGGCCCUUCAAUUUAGCAACUUGAAAAUUCGAGAUGAUUCUUUGAUAGCAAUCGUUGAGUCAAUUGACGAGCAAUAUUCGUACAACCAAACUUGCAUGGCAAGAGGCAUGCGGCCAAUCCUAUAGUACUAUUUCACAACAUCCCUUUUUUUUAAAUACUCUUAACUAGAGCUUCAAACGCUUUUAUGCCCCAAGGGUAUUCAUUGUAUCGACUACUCUCAACCAAAUCAAAAUGAAUUCGUGGUAUGGAUGCAUUAUUCUUCUCUCAAAAAAAUAUGAAUGUAUGAAAUAGAGUAGUGCUAUCUUAACAACAUCGUCAUCAUUCCCGUCGCCCUAAAUCUUGUUCUUAAAACUCUUAACCAACUCUGCCUUUUUCACAGUCCUUUGCCUCCGAAAUAUUGUUACAUGAGCUUGUUAGGUUCACUUGUGUUGAAUAAAAAGUCUUCAGUGUCAACAACACACUUUAAUCUCGUGAUAAUGGCAAACUCUCUAAUACUAAAUCACAAAGUUGAAUGAUUUAUAUGAAUCAAGAGAGUAUCUGGAGAACUUUCUACCAGUUCACAUACCAUGAAACAUAUAAAUUUUUGUGCCUGAAAAAAUAAUUGAUUCAUACAGGUGUAUACACCAAAACAUGUAUCCUUAAACUUGUUAAACUGCGUCUAACUCAACUUUUGCUUCAAAUCACAAAUUAUAUUGUGAUUUGUGUAUAUUUGCAUGUGCGGGACUUCAACAAGGUGAUUUAAUACAUAAUAUACGAUUUUCUGCGUACAAAUAUACAAAAUGAAUGAAUUUAAAACAUGACGUCCCAAUAAGUUACUCCGACAAGGGUUGUACACAUUUUGUAUGAUGAACUAAAAAAAAUUUAUAAAAUAUUCAAGUAUCAAAGUUUUUCGAAUAAGAUUAAAUAUCUUUUUUGCUGGUCGUUCUUCUUCGUCUUGCACUCCUUUUUUGUUUCUACUAAUAGCAACAUUGUAUACUCUUUUACUUUUCAGGGAUGAUAUUCUCUUUUAACUGUUUUGAACCUUCUUUCCUCGAUACAGAUUUUGCCCUUUGCUCUUGGCUAAUUAUAUUCAAUGGUACGAGUUCGUUGUGGUUCUUUGUUCAUAUUUAUAUCUCCAUUGCAGCAACAUAUGCUGGAAUUAUAGCUUGUUGUUGAGUAAUACACAAAUCAAAUGAUGGUACUUUAUCUAAAAAAUUAUCAAAUAAAUUUAUACAUCGUGUAACUCUCCUUGAAUUACUAAUUUCAUCAAUUGUAAUGUUGAUAAAUAAAAUGCUAAAACACGAGCCCUAAAAAUUAGUGAAAAAAUAUAUAAAAGUAUAUACAUAAAACCUUCACUGUGAAAAUAGGGGAUCUGGAUAUACCUGAUGAUAUAAGGAGGAUCACACUUUAAUGACUGAAAAUCAAUAAAAAAAAUGUGAAUUAGAGGAUAAAAUCGAACAAAAUCACCAAAAAAAAGUUGGGUGUAAUGAGAAGAAAAUAUAUACAAAUAAAAUCUUUGAGAUGAAAUAAUAAUUUAGAAGAUAUUCACAUACCAAGAACCUCACAUUCUCUUCCAAAAAGACGUGAAUUGGAAGAUGAAAUCGAAUCAAAAUCUCCAAAAUAUUGGGUGUGAUGGGAAGAAGACGACACAAACAAACAUAUACAAAAUGAAAUCUUUAAUAUAAAGUAAGGAUUUAGAAGAUAUUCACAUACCAAAAAUCUCACAUACUCUUUCCAAAAGAAUUAUUUGAAAGUGAUGAAUUGGAAGAUAAAAUGGAGACAAUCACGUUGGUGUUUAUUACUGAAAAGUUUAAACUUUGAAAAUAAUGAAUACACUUUAAACAUUGAUAGAAGUAGCGUGUAUUGGGACUAACAUUAAUAGGUAUUAUUACCGUAUAUAGGCCUAAAAAGAAGGUAAAUAUCAUGUAGAGUAUAUUUGCUAUUUAAUACUAGUAUCUUUGUUAUUUAAUGUAUAUUAUAUCUAGAUAUAGUAAAUAAAAUAAAGUGUAGUUAUAUUGACUAAAUUUUUAUCAUAGGUUUUGCUAUCUGGUGUAGUUUUUCUUUUUUAUAACUUGAUAAAAGGUUGGGAUGACAUGUAAUUUACUCAUGGGAUUUAUGUACGAAAAAUUAAGCAUAUGCCCUUCUGAAACAACUAUUUAAUUAUAUUCAGAUACUUACUUACAUUUAUGCUCCCUAAUUAAUUAUAAUUAACACACCCUCCCUCAAUUAAUUUACAUUUAAAAUUCGUGUGCUAAUAUCAUGCUGAUGUUAGUGCCCACCUUAUAUCAUGCCGAUAAAGUAUCAUGCACCGACAAAGUAUCACAAAGGAUAUUGAUGAGGUAUUACUAUACCGAUGAAGUAUCACAAAGAAUACGAAUAAGAUAUCAAUAUAUAGGUCGAAUAUCACAAAGAAAGAUAAUAGGCUUUUCUGUGAUGUCCUACGGUGUUAUAUCUUUAUUGUUUCUUAAAAAAGAGGUCAAUCCUAUAUAACACCGAUAGAGUGUUAAUAUGCCAAUGGAGUAUCACACAGGAUUAAGCUCACUUGUAUAUGAUACCAAUAUGGUAUCAAUAUACGGAUGAAAUAUCACAAAAAAUAUAUUUUUUACUAAUUUAUAAUUUAAUAAAUAAGAUUGUACUUUAAUCAUUUAAUUAUUUCUUAAAAAAAGAUCUCAAUUCUAUAUGGUACCAAUAGUGUGUCAAUACAUCGAUGCAUUAUAUGAUAUCAGGAUGAUAUCAAUAUACCGAUAGAGUAUUAUAGAGAAUUAAUUCACAACAAUUAUGCUAACGUCAGAGGCGAAAUAAGGAAGGGGAAAGCGCAGGUAAUUAGAUAAAUAGUUUAGGUCCUGGAUCUAUUAAGAUAAACAAUUUGAAUUAGAUCCAAUUUAAAUAUAUAUAAUUUUAUAAUUUGAUCUAUUUUGUUUAGUUUUCUCAUUUAUAUAAGUUUAAUAAUUAUCUCUUAUUUUAUAUGGACCCACUAGAAAGCCCAUUGUAGAUGAGUACUCUAUUUUAAGUCGACUGCGGCCCAUGAAGAGAGGUAUAUACCUUCGCACAAUACCAAACCACAGCUUAUCAUAGCGGCAGAUUGUAAGGUCUCACAAUACUCGCCGCCAACUUCUCUACACUCAGUAAGAAUCUAUUUCCUCUCUCGUCUCGCUGUGCUCAAAUUUCUAUCACUGUUCCUUUUCUUCCGAUUUGGAGUUUCUACCUUAGUUUCCAUUUGAUCUGCGUCGUGAUUUGAUUUUCUCGGGUAAAAAUUCAUUUCCGAUGAAUAUUCUUAUGAAAUUUGAAGUUCUUUGUUAGGUGAUUUUAAUCAAGAUCUAGUCCAGAUCUGCUGUUUAUUUGCAGUUACGUUCCUGAAUAAACAUAUGGUUUUGAUCAUCGGGUGAAAUAUUUUAAUCUUAUGGUGUCAUUUGAUGUUUUUUUUAUGGGGUUAUUUAGAUGUUUUUGAUGUUUUGGUUAGGAUGUAUAUAUGUGUGUUUUCAGUUCAUGUUAGUACGCCGGAACCUGUUUGCUUUUCAUCUGUUGAAAGAUGUGAUUAAGCUAUUUCUUUCUGAUGAUUUCCUUUUAUAUAUAUAUUGUUUGUAUAUGUAUUCUGUGUAUACGUCUUAAAUUAAGAUGUUCAUAAGGAUACAUGUGCUAAUAGAUGUAUAUACGUGCUUAUAUGUCUGCAAACAUAAUGGACUAGUGGUUGUAAGUGGUCUAGAAUUUGAACACCAGACCCUCUGUUCUGUUAGCUUCAGUCAUAUGAUACGUUCUCUGUGGAUCUCUUGACUUAGCUUGUUAUUUUUUAGUUGGUGACUCAGAGUCACAUGUAUCUAUUGGGAGAAUAAAGUGUGUUUUGAUUGAUGUUUGACAUUUGUUUUGGUUUCAAAUUGAAGGAAUUGAAAUUCUUAGUUACAUCAACAAGCAUUCAAGAUGGUGAAGUUCACAGCUGAAGAGCUUAGAAGGAUUAUGGACUUCAAGCAUAACAUUCGUAAUAUGUCUGUUAUUGCUCAUGUGGACCAUGGUAAGUAAAUAAACUAAUAUUAUUAACAUAGCUAGUCUAAAUUCUUCCCUGCAAAAUUGUUAUCCAUGUCAAAUGAGAAUGGGACUUUAUUGUGAUCACCAGGAAUCAAUCUUGACAUGAAACAACCUUACAUUUUUUUGGGGUGGUAUAGUUCGCUUAAUGUUGUUUCAUUAGUCUGCUUCUGCUUUGCGUUUUCAUGGAGUAUAUUCUUUGUUAAUAGUGUAUCAUGUAUGGUUUAAUUGAUCAGAUGAUGAGUUUGAAUUUCUAAUUCUGCAAUAUGUUUAACUUGACAGGAAAAUCUACCCUUACCGAUUCUCUUGUGGCGGCUGCUGGUAUCANGAAGAGCUUAGAAGGAUUAUGGACUUCAAGCAUAACAUUCGUAAUAUGUCUGUUAUUGCUCAUGUGGACCAUGGUAAGUAAAUAAACUAAUAUUAUUAACAUAGCUAGUCUAAAUUCUUCCCUGCAAAAUUGUUAUCCAUGUCAAAUGAGAAUGGGACUUUAUUGUGAUCACCAGGAAUCAAUCUUGACAUGAAACAACCUUACAUUUUUUUGGGGUGGUAUAGUUCGCUUAAUGUUGUUUCAUUAGUCUGCUUCUGCUUUGCGUUUUCAUGGAGUAUAUUCUUUGUUAAUAGUGUAUCAUGUAUGGUUUAAUUGAUCAGAUGAUGAGUUUGAAUUUCUAAUUCUGCAAUAUGUUUAACUUGACAGGAAAAUCUACCCUUACUGAUUCUCUCGUGGCGGCUGCUGGUAUCAUUGCUCAGGAAGUUGCAGGUGAUGUCAGAAUGACAGAUACACGUGCAGAUGAGGCUGAGCGUGGUAUCACCAUCAAGUCCACUGGUAUUUCACUUUACUAUGAGAUGAGUUCUGAUUCCUUGAAGAACUUCAAGGGAGAGAGGAAUGGGAACGAGUACCUCAUCAACCUCAUCGAUUCACCUGGGCAUGUUGACUUCUCAUCUGAAGUGACUGCUGCUCUUCGUAUUACUGAUGGUGCCCUUGUUGUGGUUGAUUGUGUGGAAGGUGUCUGUGUCCAGACAGAGACUGUACUCCGUCAGGCCCUUGGUGAAAGAAUUCGUCCUGUCUUGACAGUUAACAAGAUGGACAGGUGUUUCCUCGAGCUCCAGGUUGAUGGAGAGGAGGCCUAUCAGACAUUCCAAAGAGUUAUUGAGAAUGCUAAUGUUAUCAUGGCUACAUAUGAGGAUCCCCUUCUUGGUGAUGUCCAGGUUUAUCCUGAGAAAGGGACCGUUGCUUUCUCUGCUGGAUUGCAUGGGUGGGCUUUCACCCUCACCAAUUUUGCCAAGAUGUAUGCUUCCAAAUUUGGUGUCGACGAGUCUAAAAUGAUGGAAAGGCUGUGGGGUGAGAACUUUUUCGACCCUGCCACCAAAAAGUGGACCACCAAAAACACUGGGUCAGCUUCGUGCAAGCGUGGGUUUGUUCAAUUCUGCUAUGAACCAAUCAAGCAGAUUAUCAACACUUGCAUGAAUGAUCAGAAAGAUAAGCUCUGGCCAAUGUUGCAGAAGCUUGGUGUAACCAUGAAAUCUGAUGAAAAAGAUUUGAUUGGAAAGGCACUGAUGAAGCGUGUGAUGCAGACUUGGCUUCCUGCAAGUACUGCUCUUCUAGAAAUGAUGAUAUACCAUCUUCCAUCUCCUUCCACAGCUCAAAAAUACCGUGUGGAAAACCUGUACGAAGGUCCCCUUGACGAUGCUUAUGCCAAUGCCAUCAGGAACUGUGACCCUGAAGGGCCGCUUAUGCUUUAUGUAUCCAAGAUGAUUCCAGCAUCUGACAAGGGUAGGUUCUUUGCUUUUGGUCGUGUAUUCUCUGGGAAGGUUUCUACUGGUAUGAAGGUUAGAAUCAUGGGUCCUAACUUUGUUCCUGGUGAAAAGAAAGAUUUGUAUGUUAAGAAUAUCCAGCGAACUGUUAUUUGGAUGGGUAAGAGGCAAGAAACUGUUGAGGAUGUUCCCUGUGGUAACACUGUUGCCAUGGUCGGUUUAGAUCAAUUUAUUACCAAGAAUGCAACAUUGACCAAUGAAAAGGAAGUCGAUGCCCACCCAAUUAGAGCAAUGAAGUUUUCUGUCUCGCCAGUCGUGCGUGUUGCUGUUCAGUGCAAGGUUGCGUCUGACCUUCCCAAGCUUGUUGAAGGGUUGAAACGUCUGGCGAAAUCUGACCCUAUGGUUGUUUGUUCUAUUGAAGAGUCUGGAGAGCAUAUCAUUGCUGGUGCUGGAGAACUCCACCUUGAGAUCUGUCUGAAGGAUUUGCAGGAUGACUUCAUGGGUGGUGCUGAGAUUAUAAAAUCUGAUCCUGUUGUGUCCUUCCGUGAGACAGUCCUUGAGAAGUCUAGUCGGACUGUGAUGAGCAAAUCUCCUAACAAGCAUAACCGUUUGUACAUGGAAGCUAGACCACUGGAGGAAGGGCUUGCCGAGGCUAUUGAUGAGGGACGCAUUGGCCCUAGGGAUGACCCAAAAGUUCGUUCCAAGAUCUUGGCAGAGGAGUUUGGUUGGGACAAAGAUCUUGCAAAGAAAAUUUGGUGCUUUGGUCCAGAGACAACUGGUCCCAACAUGGUGGUGGAUAUGUGUAAGGGAGUUCAGUACCUGAAUGAAAUUAAGGAUUCUGUUGUUGCUGGUUUCCAGUGGGCUUCCAAGGAAGGUGCAUUGGCUGAAGAGAACAUGAG
rnacentral:lncRNA from 1 species